UUUUGAUAGGUGUGUAUGUGAGAAGGUACAUCCACAUCGUGAUGGUAAUCUGCUUAUUUAUAAUUUUAACUUGCAUUAUACAGCAGGUAGGCUUAUAUUUUAGUUAAACUAAAAACUUUUAUUGUAAAGUUGAUUAUAAAUAUAUGAUAUUAUUUUAUUUGAUUUUAAAUGUAUAGUAAACUGCGAGUUGUAUAUGUUUUGUUGAUAUUAUUUAUAUUGUUUAGUGUUUAAAAUUAUAUACUUGUAUUUUGAUUGUUAUUUUUAGAGUUUCACCUGUAGUAUAUCAUCUUGUAUUAAUAUUGAUUUAAACCCGUCAAUUCUAGGAUUUUCCAGCUUGUAUUAAAAAUUGAAUCACAUUAUACACAUUAAAAAAUCUAAUAUGUUAUUAAUUAUUGUAGUAUAUAUGAUUAUAAAUUUUAAAAUAAUAUGUAUGAAAUUAAAUAUAAAUAUUCAAAUUAUGACACAGUACUCAGUAAUUUUUUUUCUUAAAUCUACUUUUGACCCGUUAUAGUAUUUUUUCAUGUAUUGAACAGUUUAUAUUCGUUUUUAAAAAUUCAAAUUGUGGCAUAUGCGAAAAAAACUCUAAUUAUUUUUUUAUAACGAUGGUAUUAUUUUUCGCAAAAAUAGAAUCAUAUAAAGAUGAGAGGUGAACUAUAAUAAUUAAUAAAAAAUUAAUAUGAUAAUUUAGAUAUCAAAUCUAAUUUGUUGAUUUUAAUUGGUUACUUUUUUGGAAAUUAAUAAUGUAUUUCGUUUUUGAGUUAAAAUUAAUUAAAUUAGUAUUUGACUUUUUAAUUUUUAAAGAAAUGAAUUAAUUUACUCUUUAAAAUUUUAUUUCUAAUGGCAUACCUAUGUAAUUACUUAAAAAAAAAUAAGGUUAUAUUUAAAAUGUACUUCCCAAAUAAUAUAGUAGGAUAAUAUGUCUUUGACACUACUCCAAAAUUAAGAAACAUAUUUCUAAACAAUAAAAUCAUAAGUUUUAGUUAACUUAAAUUUAGAUAAUGCGUCCCUACCACUAGUUAUAAGAUAAGCAAUACAAUGCUUAGGUUGACAAAGAAAAUGUUAUGCUUAUGAUUUUUCUAGACAAAAAAUUGUUGGGCUUAGGUCGACCAAAGAAAAAAAAAAUUGGGCUUCUUAUUUUCAUGUAGAACGAAAAAAUAGAGGAGGGUGGUUAUGGUUAUUGAUAUUGUGAAGAAGAUGAAAGUAAUAAGACAAGUAUAAGAAACACAGACGAUUUUUAAGGAGAUAAGGAAGAGAAGGUGUGUGAAGGGGAAAAAGGGUUUUGAUGAAAGGUUCGUUGUGGAUUAUAUAGAAACCAAAUCUGAAGCAUCCAAGAUUUGCAAAAACAUAAAAUGAAGGAGUGCGGUGGCGGAUUCUCGAAGCCCAUCAUCGGAGCCGUGUCAGAUUGUUGAGUUGUUGCUAGCUCUGGUUUUUAGGUUUAAGUGUGUUUCUGAUUUAGAUAGGUUUGAAGAAGUGGUUAAUUCUGUUGGAAUGUUAGCUCUGUUCCAACUUACGUGAGAUUUUGUCUAGCCUUAGAAGCGAGUGUAAAUACGUUCACAGUGAGCAAGAGCUCCAGAUGAAACCGAAUAAUACUUGAGAUCCGAUUUCUGAGCAAGGCAAGAAAGUGAAAGGAUAUGAAGAUGUCUGAGCAAGAAGAGGGAGUGAGAGAAGACGGUGAGGUUUUGUUCACUGAGCAUAUGAGGGAAUCAAUUGAUGAUGAAUGAUGUGGUGGUAGUGGUGUUAAUUUGUCGUUAAGUAAAUGUUUGGAUCAUUUACACAGAAAAAGGCUAUCAUAUGAUCUGAAUUACGUUUUAGGAGAGCCUGUUAAGUUUUGAUCUUUUAGGGUUUUAGAUCUAAAAUUAACAGAGCUCUUUGAUUUAACAUUUUGGAAAUUGAAUCCCAUGUUAAUGUAGAUGAAGAAUCUACCCAAGUGUGUUGAAAUAUGUUUGUGAAUUUAAAAACUGAUUUAUUCAUUUUUGGAGGAAUAUUGAUAGUUGGUUUUGUUACAUUUGAGAACGUAGAACAAUUGUAGAGCGGCGUGUAAUUGAUUUUGUUAGUUUGUGUUGAACUUAUUUAUUUUGAGAUAUAACAAAGAAAUGAAAGACGUCAACAACAAAUUGGUCUUAUAGUUCCGGUUAUUUAUUCUAUUCUAGAAUAGAUUAUGUUGGCUUAAGAAGACAUUUAGACUUAAGAGUUAUUUCCUCUGUUAAAAUAUAUGUCCUUCAUUCUUCCAAACGAUUAAGUGAUUUUAAGUUUUGUUUUUGAAAUGAUUAAAUGACUCUGAGUUUUGUUCUUCCAAAUUAAAUCAAAAAUAUUAACAACAUAAUCUGUUCUUAAGAAACUGAUUAGCGAAUCUCAAGAAAUACAUAUUUGUAAACAAGAAGAAUUUGGAACGAGAAUAAUAUAUUUAUAGGUUUCUUAACAACAAGAAUUUGGAACGAUAGAUUGUUUGGCUACCAACAACAUAAACAAAAAAACAAGCAAACGGAUAUAGUUCCAAAAUAAAUAAUUUUAUAUGGUCAAAACUACUGUUGCUAUAUAAAGCACAAAAACUAUAGAAACCCAACUCAACAAUAAUUAUCCUGUUACUUUUUUUGUUUUUUUGCUAUAUAAACUAAGCAAAAUUUUCAUAAGUUUGAACACUCAUAAACUCAUCUCUUCAAAAUAAUGGCAACUCAAACAAUAAAAAAGAUAUACAGUGUUUUGAUGAUUGUAGUUUUAUUUACGAUGAUGGUUUCAACCAACGCGAGUACGGUGGAAGUGUGUGUUAAGCAUUGUGUCCCGAACCAAUGCAUGAAAGUUUCUCAGAAGGCAACUCUUCCAUUAUGUGAGACUGCUUGCACAAAACUCUGCAAUGAAAACAAACAUGAGGAAUAUGUCGUGCCUCGGAGUUACUGUGAGGGAUUAUUUUGGUUUCUAUGUGAUAAUUGAAAUUUAAUAAAUAUGCAAAGUAAUAUAUAUGUAUUUUUUAUCUGUAAAAAAAUAAUCUAUAAUGUAAAAAUGUACCUUUAAUCAAUAUACUAAUUUCAUGUAAUUAUUUUAUUUAUACUAAUCAAAUUGACACAUCAAAAUGCUGAGAAGUUAUCUAAUCACCCAACUAAUAAAAAUCUUAUAAAUGCAAUAUUGUUCUCAUCAUCUCUCCACAUCAAUAUUUAGAUCGUUUUGUAAUCUCUUGCUAAAACUAAUCCAAUCGGUUCUCUAUCGAACCAUUAAGUUAUGAGUUUUCUCUUUACAAUUUUGUAUGAAUGACUAGAAUGAUUGUGAAAGAGGAGAGCAAUCUCGAGUUAUCUAAAUUUUGUUUUGUCACUUGUUCAUAACAAUAACAUUUUUGUGCUACGAAUGUCAAAAUUUCAGGAUUUGUUAAGUAUUAGAGAGGAUGAAUUUAAUAGUUUUUUUUGUUUUUGUGUUUUAUUUUUGGGUUUUUAAUAGAAUUUAAUAGUUCAUGUAUUGUUUAAUACAAUGUCAAAAUUGUGUAUAUAUUUAAGAAAGAUAUUAUUUAAUUAGUGUACAAAUAUAUAUUUGUAAACUUAUGGUCAAUGAUGUAAAAAUUUCAAUUAGUAAUUUUGAGGCUUGUUUUUUUUUUAGAUUCAAGCCACUUCUUUAGUGGGCUUAUCGAAGGCCCAAUACCAAAUUUACGUCUCCUCUCUCUCUCUCCGAUCUCAAUAGAUCGCUGGAGUUGAGAGAGCUUCGGGACUUCGCGUUCCUUGACGAAGAAGACGAUACUUCUUCUCCUUCCAUCACAGCUUCACGCAAAUCUUUCUGCAGUUACAUCUUCUUAAGAUUCUGAGUUCCGACUUAUUUCGUGGAAGGAUUUUGAUAUUUCAACAGUGAUUUUAAUUUUAUACUGGAACUUAAGCAUCACUUAAUCUUCCGGCUAAAAUGAUGUCGCCGAAGCAAAUCUCCGACGAUCGAGGAUCUUCACAUUUCAGGUACCUUCAUACCCAAUUUUUCCAUUAAAACCUCUCUGCUAUUGUGUGUGGUUUCUUCUUUUGCUAGUUUUGAUUUGCGUAGAAAUCAAAUGAGAAAAAUCAAAAAUCAAGAACGAAGUUUCUUCUUCUUGCUCCAAUGGAGUUUCAUUGAAAUUACAACAAAAUGUGUUCUGUUGCUUCAUUUUCCUGAAGAUAAUGCAGUAACAUAAUUAGGUAGAAUCACUGAUUUGAGUCAUAAUUAGGUUAAGAUUUUAGUUCAUUGGGUUUUGAUACAAUACUAUGUUGAAGCAGUGCUGUGAGUCCUGAAAAUUGUCAUUGGCUUAGAAUUGAGUAAUCUGCUACCUAAUUUUUUGUAUUGUUGACUCUCUUUAUUUGCAGGCAUACACCAUUCCAGAUAAUCCACCUUAUUGGGAACUUUUUUAGGAUAUGGUCAGUAUAUUCGAUGUACCGAUACUUGAAUCAGACGGGAGCGCCUGUUGUUCUCUUUCUCUUCUGCUGUCUGGUGCCUUCAUCAAUCAUCUUCUUGAUAAUUCAAAAGCCAUGGAAAGGAAGGGCUCUUUCUAAUCAACAGGUUUACUUUAGUCAUAUCUAAUUUCUUGCAUGUAUAUUUAUGUGGAUAGUUUGGACAUAAAUUAUAUCUUGACUGUUUCAGAUUGUACCUUCUCUUAUCAAUGGAGUCAUCACGGCUCUAUACUUCAUCUUAUGGGGAAAAGGUCUCAAGUCUUGUGGACCUCUUAGGUAUUUGAUUAGUUAUUAAGCAUUCAUACUACCGUAAAAUUCUCCUCUGGUCUUAUCUGUAUUAGGAGUUCCCGUAGAUAUUGGCUUUUGAAAGGUAGAGAAGUUGAAAGUUUACCUAUGAGCAAUUUGGUCCCAGUUUAGCAGUUUGGUUCAAUACUAGACUUACAAUCCUCUCCUUGUCCUUCAUUUCUGCAAUCUUCGUAUUUAAGCUACAGUUUCUGUCAUUUGGUCAAAAAAAAUAUCUUCAGUGAUAUUUGAUUAUCCUUGCUUAUGAUUCUUUGUAUAUUAUUUUCAGAGCUAUCUUGUCAGAGUAUUCUGGUGCUGUUCUUGGAGUACUUUCUGGAGUAUUAUAUGGACGGAGAGGCCAUGUGUGGAAAAAGGUAUUCAUCUUACAUAGCAUCUCAAGUCAAUGUAACCAGUUAACUAGCACGAUUUACAUAGUUUUACCCAUAGUGUUAUUUUGUUUAGUACCCUUGGCAUGCAUCAGCUCACUUGUCUCACUGACCAACUAUAGAGCUGUGCAAUAGUAUCUAGCAUUUAGUGAUGUUUCUUCUGGCUAGUCCAUAUACUUAUAUUGCUUGCAGUAUAAUUAUUGAUAUGAAUUUUAAUAUGGAAAUAUCAAAAUUUAUGUUUAUAUAUCAACAAGGAUACUUAUUCAAAGAGUAGGAAAAUAUUUCUCUCAUAUUUUGCAAAUCAUGAUAGGUAGGUGGCCUCAUUGCAAUGCUGGUAGCUCUUUUUUUCUUGUCUCAAGGAUGGGCGACAUCAUCUCUCUCCCCUUUUUAUAUCCUUUUUCGCAAGUUCCUUCUUCUUAUCUCGAUCUUGAUCUCUAUGUAUAUAUAUCUUGCUCGUUUUUAAUGGUGUGGAUAGUUUAACUUAACAACAAGCUACCAACAAAAGAUAGUACUGAAACCAAAGAGGAAGAAGUACAAACAGAACAAGCACUAGGUAUGAUGGGAAUGAUGAUACCAGUUUUUGCUGGAAUCUUAUCAGCAUUAAGGCGGGUUAUCGCACGCCGUGUUUCUCUAAAGGUAAUGCUCUCAGAUUCCUUCGAUUUCUCCAGUCAUUUCUUUUCUUAUUUCUGCUUCCUUUGUGAACAAUCAAUUUUCUUGUUUUGCAGAACCAGCAGAAGAAACGACUACAUGCGAUAACCAUUACUUCUGCAACCUGUUUCUUGUUCCCUGUGGCCAUGUGGGACCUUAUCAUAGUAAGUGUUGCUACUCUUUUGCAAUGAGAAGGAUUAAUGUAUCAAAGAUGGUGUUUUCUCAAUCACCCAAGGCCGGUUUGGUUCACUAUAAUAACAAAAUUUCACUUCAGGGGUCAUCUUCUGGGAAAACAUCCGAGUUACCAUUUUCUGCGUGGGCUUUCCUUAGCACCAUUAUUUUCGGGAUCAUCCUAAUAUUCUACGUUGAUAAUAUCGCAGAAGAGAGGUUUCGUAAAGCUUUACCCUUAAAUCAUCUUUACAUUGCAUUUUAACACACAAACAUAUGCUUUAAACGAAUAUGUUCUGUUUGUCGCAGAUUGCAUAUGGUGUUUUCUUCGCCGAGGCAUUUAAUGGUAGCAGGUGUAUGCAUAAUAGUCAUGGAGUUAGCUUAUGAGAUGGAUUUUUCUCUUCCCGGUUUCAUCGUUUGUUGCUUAGUAUUAGGGUUUGGAAUAUUCGAGGCAACAUCUCUAGAACGGAACAAGAAAGACUCUUCGUUGAAAUCAGAAGAUCCAUCAAACGGAAUCCUUGGUAAUAAUGACUUUGAUACUUCUCCAAUUCUUCCCAUAUAGCUCACCAAUCUUUCCCUACACUAACGACGAUGUACUGUUGAAUGUACUUGUCCUUGACGAUGUAAAUCUGUCUGGUUUUAUUCGUUUCUCAAUCUUUGUACCUUCAUUUUUCAGCUUUUUUUGUUUUCUUGGUGAAGCAUAUGCAAAUAUUUUGGUCUAACGUAGACAAAGAUGAUAACCCAUGAUGAUGAAUAUACUUACGGUUAUACGAAGAUAACUCUGUAGAAUGAUCGAAUUGAAAUUUCUUCGAUAUCAAAACAUGUCACGGUUUGACAAUAAUACGAAGAAAACCAAACCGAUCAGGACCAAGAGAAUUUAAACCAAACCAAAUUUCUUAUGGUUUGAGUUAGCAACGUGUAGUAACCAAACCAGUCAAGCGUGAAACGCUUCGUUUCCUUCUCUUUUGGUCUCUGUCAAUUUUGAUGUUUCGCCGAGAAAAAAAAAAAACAAUUAUUGAUGUUUCAGCUUCUUCUCCGAUGCAUUUGCUUGCCUUCGUUGAAGCUCUUUCACGUUGGUCGUAGUAGUGUUGUUGUAGUUAAGACUUAAGAAGAUGGAUCUCUCUUUGACAUCAAUGACUCUUGUCUUUCUACAUCCCGAAGAGGGUAAAUGCAUUGAAUUCUGGAGAACUUCGUCAACAGAGUAUUUGCUUUCCUAGGUGUUGAUUUAGAUUGCAUGAAUCGUUGGAUAUGAAAUAUUGAAAUGUAACGCGCAGCAGCGUUGGUGUUUCUUAAAACUCUAGUAGUUUACUCAGUUUGGUUUUCUAGUGUUAAGUUUCAGGUGCUACUUUCUGGUUGAUGAGGUAAAUGAUGAAAUCAAUUCUUUGAACUCUUUCUUGUGUUUGUAGGAGAUGGAUAUAUACACUAAAGAGAAUAAUUUAUAGACCUCAAAGUCUCUGGAAUGUUUAACGUUGUAGCAACAAGUUUCAUAGUUUUGAUAUUUAACAAGUGGACUAGUGCACACUAAUGAGUCUCAGUGUUUCUUCAGAAGCUAAAGUUUUAGUUACAUAUUUUGCUCUUCUUUGGUCAACUUUUGCUUUCCUUCUCUGAGUUCUCUUCUCUUUAAGCAAUACUUGUAAAUUUUUGCCUAAAUCUGUUUAAUCCCAAAUAUCAAGCCGUUCCGGUUUAUCGAAACUAAACCGGUGAUUUUAUAGAACAGGAAGAAACAAAACCCUAUACAGUAUUUUGUUUGCUUGCUGGUAGAGCCAUCGAAUUCAAGGGACUAAGUAAAUCCCAACUCUCUUUUUCACUGAAACCCCUAAAUAUUAGGUCUUGGAUAAAGCUUUUGUAACAAGGUAGGUUUCGAGGUUUUACUGAUUAUUUUUUUGGGGGUUCCUUAGUCCAUAAGAUUCCUAUUUGCGUUGUGAACUCCAAGUUUCCCUCUAUGCAAAGUUCAUAAGAUUCCUGUUUUACCAAUUUAACGUGUUUCAUUUGCACUUGCUUGGAUUUUACAUGAAUUGAAACUUUAAAACUAAUUGAAUUUUUGUCGCCCGCGGUUGUUGGCGGACCGGACCACCGCAGAGUGAACAGAAGCAAGGUCCGUCGCGAAGUGCCCGUUUGGUCGCGGGCUCGCCUGUCUGCCACCCCUAUUCAUCUCUAUUACUUUUAUAUUUAGACUUUACAGAAUCAAUUAUUUUGGAAUUUCUUUAUAUUUCCAUAUUUUUUCUUAUAAUUUUGUAGACUAUAAAUUAAUUAAUAUUAAUUACUACUAAUUCAAGUUUUCGAAAAAUAGACUACUUUUUUAUCAGAAUAAUCAGAAGAAAUUUAAAUUAAUAUUUUGAGAAGAUUUUGUUUCCAUAUAAAUGUAUAUAAUUAUAUUUAAAAUAAGUAAUUUAACAAAAACAUGUAGAGUAUAUGUAAGAAAUAACCAUUGACUUGAAAAGAAUACACAAAAUAACCUUGGACCAAAUAGUAUUUGUCGGCUACAGAAAUUUUGGUAAUAUUUAGUCUAUUUUAGCCUUUCUCUUUCUUAUUCCUUCUUUUGUUUUUUUUCCAUGUUCUUUACGAGACUUUAGUCAUAGAGUUCUCUUUCUCUCUUCAUUUUUAACACAAUUCAUCUUCUUCAGAUUCACCAUGUCAUUUUCUUUUUCUAUUUCUCUCUUCCUCUCCUAAAAUAAUCUUCACCACCUUUCAUAAAAUAUAUCAUCAUAUCUUUUUAUUUUGUUCACCCACAUGUUCUCUCUUUCUUUUUCCAUAGAAAUCUCUCUAUCUCUCAUUCUUUAUUUUAUUUUUUACCUGAAUUCUCCGUCAAUGUCGUUGUGAUAUAAGAGAUUAGAUUUGAUUUUAAAACAAAUGUCUGAUUUUAAAAUGCAUGUAUUUUAAGAACAAAACAUGUUAUUAACACUGAUAUAUUAAUAUUUGUCAUGCUAUCCCACAAAAACUCAUGAAAUAAAUAAAUAUUUGUCAUGUUAUCCAAUAAAAACCCAUGUAAUAUUGUAACAAUUCUAUAUGUUUUUUUAAACUUCGCGAUCGAUAAGAGAAUUGUAUGCUUUUUAUAAAUAUUUUGUGCUAUUUCAGAAAAACACAUUAUUUCAGAGAAACAUAUAUAUCGUUUUGUAUGUAUUUUAAAGAAUUGCAUGCUUUUUUGUAAAUAUAUCAUGUUAUUUUAGACAAAUAUAUAAAAACUUUAUAACUACAACCACCGAUAUUUUUGUAAAAACAAGAAAAUCUAAAGAUAUUUUAGUAUUUUAUCCACCAUAGAAAAUGUUAUUUACCUAAGUUUCCUGACACAAGGCUAUUGUCUCAAUUCUUUUCAAUUCCAUGGUUACUCUCUAAUAUUACCUUUAGAAUGGUUUUCCCUACCCUUAACCUUAAAACCUUUCUUUCAAGCCUAUGUACUAUUUGUGAGUGAGGCCUCUUGUAUGAAAAUGCUAUAGAUUUUGAAAUCUUCAAAGUAUUGAGAACGACAAGGUUUUAGCUCUUGUUUUUAGCUAGCUUUUGGAACAUCUUUGGACUAGCUACUAGGUUGGGAAUGAAAGAUUUAAGUGGUUAGAUUGAAUACUUGGGAUUGGGUUUGAAAAAAAAAAAAAAAAAAAAAAAAAAAACCUCUUUUUCUCUUAGUUUUUGUUGCUUUGCAUUCAUAUUUUGGCAUAUAGUAUUGCAUUUGCAUUUGCAUUUGUUUUUUUUAGGUACAUGAGUGGAGUUUAAAGUUUUGGAAGUAAAAUGGAGCAAAUGGAGCAAACAAAGGAGCUAAAAGAUUGCAAAGUGGCCAAAGAAGAGAAGCUAGUAGGAAUCUACCAAACUGGUCGAUUGCGUGGUCGAUUGGUCAGGACCAGAGCUACGGAGGAAUAUGAAUCUACCAAAGUGGUCGAUUUCGUGGUCUACUGGUCAAGGAUUAAUGUUGCGGACGAUAUUGAAUCUACCAAGUGAUCUAUUGCUUGGUCGAUUUCCUUCCUUAACCGGAUCAAAACCCGGUUUGUUCCGGGUUAAUCCGGUUUAUUUUCUCGUUACUAUAAAUACUCUUAACCUAGUUUUAGAGAGAGGGAGCUUUUGUUUAGGGAUAAAAACUUCUCUUGAAGGUUCUUUAUCUAAGGUUUUUGUAUGAAUGUUGAGUUCUUAAGUUUCUAUAUCAAGUAUUUCUUUUAAAUUUCUCAUCUAUUCUCUAAUGAUUAUGGCUUUACAAAGAUCAAACCAAUUCCUUUGUAUGAUCAUGAUCAUGAGUGAGUAGUCUCCUAGAGUUCUUUGGUUAGGGUAGAUUAGGAUGGUUUAGAUGUUGGGUUAUGGAGUUUAGGGCUAGAUUACUUAAGAUUCUUACUUAUUGGUUGCUUUUAAGGCUAGAUCAACCUUGAUCAUGAUGAUUUAGACAUUAGGAAUUUCAUGCCCGGAAGGUGUUCGAUGAAAUUCCCAAACCAAAAUCUUUAAGUGCUUUUCAUACCUUACCUUUGGAAAUUGUUGAUUAGGGUGAUUAGUGGCUAGAUAGACUUGUUAUUUAUGCUUAUUGAUCAUUUGAUUGCCUUUGGAAAUUGUUGAUGAUUGAUUGAUUAGUAAAGGGAUUAAUAUCAUGGAAAUGUAUUAGUCUUGUUUAGUGUUCUAUGGCCUAAGGAUCAUUGCUUGUUAGAAGUUGUUUGUUGCUCCAUAAUCCAUCUCUUUAUCAUUUCUAAUCGAUUACCUUAACCCGAGAAUUCGUCUUUAGUUUUCGCUUAGUAAUUUGUUAAUUUCCCGCUUUGUUUACUUUCGAAACUUGUUGGUCUUUUGUUUCUUGCUUUCUCUUAUCUUGUUUUGCAUUGUUUGUUUAAUAAUGCAUUGUUACUAAGAUUUAGAAUACUCAAAAUCAUCUUGUUAGCUUAGAUUAAGCAAGUGUGUGUAUUCUUGGUGAGUUGAUUAAAUUGCAAAUUGUGGUUCGAUAAUUAAUUGAAAGAAAUGCUACAUCAAUUUGGCGCCGUUGCCGGUUUGCAAUAGUUAUUAGCCAUUAGGAUUUCAUAUUUGUUUGAGACUAAGCCUUUUACUUUAGUUACUAAUCCUUUAUACUUGAUCUUUGCUCUUGUUUUAAAGGUGUAUGAACCUACGAAGUCACGGUCGAGCAAACUUAGUAGAAGAGAUUAGUGACAUCCGCCGGUUUGAAAGAGAAAACGCUAGAGCAAGAAGAGAACGAGAACGACUUGAACACCUUGCUCGGUUAGGCGUCAUGAAUGAACCCGGAAUUGAGGGCCAUAAUGGAAAUGGCCAAGCUAAUGGGGAUGGUCAUAUGCCACAACAUCAACCAAGAGCUCAUCAACCAAUUGGAGCCUUUGAUGAGCCAAACAUCCGUGGAAAUAGAAACGGUAUUCAAGCUCCUCCGGUUGAGAACAACAACUUUGAGAUUAAAUCAAGCCUCAUCAACAUGGUUCAAAGCUCUAAGUUUCAUGGUUUAUCAAUGGAGGACCCUUUGGAUCAUCUAGACCAAUUUGAUAUGUUGUGUAGCACGGUGAAAAUCAAUGGGAUCUCGGAAGAUGCAUUCAAACUUAGACUCUUCCCGUUUUCUCUUGGAGAUCGAGCUCGUAUUUGGGAGAAGAAUCUACCUCAAGGCUCCAUCACCUCUUGGGACCAAUGCAAAAGAGCCUUCCUCUCAAAGUUCUUCUCCACAACAAGAACGGCAAGGUUGAGAAAUGAGAUAUCUAGCUUCACUCAAAGGAGUAAUGAAAGUUUUUGUGAAGCUUGGGAAAGGUUCAAGGGAUACAAAAUGCAAUGCCCUCAUCAUGGUUUCUCUAAAGAAUCUAUACUAAGUACCUUGUAUAAAGGAGUUCUCCCUAAAUUUCGCAUGUUGUUGGACACGGCAAGCAAUGGAAACUUCUUGGGCUAAGAUAUUGAUGAUGAUUUGUCUUUGGUAGAGAAUCUAGCUCAAAGUGAUGGUAACUAUGGUGAAGAUUAUGACCGCACUCCAAGAGAAAGUAAUGAGAUGAGCGAUCUACACCGCAAAGAGAUCAAAGCAUUGAAUGAAAAGAUGGAUAAGAUGAUUCUUGCUAAUCAAAAACCGAUCCAUUUUGUAUCCGAGAGUGAUGUCUACCAAGGUUAUCAAGAGAAUAUGGAAGGUUGUGUAGAGGGACAAGAAGAGGUCAACUAUGUUAGUGGACAAGGCUACAACAAAUUCAACCCUAACUAUAGGAAUCACCCCAACCUUUCAUAUAGGAGCAAUAAUGUGGAGAACCCACAAGAUCAAAGCUACCCACCUUUAAAGCCUCCCGGUUUCACACAACAACCUAACUAUCAACCUAAACCCCAAGGGAACUUCCAACCAAAGCCUCAAGCCUACCACCACAACCAACACCAAGGGAGUUCAUCAAAUCCUCCACCUCAAGCGAAUGAUACAAACGCUCUUCUUAAACAAAUUUUAGAAGGGCAAGGAAGAGGAGCAAUCGAUCUCGCCACACAAAUGAAAGGAAUGCACACCAAAGUCGAUGACCUUUAUGGUGAGCUCAAUGCCAAAAUAGAGCGUUUGAAUGCCCAUGUUUAUAGCCAAUCCUCAUCCACUUCCAAGCGGCCAAUGGGAACUUUACCGGGUAAACCGGAACCAAAUCCGAAAGAGUAUAUAAAUGCUAUAACCCUUAGAAGUGGUAAAGAGUUGCCGAGUGGAGAGCUCAAUAGAGACAUUGAGCCUAAACAAAAGGAGGGUGUGAUUGAGAUUGAUGAAGAGGAGGUAUUGAAUGAGAAAGUUUGUCAAGAUGAGAUUGAUGUUGAAAAAUGUAUUGUUGACAAAGGGAAGGGUAAAAUAGUUGAAGAGUCUAAAGAAGACAAAACCCAAGAAGAAAUCUCCAAGAAGGAUAAAAGUUUUGCUAAGAAAGAGACUCUAUUUGUACCUCCACCUUAUGAACCAAAGUUACCAUUCCCGGGUCGUUUCAAGAAGCAACAACUAGAGAAGUAUAGAGCAAUGUUUGAUGAGCAAAUGAAAGAAGUUACUAUCACCAUGCCUAUCAUAGAUGCGUUCUUGUUAAACCCGACUUACAACAAGUUUCUUAAAGAUGCGGUUGUAGAAAAGAAGAAAACAUUACAAGGUAUGGUCCUUUUGACUCAUGAAUGUAGCGCUAUCUUCCAAAACAAGAUUGUAGCAAAGAAGCUUGAUGAUCCGGGUAGCUUUACACUUCCAUGUGCUCUUGGUCCUUUAUCCUUUGACCAUUGCUUGUGUGAUCUUGGUGCUAGUGUUAGCUUGAUGCCUCUUUCGGUUGCCAAACGCUUAGGUUUCACAAGAUUUAAGGAUUGUAGAAUUUCACUUGUCCUUGCGGACCGUUCUAUUAGAACCCCGGUUGGUUUGCUUGAGGAUCUUCCGGUCAUGAUUGGUCAUUUUGAGAUACCAACGGACUUUGUGGUCCUUGAGAUGGAUGAGGAACCGAAAGACCCACUUAUCUUAGGACGCCCAUUUUUGAGAACCGCGGGAGCAAUGAUUGAUGUGCGAAGAGGAAUGAUUAAAUUGAACUUGGGUAAGGAGGUAUUAACCUUUGAUAUAAAAAAAACGAUGAAGAAACCUACCAUUGAAAACCAAGAAUUUUAUAUCGAAGAGAUAGAAGCUUUAGCGGAUGAGCUUUUGGAAGAGCUAGCAAUGGAGGAUCCACUUCAUAGUACUUUGACUAUAAAACAAGGAGAGUUUGGAUUACUUGAAAGUGAUAGUGAGGGGUAUGAGAAGAUACUUGAUUCUCACAAGCCUUCUAAUGAAGAUGGAACCUUCCUUGAGUUGAAAGAAGUUAGUCAUGAGGUUAAUGUUGUUGAGAUUGAAGAGGUGACAAACAAGGAGGGAGCUAGCAAUGGUAAGUCUAGCAUAGAUGGAGAUUGGAGUGAACUCAAGGCUCCAAAGGUGGAACUAAAACCUCUUCCCAAGGGGCUAAGGUACGCAUUUCUUGGAACAAACUCUACUUAUCCGGUUAUAAUUAAUGACGAACUUAGUGAUUUAGAGGUCUCCACCCUAAUAGAGGAAUUGAAAAAGUAUAGAAAAGCUAUUGGUUAUUCUCUUAGUGAUAUUAAAGGAAUUUCGGAAACUCUUUGUGUGCAUAGGAUUCAUCUUGAGAAUGAGUCAAUGACUUCCGUCGAACAUCAAAGGCGGUUAAAUCCUAACCUUAGAAAUGUAGUACGGGAAGAGAUCCUCAAACUCUUGGAUGCGGGAAUAAUUUACCCGAUCUCGGAUAGCACAUGGGUUUCUCCGGUUCAUGUGGUCCCAAAGAAGGGUGGAGUCACGGUUGUAAAGAAUGAUAAUGAUGAGUUGAUCCCAACUAGAACAAUAACGGGGCAUAGGAUGUGUAUAGAUUAUCGAAAAUUGAAUGCCGCUUCUAGGAAAGAUCAUUUUCCUUUACCGUUUAUUGAUCAAAUGCUAGAGAGGUUAGCCAAUCACACCCACUAUUGUUUUCUAGAUGGAUAUUCGGGAUUCUUUCAAAUUCCGAUUCAUCCAAAUGACCAAGAGAAAACAACUUUCACAUGCCCUUAUGGUACAUUUGCAUAUAGGAGAAUGCCAUUUGGUUUGUGUAAUGCUCCCGCUACAUUUCAAAGAUGCAUGAUGUCUAUAUUCUCGGAUCUAAUUGAAAAUGUGGUUGAAGUUUUUAUGGAUGACUUCUCCGUCUAUGGAGACUCUUUUGCCUCUUGUCUUUCUAAUUUGUGUAGGGUCUUGAAACGUUGUGAGGAGACUAACCUUGUGUUAAAUUGGGAGAAGUGCCACUGCAUGGUUAGAGAUGGGAUAGUAUUGGGUCACAAGAUCUCCGAGAAGGGUAUAGAGGUUGAUAGAGCUAAGAUUGAUGUGAUGACCAAUCUAGCACCGCCAAAUUCGGUUAAGGGAAUAAGAAGUUUUUUGGGCCAUGCCGGGUUUUAUCGAAGGUUCAUCAAGGACUUCUCCAAAAUAGCAAGACCACUUACAAGACUAUUGUGUAAAGAAGUUGCUUUUGUGUUUGAUGAGGAAUGUCUAGAUGCUUUCAAAAAGAUAAAGAAAGCUUUGGUUAGUGCCCCAAUAGUGCAAGCACCGGAUUGGAAUCUACCAUUUGAGAUCAUGUGCGAUGCUAGUGACUAUGCGGUUGGAGCGGUUCUUGGUCAAAGAAAAGAUAAGAAGCUUCAUGUCAUCUACUAUGCAAGUAGGACUCUUGAUGAUGCACAAGUUAAGUAUGCCACCACCGAAAAAGAGCUCCUUGCUAUAGUGUUUGCAUUUGAGAAGUUUCGAUCAUACUUGGUUGGUUCUAAGGUGAUAGUUCAUACGGAUCAUGCGGCAUUAAGACAUCUAUUAGCCAAGAAGGAUGCGAAACCAAGGCUUUUGAGAUGGGUUUUGCUUCUACAAGAAUUUGACUUGGAAAUUAAAGACAAGAAAGGGAUUGAGAAUGGUGUUGCGGAUCAUCUCUCUCGGUUGAGGAUUGAUAAUGAUAUACCAAUCGAUGACUCUCUUCCCGAGGAGCAACUAUUGGCAAUUAGGCUUUAGGAUGCAAGUCAUGAGACCUAUAAAAAACUUGAGGAGGUGAAGACAUUGAAUGAAAAUGGCCCAUGGUAUGCGGAUUAUGUUAACUAUUUGGCAUGUGGAAAAGAACCUCCAAAUUUGAGUAGCUAUGAAAAGAAGAAGUUCUUGAAAGAUAUAAACCACUUCUAUUGGGAUGAACCAUUUCUUUAUACUCUAUGUAAAGAUAAGAUCUAUAGAAGAUGUGUCUCGAAAGAAGAAGUAGAAGAAAUUUUGCUCCAUUGCCACGGUUCAAGCUAUGGAGGUCAUUUUGCAACUUUCAAGACGGUUACCAAGGUUCUACAAGCGGGUUUAUGGUGGCCAACGAUGUUUAAAGACGCACAAGAGUUCAUUUCGAAGUGCGAUUCAUGUCAAAGAAAAGGAAACAUUAGUAGACGAAAUGAGAUGCCCCAAAAUCCAAUUUUAGAGGUUGAGAUCUUUGAUGUAUGGGGAAUAGAUUUUAUGGGACCAUUUCCUUCUUCAUAUGGAAAUAGCUACAUACUUGUGGCGGUUGAUUAUGUGUCAAAAUGGGUUGAGGCGAUUGCUAGUCCAACUAACGAUGCAAAAGUUGUGUUGAAGCUAUUCAACACUAUAAUAUUUCCAAGAUUUGGUGUUCCUAGAGUGGUCAUAAGUGAUGGAGGGAAGCAUUUCAUCAACAAGGUCUUUGAGAGUCUACUCAAGAAGCACGGAGUGAAGCACAAGGUCGCCACGCCUUAUCAUCCGCAAACAAGUGGUCAAGUUGAGAUUUCUAACCGGGAAAUCAAAGCUAUUCUAGAGAAGACGGUUGGGACUACAAGAAAAGAUUGGUCGGUAAAACUUGAUGAUGCAUUGUGGGCAUAUAGAACCGCCUUUAAGACUCCGAUAGGUACUACUCCGUUCAAUCUUCUCUAUGGAAAAUCAUGCCAUUUGCCGGUUGAGCUCGAAUAUAAGGCUUUGUGGGCAGUAAAGCUUUUGAAUUUUGAUAUCAAAACCGCCGAGGAGAAGCGGUUGAUUCAAUUGAAUGACCUUGAUGAAAUCCGCCUUGAAGCUUAUGAGAACGCCAAAAUUUACAAAGAGAGGACUAAGGCAUUUCACGACAAGAAGAUCGUUCCAAGAGACUUUAAAGUAGGUGAUCAAGUGUUGUUGUUCAAUUCUCGUUUGAGAUUAUUUCCGGGAAAGCUCAAAUCUCGUUGGUCGGGUCCAUUCAAGAUCAAAGAAGUGAGACCCUAUGGAGCCUUGGUAUUGUGGAACAAAACGGGAGGAGAAUUUGUUGUGAAUGCUCAACGCUUGAAGCCUUACUUCGCGAAUCAACACAUUGGGGAGGGAACCAAAGUUUCUCUCUUGGAGCCUCAAUCCGCCUAAUUUGUGUGGAAACGUCAAGCUUAGUGACUUUAAACAAGCGCACUUGGGAGGCAAUCCCAUGGUAUCCUUGUACAUAUUUUGAUUCUAUUUAUGUGCUUUUGGUUUGAUUAAGUUUCAGGGAAGUAUUUGGAAAAUUUCAUAUCAAGACGGGCAAGCAAAACCAUUUCUGGGCAAGCGAAUCGACCGCAUGGUCGAUUGGACGGUCGACUCAUCCAUGUCCGCAAAUCCGUCAGAUUUCUAAUCGAGCACUCAAUAGAGCAGUCAAUAGACGAGUUGGUCGAUUGGACGGUCUACUGAUUCAUGUCCGCAAAUCCGUAAAUUUUCGAAUCGACCAAUCAAUUGAUCGAUUGGUUUUGAAAGCCCAGGUAAGUCAUCUCUUGACUUCGUCGGUUCACUAGAAAUUUUCCGGUUUAGUCCCUUAACCAACCAAAACCGAAAAAAAAAAUAAUAAUAAUAAUAAUAAUAAUUCCUUCUUUUUCCUUCUCUCACGACCUCUUCCUCUCACUUUUCUCUCUUUUUUCAAACUCACUCUCUCUUUUGUUUUCAAACACACUUGCUUGUUUUUAGUGAUUCAAAUCUCUUGUUCACUUUUUUUUCUCCAUAGAACCCGAAUUUAGCAUCUCCACUCUCAGAUUGACAAGGCACAAUGGUAGAAGGCACAAAGAGAACAAACCCCAAACGUUCUAAGACAAUGACCUCCACUGAACCGCAAAGUGAACCCGUUGCUCAUUGGACUAAGGAAGAUAAGAAAGCUCUCAAAGUCAUCUCUCCACUUCCUUCAUUUCCAACGCGUUUUGCAAAUCGCGAGAUCCUAGAGAAGAUGGGUUUGCUCGAGACUAUUGACGAGUUCUUCACAAAGAUGGGACUUGGCGCCUUCACCUCCAUGGAUCACCCUACAUUCAGUGAGCCUACAGUUGAUUUCUUUAGCACCAUGGAGUACACAUUUACGAACCCAAAGAUACCACUAGCUAAAGAAGGAAUCAUCAACUUCAAGGUCAAAACAAAGGCUUUCUCCAUAUCAAUUCCCGACCUUUGUGAAGCCUAUGGAUUUGAGAACAAAAGCGAGAUGAGCUUCCCGAAGUUUAAAGGAAUCCACUUCUUUUGGGGCGAGCUAGCAAGCGGGAAAUUCAGUUGUAACGCAAGUAUCAAGAGCGUCCGCCAUCCGGUAAUUCGUUACGCCUUGAAGCUUCUCGCGCAUGCUCUUUUUGGGAGAGGUGAAACGAGUUCUACUACGGUUUCCGAGAUGUGCUUUCUUUUUCAAGGAGUCAAAGAAUUGUUGGUAGAAGACGCGGACGAGAAUGGCGAUGGAAGGUUGGUACAUGAUGAUCUUGGAAAUGAUGUGAACUAUGGGUGCAUCUUUGCUUCUUAUCUAGAGGAUUAUAAGAACCGGCUAAUCAAGGGCAAGACGAAAUCCAUCUACAUUGGUGGUACUCUCACACCACUUUUUGUUAAAGCGGGAGUAGAUCUUUCUCCAUUCAAUGCUCUCCCAAAGCGUGAAUACAUUGACUAUGAGAACUUGGUGCGUUCUUGCUCUUUAAAACGUAGCGAUGAUGCUUUCAUCUACUUGUACACGGAUCGAGAGGAUAACAAGUUGGAAUGCAUACUACCCUCAAAGGAGAUCACAAAUGUAGAGAGUCAUGAAGACAUUAUGUUUUUGCCAAGUAAGGAAUAUCAAGUACCAAAUUUGGAGCAAUUUAUGGAGAUUGAAGAAGAAGACUUGCCACCAUCUCCACGAGAUGACCCUUACAACCUCAACAAGUGUGAUCUUCCCGAAUUCACAUUUGUGCCAAAGACCAAGAUGGAGAAGUUUCUUCAAUCCGUCAUCAAGUCUCAAAGGAAGAUAAACAAGUGGAAAUCUUAUGCAAUAGGAAAGCUACUUAAGAAGGUGAAGAAGCUCCAACCACCGGAUUAUGUCUCUUCCGAGGAUGAACUUGUUUUUCCUUCAAAUGAGGAGGAAGAUAGAGACAAUAUUUUGGAGAGUGAUGAGAAUAAUGAAACGCCCGCCACUUCAUCACACUCGUCUAGGAGGAAGAACGCCUCGAGAGACCACUCCUACAUGCCUUAGCCACUCCACGGUAUCACUUGUAUAUACGACUUUAUUUCUUUUAGUUCUAUUUAUUUAUUUUCGUUAGUCUUUUCCUCAUAUUUUUCUCUCACACCGAGACGGUGUGAAAUAAGUUUGGGGGAGAGACUAACCAUCUAACGUUGUGUUUUGUUUUGAUUUUAUUUCUUUGAGUCUUGCAUUGUCAAUAUCUAUGUUUUGAGAAAAAAUAAAAAAAAAAUCUGAAAAUUUUGAAAAAUCCAAAAAAAUCAUGUAGGUUUGCAUAUUAAUUUUCUCUUUUAGAAUUGAGUCUAGAAGCAUCUAGUGUGCAUUUGCAUUUGCAUAGGGGAUAAUGAUUUAAUUACCUUGUAGAAAUUCAAGCUUAGGAUUGAACUUAAAGCCCUUGAUCACAGUUAAUCGUUGCUUGAUCAUCUUGGAAAAAAUGGAAAAUCCAUGCUUAGACUUUUGCGUUUCUCGAAAGCAAUUUCUACUUGUGUGAAGCUUACAUGACUUUUGAAAUAUCUCUAUGAAUUUGGACUUAAUUUGAUAUUGAUUUCUCGCUUAUGGAUCCUAAAUGCAUUCUCAUGGUAGUCUAAAAGACUCAUUCGGGUUAUCUUAUUCGUUUUGCCAAUCUUUUGUUAACCCGAAUGGCCAUUCUCACCUUUAGAAUGGUUUUCCCUACCCUUAACCUUAAAACCUUUCUUUCAAGCCUAUGUACUAUUUGUGAGUGAGGCCUCUUGUAUGAAAAUGCUAUAGAUUUUGAAAUCUUCAAAGUAUUGAGAACGACAAGGUUUUAGCUCUUGUUUUUAGCUAGCUUUUGGAACAUCUUUGGACUAGCUACUAGGUUGGGAAUGAAAGAUUUAAGUGGUUAGAUUGAAUACUUGGGAUUGGGUUUGAAAAAAAAAAAAAAAAAAAAAAAAAAAAAACCUCUUUUUCUCUUAGUUUUUGUUGCUUUGCAUUCAUAUUUUGGCAUAUAGUAUUGCAUUUGCAUUUGCAUUUGUUUUUUUUAGGUACAUGAGUGGAGUUUAAAGUUUUGGAAGUAAAAUGGAGCAAAUGGAGCAAACAAAGGAGCUAAAAGAUUGCAAAGUGGCCAAAGAAGAGAAGCUAGUAGGAAUCUACCAAACUGGUCGAUUGCGUGGUCGAUUGGUCAGGACCAGAGCUACGGAGGAAUAUGAAUCUACCAAAGUGGUCGAUUUCGUGGUCUACUGGUCAAGGAUUAAUGUUGCGGACGAUAUUGAAUCUACCAAGUGAUCUAUUGCUUGGUCGAUUUCCUUCCUUAACCGGAUCAAAACCCGGUUUGUUCCGGGUUGAUCCGGUUUAUUUUCUCAUUACUAUAAAUACUCUUAACCUAGUUUUAGAGAGAGGGAGCUUUUGUUUAGGGAUAAAAACUUCUCUUGAAGGUUCUUUAUCUAAGGUUUUUGUAUGAAUGUUGAGUUCUUAAGUUUCUAUAUCAAGUAUUUCUUUUAAAUUUCUCAUCUAUUCUCUAAUGAUUAUGGCUUUACAAAGAUCAAACCAAUUCCUUUGUAUGAUCAUGAUCAUGAGUGAGUAGUCUCCUAGAGUUCUUUGGUUAGGGUAGAUUAGGAUGGUUUAGAUGUUGGGUUAUGGAGUUUAGGGCUAGAUUACUUAAGAUUCUUACUUAUUGGUUGCUUUUAAGGCUAGAUCAACCUUGAUCAUGAUGAUUUAGACAUUAGGAAUUUCAUGCCCGGAAGGUGUUCGAUGAAAUUCCCAAACCAAAAUCUUUAAGUGCUUUUCAUACCUUACCUUUGGAAAUUGUUGAUUAGGGUGAUUAGUGGCUAGAUAGACUUGUUAUUUAUGCUUAUUGAUCAUUUGAUUGCCUUUGGAAAUUGUUGAUGAUUGAUUGAUUAGUAAAGGGAUUAAUAUCAUGGAAAUGUAUUAGUCUUGUUUAGUGUUCUAUGGCCUAAGGAUCAUUGCUUGUUAGAAGUUGUUUGUUGCUCCAUAAUCCAUCUCUUUAUCAUUUCUAAUCGAUUACCUUAACCCGAGAAUUCGUCUUUAGUUUUCGCUUAGUAAUUUGUUAAUUUCCCGCUUUGUUUACUUUCGAAACUUGUUGGUCUUUUGUUUCUUGCUUUCUCUUAUCUUGUUUUGCAUUGUUUGUUUGAUAAUGCAUUGUUACUAAGAUUUAGAAUACUCAAAAUCAUCUUGUUAGCUUAGAUUAAGCAAGUGUGUGUAUUCUUGGUGAGUUGAUUAAAUUGCAAAUUGUGGUUCGAUAAUUAAUUGAAAGAAAUGCUACAUCAGUAGGUUUCGAAGUUAACUCAUCCUGUAUUUGGGGUUUCUUAGUUUACACGUUUCCUUUGGGGCAGAUCCCUAUUUGCUCUGGUUUAUCGAAAUUAAACCGGUGAUUUUUAAGAACUGGAUGAAAUAAAACAUGAAAACUUAAAAAUUGAAUUUUUCGAUUCCUUUGCAUGUCUUGUCGAAACCUGAAAGCUUGAGUAUUUUCUUUAUAUUUUUCGUUUGAGAGCCAAAAACACAAGCAAUUAAGCAAAUCCCAACUCUCUUUUUCAUUGAAAUCCCGAAACAAUUAGGUCGUGGAUUAAGCUUUUGUAACAAGGUAGGUUUGGAGGUUUACUCAUUAUAUUUUUUUAGGGUUCCAUAAGAUUCCUAUUUGCGUUGUGAGCUCUAAUUUUCCCUGUAUUGAAGUUAGAAGUUCCUGUUCUCAGUUUACCAGUUUAUACUCUCUUUGUUUCGUGCAGAGCAGAUGGAUCACUUAAGCAAUUUACCAGACGAGCUUCUUUGCCAUAUUAUGUCCUUCCUUACCACCAAGGAGGCUGCUUUGAUAUCGGUUCUCUCCAAAAGGUGGCGCAAUUUGAUUGCAUUUGUCCCUAAUCUUGAUAUUUUUGACUGUGAUAUUCUGCAUUGGGAGGUGCGUAAAGAGGAAAGGGACGAUAUUCGACAGCUCUUCAUGGAUUUUGUGGAUAGAGUUUUGGCAUUGCAAGGUAACUCUCCCUUAAAGAAAUUCUCCCUCUGUUGUGGCGGCGGUUCUUAUUCGGAUAGAGUGGAUUGUUGGAUACAGAAUGUGAUGGUGCGUGGUGUUUCGGAGCUUGAUCUAUCAAUGAUUUUUGAUACCUCUUAUCAUAUGUAUCCACAAGUUUUCGAGAACAAGAAACUAGUUAAGCUCCAUUAUCUGGAUUUGAUAUUCGUUGCUUGGAUGGGAGCAUUUUCUUACCAAUGCUUAAAACUCUCCUUCUUGAAUCAGUUUUGUUAUCUGUUGAGAAUUUUGAGAUUUUUCUUCGUGCUUUGCCUGCGCUUGAGGAAUUAGUCAUGAAUCAUAUAUACUGGAAAGAAUUGGAUGUGAAUGUGCAUGUAUCUGUAUCAAGUGCAAGCCUCAAGACCCUAACAAUAAAAUGCAUCGUUUGUUUACAUACUAAGUCAUUUGAUACACCUAGUCUUGCUUACUUAUCUUACUCUGAUUAUGCCAUGGGAGAUUAUCCCGUAGCUAAAAUGGAAAACUUGUUUGAGGCUCGAAUCAGCCUUUUUGUACCUGAAGACGAUAUCAGCCGAGUAAGAGCGCCAAACAAUGAUUUGUUAGAGGAUGAUGAGUACAAUCAUGCAUGUUCUCCGAUAUGAAAAUGUGGGGAAGCUUAUGAAUAGCAUUCGAAAUGUUCGGUAUCUCUAUUUCUCUCGUGAUACUCUUGAGGUUAGUGUUUUUGUUCUUUUCUCUAUUAGCUGGUCUUGGUAAAAUAAAUGAAAGAUAACCAGCACUUCGUCUCAAUUUAUGGAGCAUGGCAGUCAUGUUUGUUCAAGUCCUAUUUUUAACAAAUAAGCAAAAGUCUAAUUAUGGUUUGUCUUGUUAUCAGGUGCUUUCUCUAUGCUGUGAAUCGAUGCCAGUGUUCAAAAACCUCAAAUCUUUAUCUAUCAAGAGUGUUGAGAGUCGAGGAUGGCAAGCAAUGCCAGUUCUUCUAAGGAACUGUCCACAUUUAGAAACUCUAGUCCUUGAGGUAUAGAAAUAACUAAUUUACCAAACAUGUACAAAGAUAGAGUUCACACAUUGAAACCUUAAAUGUCUCCUUUAUGCCUUCAGGCUCUCUUGCACCAUGUAACUGAUAAAUGCGGGGAUGCUUGUGCCUGCGUCUCUCGGGAGGAGAAAGGUCGUUCGCUCAAAUCUUGUCCAGUAAAAGUGUUAGAGAUUAAAGAGUUUCAAGGAACAAUGAAAGAGAUGCACAUGAUAAAACAUUUCCUGGACUAUCUUCCGUGUUUGAAGGAGAUGAAAAUCUCCUAUAUGAAAAAGAAUGAUCAUACUACACAGUUCAGAGUCAUCCCUCAAGUUAUUGCAGAGAUGGUGGAACACUACAACAAGUUAUCUAAUUGCAAUGUCCAGCUUGUAGUGAGUGGUUAAUUUUAUAAAAAGUUGACAGCACAUUGAUUCAGCCAUUUAUGAUCUCGCUUGUGGUAUAAUCUUUCACUUCCCUAGCAUUUUGCUUUGAGUUCUCUUUACGUUUUAGAUUUUGUGGACGAAUCGUUAAGAGUGAAUUAUUUUAGAGCAGAACACCGAUGUUUAAUAUUUUUUUCCUUGGACAUAGUGCUCAAUUGUUUUGUUUUAUCGCAAAAUCACGGAUGCAAUACAUACAUGUUUGACACUAAGCGAUGUGAUAUACUUCUAAGAACUCAAAACUCAAGCAUUCCCGGUUUACCAAAAUUAAACCUGUAAAAGAACCGGAUAAAAUUGAACCAGACUCCAAUUUUGUUCAACUCUUAAAAUUGGAUGCCUUUUCGUUGUCGAACUCGAACCUGAAAGCUUGGGUCUCUCUUUUCACUGAAAUCCUAAUGAUCCUGCAAAGCUCAGUGUCACUGAUGUUUCUGAAGUUAUCACGGGGGUCGGGGGACAUGAUGGAACACUACGAAAAGUCAUCGACUUGCCAUGUCCAGCUCCUAGUGGAUGCUUACUUGUAUAAGAAGUGGACUGCACAAUGAAGUCUCUAAAGAGCAAAAGUCGCUCUCCUUGAAACUUGACUCAGUUUGGUUUUCUAGUGGUGAGUUUCAGAUGCUAUUUUUUGGUUUCCCUGCCCUUCCGGAAUUAGACAUAGCAGAGGUAUACUUCCGUCUAAAAUGAAGAAAGCAUUUCUCUGGACCUUUUCUUGUGUUUGUAGGAGAGCAGGGAUAUACAUAUAUAUACCAAAGAGAAUGAUUUUAUAGACUUCAAAGUCUCUGGAAUGUUUAAACUCGUCGCAACAAGUUUCAUAGUUUUGAUAUUUAAAAAGUGUAUGGAUUAGUGCACACUGAUGAGUCUCUCAUAGUCUAUUCUUUGGUUAACUUUGCUUUCGUUCUCUGAGUUUCUUUUUUACUUUAAGCAAUACUUCUACAUUUGGGCCUAAAUCUGUUUAAGCAAUGUAGCCCAAAGAUCAACCCGUUCCGGUUUAUCGAAACUACACCGGCGAUUUUAAAGAACAAAACCCUCAAUUUCCAUAUAUUUAUUUAAUUGGUUUUUACCUCUCUUUUUUGGCAAGUUUCUAUUACUUUUGGUAAUCAAAAUGUAAAUCCAAAACUAUCUUCAUUUAUAUAAUAGUAACAUUUUAUCAAAAAAAAAAAAAAAACUCACGUCUUCCUCUUAAAAAUUGGAUGCUUCUCUGAUGCCUUUGCAUGUCUAUGUCGAACCUGAAAGCUUGGGUAUUUGCUUCAUAUCUCCUCCUUUUUAAAGAACCGGAUGAAAUAAAACCCUAAAUUAAGAAAAUCCCAACUCUCUUUUUCACUAAAAUCCCUACAAAAUAGGUCUUGGAUAAAACUUUUGUAGCAAGGUAGGUUUCGAGGUUUACUCAUUAAUUAUGUUUUGGGGGUUCUUAGUCCAUAAGAUUUGUAUUUGUGUUGUUAGCUCUAACUUUCCCUCUAUGAAAGUUCAUGUUCGAAUCCAUAAGAUUCCUACUUUACCAGUUUAACGUGUUUCUUUGCACUUGCUUGGAUUUUACAUGAAUAACCUUUCUUGUUUGGUAAGAUUCCUCUUCGUUUCGUGCAGAGAAAAUGGAUCUAUUAAGCAAUCUACCAUACGAGCUUCUUUGCCAUAUAUUGUCCUUCCUUACAACAAAAGAGGCUGCUUUGACAUCGGUUCUGUCAAAGAGGUGGCGCAAUCUAAUUGCAUUUGUCCCUAAUGUUGAUAUUGUGGACCAUGAUAUUCGAGAGCUUUUCAUGGAUUUUGUUGAUAGAGUAUUGGCAUUGCAGGGUAACUCUCCCAUUAACAAAUUUUCCCUCGAUUGUUCCGGUGUUGAUUCGGAUAGAGUGGAUUGUUGGAUACAGAAUGUGAUGGUGCGUGGUGUUUCCGAGCUUAAUUUAUCAAUCUUUGUGGAUUCGGUUUUCGAAGAUGACUAUAAUCUCUUUCCAAAAGUGUUUGAGAACAAAAAACUAGUUAAGCUCGGAUUAAGUUAUAUUUCUUGGUUGGAUGGGAGCAUUUUCUUACCAAUGCUUAAAACACUCGUUCUUGAAUCAGUUUUGUUAUCUGUUGAGAAGUUUGAGAUUCUUCUUCAUGCUUUGCCUGCGCUUGAGGAAUUAGUCAUGAAUAAUAUAUACUGGAAAGAGCGGGAUGUUGUCGAUUUGAUUGUUUCAAGUGAAAGCCUCAAGACCCUAACAAUAAACUUCAUCGUUUGUACACAUACUUUGUCAUUUGAUACACCUAUUCUUGCUUACCUAUCUUACUCUGGUUAUGUCGUGGACGAUUAUGCCGAAGCUAAAAUGGAAAACUUGUUUGAGGCUCGAAUCAGCCUUCUUGUAGUUGAAGGCGAUAUCAGCCGAGUAAGAGCGCUAAUAAACAAUGAUUUGUUAGAGGAUGAUGAGUACGAUGUUCUCCAAUUUGAAAAUGUGUGGAAGCUAAUGAAUGGUAUUCGAAAUAUUCGGUGUCUCUAUUUGUCUCCUAAUACUCUUGAGGUUAGUUUUUUUUGUUCUUUUCUCUAUUUAGCUGGUCUUGGUAAAAUAAAUGAAAGAUAACCAGUACUUCGUCUCAAUUUACGGAGCAUGGCAGUCAUGUUUCUUCGGUCCCAUUUUUAACAAAUAUAAUAAGCAAAGGUCUAAUUAUGGUUUCUCUUGUUAUGAGGUGCUUUCUCUAUGCUGUGAAUCGAUGCCAGUGUUCAAAAACCUCAAAUCUUUGUCUAUCAAGAGUGCCGAGAAUCGAGGAUGGCAAGCAAUGCCAGUUCUUCUAAGGAACUGUCCGCAUUUAGAAACUCUAGUCCUUGAGGUACGUAUAACACAAUUCAUUAAUUUGCCAAACAUGUACAAAAUAUCAUACUUUGAAUUUCUCAUUGUCACUUUUAUGCUUUCAGGGUCUAUUGCACCAUGUAACAGAUAAAUGUGGGGAUGCUUGUGACUGUGUUUCCCGAGAAGACAAAGGUCGUUCACUCACAUCGUGUCCAGUAAAAGUGUUGGAGAUUAAAGGGUUCCAAGGAACAACCAAAGAGAUGAACAUGAUAAAACAUUUCUUGGAAUAUUUUCCGUGUUUGAAAGAGCUAAAAAUGUAUAUGGAAGAGAAUGAUCCUGCACAGCUCAGAGUCCCUGAAGUUAUCACGGGGGAGAUGAUGGAACGCUACAAAAAGUCAUCAAGUUGCAAUGUCCAGCUCCUAGUAGGUGGUAAGUUGUAUAAGAAGUGGACUCCAUGAUGAAGCCUCUAAAGAAGAAAAGUUUUGGAAUUUGAUUUUGGUUUAAAUUGGCUUGAAAAACUGUUUCAAACCAAGACAAUCGGAAAGCCGUGGGUAAAGGGGAUUCUCCCAUUAAGAAAUGGGUAAAGGGGAUAGGGAUAGGGAUUCUUGCUUUUGUCCCUAAUCUUGAUAUCGAUGACAAUACUUUUCUGCAUCCGGAAAUGGGUAAAGGGGAUAGGGAAGAUAUUCGAGAGCUCUUCAUGGAUUUUGUUGAUAGAGUAUUGGCAUUGCAGGGUGAUUCUCCCAUUAAGAAAGUCUCCAUCAACUGUGUCGGUGUUGAUUCAGUUAGAGUGGAUGCUUGGAUACGUAAUGUGAUGUUACGUGGUGUUUCAGAGCUUGUUCUUUUAAUCGUUUUGGAUGUCCAGUCGAUUGGUAAGAAGUUUUGGGUGCCUCCAAAAUGUUUCGAGAGCAAGAAACUAGUUAAGCUAGAGAUAGGUUAUGGAGUUGAUAUUGGUUGGUUAGAUGGAAGCUUUUUCUUACUGAUGCUUAAAACUCUUGUUCUUAGGUUAGUUCAGUUAUCUGCUGAUAAGUUUAAGAUUCUUCUUCAUGAUUUGCCUGCGCUUGAGGAAUUAGCCAUGGGUUAUGUAACCUGGAGUGAAGAUGAUGCUGUUGUGUCAGAUGCAAGUCUAAAAGAGACUAACAAUAACUUCCAACCAUUAUGUCUGCUAUUCUUAUUAUUAUUUAGACACUUUUUCGGUUGAUACGCCGAGUCUCACUUACUUCUCUUACUCUGACUUGUUGCUAAAGACUACCCUGUAAUUAAGAUGGAAAACUAAUACACUUCUCUUACUUCACUUACUUCGGAAUUUGAUUUUUGUGUAAUUGGUGUAUAUAUAUAUCUAUAAACCAAUAAACCCCUCCUAAAUAUUCUGAAAUUCUUAGUUAUAUUAAUCAAAAUAAUACCUUUUUUUGCAAAAUUUAACCAAUUUUUUAAGUUUUUUAUUUUAUUUUCCAAAACCGAUCCAAAUCCAACACUUAUCAAUAGUCUUAAAGCUGUCCCGGAUUAUACAUGUUUGACCUCGUCACGGGGCUAAUGUUGUGAUGUCCAAUUCAUGAUCUGCGAUUCUUUGCGCGAUCAAAUCUUUAACGUGAAAAAGCUUGCUCUAUGUUUUUACCAAAGUCCUGCCCUUCAACGUGAAAAAGUUUGCUUUCUUCUGCAGCCUAACUCAAGCUGUCCCGGUUUACCGAAAUUAAACCAGUGAUUUUUAAGAACCGGAUUAAAUAAAACCCUAAUUUUGUUUUCUUAAAAUUUGGAUGUUUCGGCUUCUCCGAUGCCUUUUUCUUCAUAAAAUCAAAGAAACCAGCGAUAAAGCAACUCCCAAAUCUCUCUUUUCUUGAAAUCUCCAAUAUUUGUUUCUUGGUAAGUAUCGAAGUUUACUCAAUUCGCUUUUUAAGGUUUCGUAGUUCACAAGCUUCCUUUCGGAUGUAUUCCUAGUUGCGUUGUUAACUUAGCGUUUCUCUCUUUUAGGGUUUACCAGUUAUAAUUAAUUGCUUCCUUCUACAUGCUCGAAUUUUUACAUGAAUCUAAAGACCAAACCUUUCUCUGUUUGUAGUUGAACUGUUUGGUAAUAUACGAAGCUUUUCUAGAGAAAAUGGAUCUCUUAAGCAAUCUACCAGACGAGCUUCUUUGUCAUAUAUUGUCCUUCUUUACCACAAAGGAGGCUGCUUUGACUUCUGUUCUCUCAAAGAGGUGGCGACAUCUGUUUGCACUUGUCCCUAAUCUUGACAUUGAUGACUCUAUGUUUCUAUACCCUGAAGAGGGUAAGCGUGAUAGGAACGAAAUUCAACAGAGCUUCGUUGAAUUUGUCGAUAGAUUAUUGUUAUUGCAGGGUAAAUCUCCCACUAGAAAAGUCUCCCUCAAGUGUAUAAGUAUGUCUGAUCCAGACCGCCUAGAUGAUUGGAUAAGUAAUGUGUUGGCUCGUGGUGUUUCCGAACUUGAUCUGUCAAUCGAUUUGUGUAUGGAUGAAUACAUUCUCUUGUCUUCAAAACGUUUCGAGAGCAAGAAUCUAGUUAGGUUGAAAUUACACCGUAUUUGUAUUGGCCAACCGGAAAACCCUAUUGGUUGGUUGGCUGGGGGAAUAUUAUUACCAAUGCUUAAAACUGUCCUACUUGAGUCAGUUGGGUUUUAUGUUGAUGAGGUUUUUCUUAGAGCUUUGCCUGUUCUUGAGGAAUUAGUCAUGGUUGAUGUAUUCUGUUCUGGAGCGUUAAGGAUGUCAUCGUGUCAAAUGCAAGCCUCAAGACCCUAACAAUGAGUUCCAACCAUUAUACGGGAACUAUGUCAUUCGAUACACCUAGUCUAGUUUACUUUUGUUACUCUGACUAUGUUGCUAAAGACUACCCCUUAGUUAACAUGGAAAACUUACUUGAGGCUAGAAUCAAACUUUUGUUAACUGACGAUCAAGUCGAAAGAGCAAGAGAGCCAAAUAACGAUGGCGUGGAGGCUGAUGAGGACGAUGUUGUUCUACAAUUUGCAAAUGUGGGGAAGCUCAUGAAUGGCAUACGAAAUGUUCAGUAUCUAGUGUUUUCUGCUAAUACUCUCGAGGUCAGUUUUCUCUUCUUCUUUUCUUGAAACAUCUAUGGCAAAAUGUCUAAUUGACGUGUGUCUUGUGUUCAGGUGCUUUCUCUAUGCUUUGAAUCAAUGCCAGUGUUCAACAACCUAAAAUCGUUAACUAUUGAGGGUAAAAAGAGGCGAGGAUGGCAAGCACUGCCAGUUCUUCUAAGCAACUGUCCAUAUUUAGAAACUCUAGUCCUUGAGGUAUAAAAAAAUAACUAAUUUGCCAAAACAUGAACCAAGAUAGCUUUCAUAUAUACUUUGAAUUGAAUCUCUUAUUGUGUCCUUUAUGGUAUCACUCUUUCAGGGUCUCUUGCACUAUGUCACAGAUAAAUGCGGGGAUGCUUGUGGCUGCAUUUCUCGAGAGGAUAAGGGUCGUUCACUCACAUCUUGCCCAGUAAAAGUUAUAGAGAUUAAAGGGUUUCAAGGAAAAAAGAAAGAGAUGCACAUGAUAAAGCAUUUCUUGGUUUAUUUUCCGUGUUUGAAAGAGAUAAAAAUCUAUAUUGAAGAGAAUGCACUUGAAGUGUCUAAAGUUAUCGCAAAGAGGAUAAAUCGCUACAACAAGGUAUCGAAUUGCAACGUGCAGCUCCUGGUAAGUGGUUGCUUGUAUAAGGAGUGGAGUGCACAAUGAAGUCUUGGAAGAACGAAAGUUGUUUUGGUUUGAUUUCAUUUAAUUGGCUUGAAAACAUUUUUUACCCUAAACCAAACCAAUCGCAAAACUGUUGUUCUUUCUUCUCUUGCAUUCUUGUUGAACUCAUACAAAGCACCAGUGCACCACUAUCACGCAAAGGUUAGCUCUCACAUCUCUCACUCUCAUAUGCUCUGUUUCUCUUUCUCUGUUUUAACAGAAGCAUAUAGUUACUCUCUCUAAUCUCUGCCUCUUUUGUCUAACAUUUUAACAAAUACAUAAACGUUUUCAAAGAGAAGAGAAACAUUGAAUGUCUACAUGUUGGUAAAACUUGGAUACACUCUUACAAGACACACUCACACAUACUUAUACUACUUGUACUUGGCACACUUACACAUACAAACAUGCCUUAAUCACAUAAUUAACUCUAGACUCUACUACCUUGAAACUCUAACCACAACACUUGCACACUGCUUUACUUUAAUUAAACUUCAACCUCAAGCUAACCCAAAAAACACACUUUACUCUUGUUUGGGCCUUAACGAAAGCUGCAGCCACACAAGCCCAACAUAUCUUUAUGUUGACUUAGCUUCUUCUCCUUUGGCUCGAUUUCGUCUUCUUUCUUCAUCGUCUUUCUCUUUUACAGGUUUAAUCAAAGGCUCAAAUCUUCUUUCGUGCAGAGAAGAUGGAUCAUGUUAGCAGUCUACCAGACGGUGUUCUUUGUCAUAUAUUGUCCUUCCUCACCACAAAGGAAGCUACGUUGACUUCCAUUCUCUCCAAGAGAUGGCGCAAUCUGUUUGCGUUUGUCCCUAAUCUCGAUAUUGAUGACUCUAUCUUUCUCCAUAAUGAAGAUUUUAAGGAGGAUAGGUACGACAUUUAUCACUUAUCAGAGCUUCAUCGAUUUUGUUGAUAGAGUAUUGGCAAUGCAGGGUGAUUCUCCCAUUAAGAAACUCUCCCUCAAGUUUAGAACUGGCUUUGACUCACACCGAGCAGAUGGUUGGAUAAGUAACACGUUGGUUCGUGGUGUUUCCGAACUUGAUGUGCUAAUCAGUUUGCAUGGAACAGAUUACCAUUUUCUGUCUCCAAAAUGUUUCAAGACCAAGAAUCUGGUUACUCUGAAAUUAAACAGUCUUGCUAUUGACUGGGACAUAUUCUUACCAAUGCUUAAAACUCUCCUUCUUCACUCUGUUACGUUAUGUGUUGAUAAGAUGUUUUCUUAGUGCUUUGCCUGCGCUUGAGGAAUUAGUCUUGUUUGUUGUGCCCUGGGGAGGUAAGUCUAACGAUUUCCUCUUAAAACAUUCGAUGUUUCAGCUUCUCCGAUGUCUUUGCCUGUCUUCUCCAACCUGAAACCUUUGUAUCCUUUCUUCGAAUCUUCGCUAGUAGCUCCCUAGGAACAAGGUAGGUGUCGAACUUUACUAAAUUCUCCUUUAUUUGAGAUUUCUUAGUUCAGAAGUUUCCUUUUGGCUAUUUACGUUGUUAACUAAUUAGGGUUUCUCUCUGUUUUACCAACUCAUCUUCGCGUCAAUUUAAUAAUCAAAACUUUCUCUAAAAGGAUUUCAGAGUCUAAAGAGAUUCGUGUUAUUCAUCACAAUGAGCAACAUACAACAUAUAUAGAGUAGAUGUACAACCGAAAGCGUAAAUCUAGGGAAAUCUAUCUAGUUCAGAAGAUCUAGUUACACAGAAUAUAUGAAUCUGUUAGAGUAUAUUCGUAGAUGAUUAUGCCAAGAAUAACUGAAGAUAACCGAGCCAAAACAAACCCCUAAUAUUCUCUGUUUGUAUCGCUGAUUUCUCACAAGAGCUUGUCUUCUUUCGUGUAGAGAAGAUGGAUCUCUUAAGAAAUAUACCAGACGAGCUUAUUUGCCAUAUAUUGUCCUUCCUUACAACAAAGGAGGCUGCUUUGACAUCGGUUCUCUCCAAGAGGUGGCGCAAUCUGCUUGCUUUUGUCUCUAAUCUUCACAUUGAUGACUCUAUCUUUCUGCAUCCCGAAGAGGGUAAGCGUGACAGGAACGAAAUUCGACAGAGCUUCCUAGAUUUUGUGGGUAGAAUAUUGGCAUUGCAAGGUAAUUGUCCGGUUAAGAAAGUCUCCAUCAAGUUUCUAUUUAAGCUUGAUUCAGACCGAGUUGAUGGUUGGAUAAGUAAUGUGUUGGCACGUGGUGUUUCCGAACUUGAUCUGUCAAUCGAUUUGUGUAUGGAUGAAUACUUUCUGUUGUCUUCAAAACGUUUCGAGAGCAAGAAUCUAGUUAGGUUGAAAUUACACAGACUUUGUAUUGGCCAACGGGAAAAAACUGUUGGUUGGUUGGCUGGGGAGAUUUUCUUACCAAUGCUUAAAACUCUCGAACUUGAUUAUGUUGGGUUUUAUGGUGAUUUGUUGUUUCUUAGAGCUUUACCUGCGCUAGAGGAAUUAGUCAUUGUUGAUGCAUUCUGGUUCACGACCUUUACGGAUGUCACCGUGUCAAAUCCAAGCCUCAAGACCCUAACAAUGAGUUCCAAUAUUUAUUCAGGCAGUAUUUCAUUUGAUACACCUAGUCUUGUUUACUUUAGUCACUUUAAGUAUGUUGCUAAAGACUACCCCUUAGUUAACAUGGAAAACUUACUUGAGGCUAGGAUCAACCUUGGGGUAACUGAGGGUCAAAUCAGACGAGCAAGAGAGCCAAAUAACAAUGACGAGGUUGUUCUCCGGUUUCCAAAUGUGGGGAAGCUCAUGAAUGGCAUACGAAAUGUUCAGUGUCUAGACUUGUCUGCCAAUACUCUUGAGGUCAGUUUUUCUUUUUUCUUUUCUCUCGAGGUGAUAAAAUAGAGAAAUCCACGACGGUUAUGUUUAUUUAGUCCCAUUUUAACGAACUAGCGAGAGUCUUGUUUAGAGACAUGUAAUGGCAAAAUAUCUAAUUGUGGGUUGUCUUAUUAUCAGAUGCUUUCUCUAAGCUGUGAAUCAAUGCCAGUGUUCAAAAACCUCAAAUCUUUAUCUAUCAAGAGUGCCGAGAAUCGAGGAUGGCAAGCAAUGCCAGUUCUUCUGAGGAACUGUCCACAUCUAGAAACUCUAGUCCUUGAGGUAUAGAAAUAACUCAUUUAUCAAACAUGUACAAAGAUAUAGUUCAUACUUUGAUUUGAAUCUCUUAUUCAUGUCUUCUUUAUGCUCUCAGGGUCUCUUGCACUUUGUCACAGAUAAAUGCGGGGAUGCUUGUGACUGCGUUUCUCGAGAGGAAAAAGGUCGUUCGCUCACAUCUUGUCCAGUAAAAACGUUAGAGAUUAAAGAGUUUCAUGGAACAAUGGAAGAGAUGUACAUGAUAACGCAUUUCUUGGACUAUUUUCCGUGUUUGAAGGAGCUAAAGAUCUAUAUUGAAGGGAAUGAUCAUGCACAGCGCGAAGUGUCUGAAGUUAUCGCGGAGAAGAUAAAACUCUACAACAAAUCAUCGAGUAGCAAUGUCCAGCUUAUGGUUAGUGGUUACCAUGAAUAAGAAUACGACUGCACUGCACAAUGAAGCCUCUGAAGAACAAAACUAAAGCAUAGGUUUUUACUACCAUGAGAAAUAAGCCUAUUAUUGGUCCCGUGAAAUCUAGCAGGUAGAACAGAAUAAUAGAAAACAACGCAAUCCCAAACAAUGCAUUCGAAAGCAGUCUGUUACCAUUUUUUCUCCUUCAACUCAAUUAUGUUUAUAAGCCAACAAGAUUUCACGCGUUAUUUAACUCAGGCCAUAAACUGAUGUUUAACAUUUGUAUGAAUGCUAUACAUCAUGAACAUCGAACAUAGAAGACUUUCCUUUGUUUCUAUAUUCAUAUAUAUAUAGACUGUAGUAAAUAUUUCCCAAGUAAAGCACGAGACAAUUUUAUUAAGAUAUAGUAAUUGAGUUUCACAAGUAAUUAGCUUAAGACCUUGAAUGUUUGUAAAUUUCUACAAUGGUUUUUUUUUUUUAUCAUUCAAGAUAAAGUAAUGGGAAUCUAGCUAGAUUUUUAAAGUUUCUACAAAUUAUCAAACAAAAGACCAGAAACCAAUUCUAUUAUUCAAAUUAGAUUCGUUUUUCGAGUUGAUAAAUUUAGGUUCGGUUCACACCUCAACAAGGAGCAAAUUUUGGCCUUUUCGGAACUUCCUAUGUAGUGUAAACCUUGAAGAAAAGUCAAUCAGAAGUUUUACGUAACGCAUGCAUAUAUGUCCUCGUACUCAAAAGAAAAGCAUACACAAGAUACAUUGCAUUUACACAAACGAAACGCUCGAGCACCAUUAAUUAAUGAUGGAUUUACACUCGACAACUUUCAUUAUAUAACCAAGACUUCACGUUAUAAUCCUCUUUUCAUCUAAAACUUUUUGUGUUAUUACGAAUCUUGUUCUUUUGAAUAUUGUGUUCGAUUCUUUCCUCAAAUUUAUUGUUUCCCCUUUUUUGUGUUCGAUUCGUUGCUCUUACCAUUAUAGUUUUUGGAGCUCUUUUGACUUAAAAAAGAAAGAAAGAGAGAAAGCAAUCAAAGCCGUUGGAGACUCAUACCUGUACCCAUAACAACAAUACACGUUUUAUAAAUGGGAGAUAUUAAGUCUGACCAUAUUAUUCCAAGUUAUAAAACAUGUUGAUGUAAAAAAUGUGUGAAUGCACGUGGAUUCUAUGAAGAGAGCUCGUGUAAGCGCGGUGUAUGAAGGUAAAGAGAGAAAUAGAUCAAGCAACGGAGAGGAAACUCGAAGGGAACAGUCUAAACACGCGAGAAUGACGGCAAAAGCUCGGAUGAACGUUUACAAAGAGAGCAUGAAACCUCUGCCGCCUAAACGUAAGAAAUCGUUGAUGAUCAUAAGUUUGAUGAGAAAGAAGGAAGAUACGCAAGAUGAUCAAAAUAAUGUUACUGUUGUCGAAAAGGAAAAGGAGGAGAAAGAGAAAGGCACGGUGCAGAACAUCAGGGAAAAUGCGGAAAUGCUCUCAUCAAAAUGUGUUGAGGAGUGGCCGCACAUGUUAACAUAUGAAGAGGAAUGGACGUGGUUUGCGUUUGCGUUUGGGUGGGGAUGGUGGCAGCGUUAUGACGCGGUGAUGAGCGGUAAGAGUUGGUUUAACUAAAUAUUAAAGAUUAAGGUGUUUGUUACAAAUCAUUUUGGGUUGGUGAAACUAUAUACAUAGAUGAUAGUUGAUACUUGAUAGGAUUUCUUAAGAUAAAAGAAGAUAUUGAGAAAUCAGUGUAUGUAUAUCGACCGAAACGAAAAUAUAUCUUUAAAGGGUUCACUUUCGUUUAUGUUUAUAUACAGAGAUUUCUCAUAAUAGAUUUUCAGUAUUUUUUUUUGUUUUAUUUGGUGUUUCAAUAUUUCGAACAAAAUCCAAAAGCGUAUAUACAGACUUAGACGCUGGUGAAACAUGCAUGACUUGCAUUAUUAGAGCAUCCACAACGGUGGGAUCCAAAAAUCAAGAUUAUAGUUUGUUUUUUUCUAUUCCGCAAGAUUCAAACUAAUUGGAUUUUCGGUAGAUCUACCAACACAUAAACUACCUAUAUUGGGUUAACCAUUUUAGAAUCAAUUUUAGGAGAUAAACCCUAAUUUAAAUACAUUUUAGUUAAUAUUAAAGUUUAAACUACACGCAUGUAAGUCUACACAAAUUAUAUAAAAAACACUUCAAAGAACUUUCCGUUCACACAUUUGAUGAUUUCUUGUAGUUUCAUUAAGUCAAUGAACACACAAGUUUCAAAUUGAUAUUUCAGGUCAUUAAGACAAUGUUGACACACAAGUUUCAGAUUGAUAUGUGAGAUCAUUAAGAAAAGGGUCUUAAUCAUAAAUUUAAAAGUGGACUCUUAUCCGCAAGCCUAUCUUAUGUAUAUGGCACUGGCACCGUCCACAAAUGUGUCUAUCAUCCUUUCAAGUGGACCAUCCUUUUCCUUUAAGGUAAUAACUCUGUGUGACUGAGAUCUACAAACACAUGUUACACACUUCACAGUCCUUAUAAAGUAAAUUUACUUAUUAUUAAGAAAAUAAGAUUUUGUAACUUUUUUCCUCUUAAAACAAUGGACAAAUAUGAAUACAAAUCCAUAUGUCACUAUUAUCUAUAUUUACACAAUUUAUUCGAUUUUUUGUAUGUUGUCUUAUCUCAUCGGAAAUUUUCAAACUAGUUAACCAUCGGAAAAAAUCAAGACGCACGGAUAUAUAAAUUACAUAUUCAUAAAUCAGACAUUUGACAAUCCGAUAGAAAUUGUCUCAUAAAGAGAAAAAGAACACAGACAAUAGGAAAUGAAAUGAGCAGAGAUAAUUCAUAAGAAUGUUUUAGAAAAGAAAUUAAGCUUCGGUGAAGCUUGGGGGCUUGUAGGCAAUGAAACUGAUGCAUUGGACUUGACGGGUGUUGUCGAAUCCGAUGAUCCUAAUGAAGGCGCCCGGGUACUCCUUCUUGCAUUCUUCAACUUCCUUCAACACUUGAGCGGAGUCGGUGCAUCCGAACAAUGGAAGCUUCCACAUUGUCCAGUACCGUCCAUCGUAGUAUCCGGGAGUGUUUCCGUGCUCACGGUACACAAAUCCGUGCUAUAAACACAUAAGAAAACCAUUCAAUACAAUUGAUAUUGGAGGAUAUGCACAAGGUGAUAUAGUCUAUUUCGGUUCUACAAAAUCCGGUUAUAGGCUAAUAUUUCUAGCAAUGAAAACGAAUAAAUAAUAAUGAUUAGUAGACAAAAGAAAACUUUUGUGUUUAUUACCUCUAACUCGAAUUCAACACAAGGAAUCCACUUGUUGCGGAGAAGGUAGUCAACUUCCUUAGCCAAUUCGACGUCACUAAGGUCAGGGAGGUAAGAUAGAGUCUCAAACUUCUUCUUUCCAAUUGGUGGCCACACCUAUAAUCCCCAAAUCCAAUUCCAAAUUAAUAUAUCCUAUGUUUUGUUUUAUUGCACAUGACAAAAGACAGUUUUUAUUGAUGAUAUUACCUUCAUGCAGCUAACUCUUCCCCCGUUGCUUGCGAUGGAAGUGAUGUCCUUGUUGGUCUUGCGGGUGACCGGGAAUGCAGCGGAUGACUUCAAGCCGGUGAAUGGAGCGACCAUGGUGGCCUGAGCCGGGGAUGUAACCACAGCGGCGGAGGAGAGCAUAGAGGAAGCCAUUACUACUUCUUGUUGUUUCUCUUCUUCUUUUGCUCGUUUACUUACUGACUUGUUUUCCUACUGGUGUUGUCAUCUUUAUAUAAUGAGAACCCCCUAAAGGCGAAAAGCCCUCAUGAUCAAAGGGUCCAUGAUUCAUGAUAACGUCGUUUACUGCCACAGGAUUAAGGAAAGGUGUUGACACCCUUAUCGGUACGCACCACUAGGAUAAGGCCACGUGGCAGAAAACUCCAUUAUCUUAUCUUUUCUCUUGUGGGGGAAAUGAAGUGAAUGUGCGGUUACUGGUCUCCACUUGAUCGGUUGCUUUUGGCUCCUUUCGUUUGGGAGAAAAGAAACCAGACGCAUUACCUUAAAUUUAAUGCUUUUGGUCUUUUGGACCUCUUAUUUACCAUGUAUGAUUUAAUUUGGCUUAACACUUUCUUUGGAAAUAAGGUCGCAUUAAAAAAUAGUUAUAACAAAAUUAUUUAAAUUUGAUAUUUACAUAAAUAUAUUGUAUGAUAUUUAUCCGGACAAAAAAAAAAGCUUUAACCAUCUCCAAUAUUUGUUUCUAUUAUUUUCUUUCUGAAUAUAGAGGAAAAAAUAUAAUAGAGAUUUAUAUUUUAACUUCAAUGGUUCCUCAAAAAUUCGUUAGAAAAAAUAAAUAAGAGAAAAAAUAAAAAUCUCUAUUUUUUGCUUUAGAAAAAAAAUUAGAAAUUUCUAUUUUACAAAUGAAAAUAGAGAUGAGUUAGAGUUAAAUAAAUACAAAAAUAGAGUAUAUAAAUAAAAAUAGAGAUAGAUUCGAGAUGCUCUUAAAAAUAUUCAUUACUCUUUCCGUUUUAUUAAUAUCAAUUGUUAAGAUUUUUCAGGCAGACUUAUAAAUAAGAUUCCAUUUCAGACUAAUGGAAGUAAACCUAUCAAAAGAAUUCUAACGUGCUGUAGAGAGACUCCUUCGUCAUCGUCCCUUUUGUGAAAGAGUAAAUUAAAGAAUCCAUAAUGAGCAUAGUGUAAGAAGAACCAUUUAUCUAUUAGAUAUAUUCUAGUACUGGUAGACUGUCGAUUCUGGAUACAUCCUGAAAAUCAUUUACCACAAUAAAUUGUCGAUAAUCUUUUUGUUGGAAAAGUUAUAUAUUAUCUUCAAAUGAUAAUAUAUUAGUCGACAAAAGAAAAGCGAGACAAAAUUUGAAUACAUUGAUUUCGGUUAAUUCAAUACUUUCACUUCAUUUUUAGCAAAUAGUACUUUUAUUUCUGAUUUUUAUGUGGCUAGGAUAAAAGCAAAACCUUACUGGUUGGAGAGAGUAAAUAUUUGAGUCGAUACUAACAACAACUACAUCAUGCAAGAUAUGUUUGUGGGACAAAGAGACCGAGCGAACAAACGAAACGGCAAAACCAUCAUCUACAUGUAUCAAGUGCGCGGUAAACCCCUCAUGGAAGAAUUUCCAAGAAAACCUCCCAAAGUCCAUGGUAUCUUCUAUAUGAGGUAAUGCACGCUGCCUCUAGAUCAACAAGUAAUAUCAGCUCACGAUUAUCUUGCGACUCUGAUCACAUCACAAUAACAAUGGGGAACCCACAUACGCAACCGUUCUCCUUGGAGUACCAUGCCAUUGCACUUACGGCCCCCUCAAGCACAAAUAUGGCACCUCAAGCUGAUUUCCACCAUGCAAACUUGAGUAUGUAAUCAAAGGUGUAGAACGGAGUCAAGAACUCAUCUUAAAGUCACAUAAAACUAUGGUCAUGCACUCAUGGAUCACGACUACUACCUUCAGGCUCACAAAUUAAUGCCCCCUUUUCAAUCAUAUAUAUGAGAAGAAACGUGUACAAAGUACACAUUAACUGGUCACGAAAAAACUUUCGUGUAGGGAAAAGGAUCACAAGGUCCACUCCACUCCGCACCUCAGCUAAAUAAAUCAUUUUUCGAAAGUGAGAUAGUCUUAACUCUUAAGUCUUAACCCAUCCAUCUAAGUUACUAGUUUCUGUCUUUUAUAAGUCAUUUUGUUUCUUUUUCUUGGAUUUUAAUUGAAGCCAAAAUGUGUGAAUUAAAUCCGGGAGAUGGAAAAAAUGUUCGAUAAUUUGAAUUAUUAUUUUUAUAUGUAUUUUGUAUUUGAAUCAUGAAUUUUUUAUAUUUCGUUUGCAUAGAAGAAUCCAAAAACAUAUGAUUUUUUGUCAAAACAAAAACUUAAAACCAAACAUAUAGUAGAUGCGACGUUUUCAUUAUCAUUUGGAAUCUAGUUUUAUUUAGAACUUUUUGGGAACGUUAACUACUUUUCCUUCUAAAUAACUGUUUCAGCUUUUAAUGCAUAACCAAUGAUCAAAUUUAACGUAAACAAAAUUUCCAAAAUUUAGUAACUUCAUGCUUGACAAAUUUCAGUCUUUGUCGAUCCUUGCUUUAUGUAAUGCUAUUUCUUGACUUAAUAUCCCACUUAGGGGUUUGGAAUACAUGUUUUAUGUUUAUAAUUUUAAAAGAUGCAUUUGAAUUUUCUGUAUAUACUACCUUUUCCAAAUCUCCAAUGGCUAUGUCAUCUGAAAAAUGGUUACACUCCCUUACAUAAACUUUUCUCUAAAUAUCGAGGUUUGAUUGAUUGCUUUCAUGUGCAAAAUUUCUUAAAACAAUGUAGCAAGUUUUUCUUUUUUUAUUAGAGUUUAUUGGUUAGUCUAGGGAGUCAAAAGCAAGAAUUAUGAGGAUAAUUUAAAGGAGCCACAAUGUUGUUUAAAGGAGCUAAACGAAAAAUAAGAUUUCAAAGAUUUAAGGGCAAAAAUGAAAUGAAAUGAUAACUAUAAUUAUAGAGAAACUGAUAGGAAUAACAUUUUCACUUUCAAACAAUAGUUCCUCAACUGUUAAGUCGGCAAAUAAUUUCUUAAAUUUGCAUUGACCACAUAGAAAUGGGUUCCAGAAUAAUCAACGCUGAAUAUUCCAGAAAGGGGAUUAAGCUUCGGUGAAGCUUGGGGGCUUGUAGGCAAUGAAACUGAUGCAUUGGACUUGACGGGUGUUGUCGAAUCCGAUGAUCCUAAUGAAGGCGCCAGGGUACUCCUUCUUGCAUUCUUCAACUUCCUUCAACACUUGAGCGGAGUCGGUGCAUCCGAACAAUGGAAGCUUCCACAUUGUCCAGUAUCGUCCAUCAUAGUAUCCGGGAGUGUUUCCGUGCUCACGGUACACAAAUCCGUGCUAUAUAUAAAGAAAACCAUUCAAUACAAUUGAUAUAUAUAUUGGUGAUAGUCUAUUUCGGUUAUCCACUUAAGUUUCUAGCAAUGAAGAAGAAGAAUAAAGGAUGCUUAGAGACAAAGGAAAAGUUCAGUGUAUAUUACCUCCAACUCGAAUUCAACACAAGGAAUCCACUUGUUGCGGAGAAGGUAGUCAACUUCCUUAGCCAAUUCAACGUCACUAAGGUCAGGGAGGUAAGAUAGAGUCUCAAACUUCUUCUUUCCGAUUGGUGGCCACACCUAUAAAUUCGAAUUCCCAAUUAUUCUAAAGUAUUGUUCAGUUGCACUAAUUGCACAUGACAAAAGACAGUUUUCAUUAAUGACAUUUACCUUCAUGCAGCUAACUCUUCCUCCGUUGCUUGUGAUGGAAGUAAUGUCGUUGUUGGCCUUGCGGGUGACCGGGAAAGAAGCGGAUGACUUCAAGCCGGUGAAUGGAGCGACCAUGGUGGCUUGAGCCGGGGAGGUAACCACAGCGGUGGAGGAGAACAUAGAGGAAGCCAUUACUUCUUCUUGUUGUUUCUCUUCUUCUUUUGGUUUUUCUCUUACUUACUUGUUUGUCUGUUGGUUUUGUCAUCUUUAUAUAGUGGGAACCGCUAGAGGCAACUAGCCCUAAUGAUCAAAGGGGCCAUAAUUCAUGAUAACGUCGUUAAUUGCCACAGGAUUAAGGAAAGGUGUUGACACCCUUAUCGAUUUGGACCACUAGGAUAAGAUCACGUGGCAGAAAACUCCAUAAUCUUAUCUUUCUCAUGUAAGGGUAGGAGUGAAUGUGUAUGGCUACUGGUCUCCACUUGAUCGGUUGCUUUUGGCUCCUUUCAAUUGGGAGGCGUCAAAUUGUAGAUAUCGGUUAAAUACUUUUUACAUAUAGAUUAAAAAAAUGAUUAAAUUUCUAUUACCUUAUAUUAACACAUUCAUAUUUUUAUUUUUCCACUUGAUAAUCUUAAAUAAUAAGAAUAUAAGUAUAAUCUUUGAAUUCAUCCCACAUUUUAAAAGUAUAAUUAAAUCAGACAGAGUUCAUUCAAAAUGGUUUUUAAUUGGGAAAUGUAAACUAGUAUUUUGUGUUAUUAUUUUCUAUGUAGUAUGUACGAUCACUAGAACUUUUAGUCACAUAAUGGAUAUUAAAUUAGAAAACAAUCCAAAUGCUUGUGAAUUUUCAGGUUUUACGGCUAAUUAAUAUAUUUCUGAUGAACAAGAGGAACCCACGGCACCGUUCCUUUUGGAGCACAACGCAAUUGCACUUACGGCCCACUUAAGCACGAAUGUGGCACCUCAAGAUAAUUCCCACCAUGACAACUUAAGCACAAAAGCCAUGACGGAUCAUGGGGAAAUUUUAUAACACACUUCAAUGGAUGGUGUGGAUCCGAGGGAAGAAUCCACACUCUAAGGCCACAUGAAGAAGCUCAUAUGGUCAUGGGUCCACGAAUACCACGUAAAAGCUCAUAUAUGCCCCGGUCCAACCAUAUGAGAAGAAGUAGCCAAACCCAUUCAAGAAACAUUGAUUACUUUUCAUUGUAAAUAAGUGUUUUAGCUUUGAAUGUAUCGUAAACUAUCUAAUUUAAUGUAAAACAGUUUCCAAAUUAUAAAUAUUCAUGCUUUGUUAUCUCCAUUAUAAAUUUCAUUAAUUCUUGCGUGUCCUUGCUUGCUAUGAUGUCAUCUCUAAAUUUUUGGACUUGCGGCUCUAGAAUUCAUGUUUAUGGAUUUAAAAUAUACAGUUGGAUUUUUCUAUGUCAUUUUAAAAAAGAAAAUUUUUAGAUUAGAUUUUAAAAAGAGAAAUAAACGUGUUUACAACUUAAUGCAUACUUUUUUGAAAAACAAAUCUAAAACAGAGGAUUUGGUCUUAAGCUUGUCUUGUACCAAACCAAACUUGAAGACCUCCUUCAUACUUCAAAGCUCCCCCCACUCCGUAUUGUGCUCAGCCGGUUCCAAACAUUUUUGUCAAUUAACUUGACAAGUUUCUCCAUUGGUGAUGGUUGUUCACCAUGCUUUCAAGCAUUUCUUUCUCCCCAAAUCGAAUGAACCGUGUUUUGGAAGACAUACCGUAGAAUGAAGAUUUUUGUUUUGUCAUAGUUUUUGUCACAAAUGGUUUUAAAGACUUCCCUCCAAUAUGUCGAGUACUUAUCAAGUAGUAUUCCCCUUAUCAGCUUCUCCCAUACCUUCUGCGAGUAAGAGCACCCAAAAAAAAGAUGGUGUCUUGUUUCCAUAGGUUCGUGACAGAACAUGCAGUUUGUGUUCACUUGUUGAUUCCAUUUAAACAUUCUGUCUCCCGUGGCAACUCUGUUUUUUGAAGCUAGCCAACUGAGAAAGGAGUAGUUAGGGUAAAGUAAAAGAAACAGAUCCCUUUGUAUCCGUCCAUCGUAGGCUUAGUGUUGCGAAUUUUUGAGCAUGUAUCUCUUGUGACAAACUUUUGACGGUAGUGAUCAUUUUUUCCUUUCCAAAGGGCUAUGUAACUUUCAUCUUCUCUGAGACGACAUCUCUAUUUUCUACGUAUUUUUACUACCUUUACUGGCUGUUUUUCAUCUUUAAAUUAAAAUGUUCUAAAUCAACCCUCAAAAUUUGAUUGAUGGACGCAUCUUUGCUAUGCUUUCAAGUGCGAAAUGUACCUAAAAAGGGUACUCUUUCAUUAGAGAACCAAAGGCAAGAAUUAGGAGAGAAAUUUAAAGGAACUAAAAUGUUAGUUAAAAGAGAUAAAACGAAUAAAAAGAGUUAAAAGUGAUAAGAGCAGAAAUGAAGUGAUAUGAAUAGAGAUUUUUAUAGAGGAAACGAUAGAAAAACAAACCUUCAGUUUUUUCACUUUGGCAAAAUAAUUACUUAAAUUUACAUUGACCAUACAAAAUUGGGUUCCGGAUAGUCAACAUUGAAUAUUCCAGAAAAGGAUUUAAGCAUCAGUGAAGCUUGGGGGCUUGUAGGCAAUGAAACUGAUGCAUUGGACUUGACGGGUGUUGUCGAAUCCGAUGAUCCUAAUGAAGGCGCCCGGGUACUCCUUCUUGCAUUCUUCAACUUCCUUCAACACUUGAGCGGAGUCGGUGCAUCCGAACAAUGGAAGCUUCCACAUUGUCCAGUACCGUCCAUCGUAGUAUCCGGGAGUGUUUCCGUGCUCACGGUACACAAAUCCGUGCUAUAAACACAUAAGAAAACCAUUCAAUACAAUUGAUAUUGGAGGAUAUGCACAAGGUGAUAUAGUCUAUUUCGGUUCUAAAAAAUCCGGUUAUAGGCUAAUAUUUCUAGCAAUGAAAACGAAAAAAAUAAUAAUGAUUAGUAGACAAAGGAAAAGUUUUGUGUAUAUUACCUCCAACUCGAAUUCAACACAAGGAAUCCAUUUGUUGCGGAGAAGGUAGUCAACUUCCUUAGCCAAUUCGACGUCAGUAAGGUCAGGGAGGUAAGAUAGAGUCUCAAACUUCUUCUUUCCGAUUGGUGGCCACACCUAUAAUUCCCAAUUCCCAAUUAUUCUUAAGUAUUGUUCAGUUGCACUAAUUGCACAUGACAAAAGACAGUUUUCAUUAAUGACAUUACCUUCAUGCAGCUAACUCUUCCCCCAUUGCUUGUGAUGGAAGUAAUGUCGUUGUUGGCCUUGCGGGUGACCGGGAAAGAAGCGGAUGACUUCAAACCAGUGAAUGGAGCGACCAUGGUGGCUUGAGCCGGGGAGGUAACCACAGCGGCAGAGGAGAGCAUAGAGGAAGCCAUUACUUCUUCUUCUUCUUCUUUUGCUUAAUUGUUUUUCUAUUGGUUUUGUCAUCUUUAUAUAGUGAGAACCGUAAGAGGCAAAAAGCCCUAAUGAUCAAAGGGUCCGGGAUUCAUGAUAACUCGUUCACUACCACAUGAUUAAGGAAAGGUGUUGACACCCUUAUCUUAUCUUUCUUUUGUGAGGAAAUGAGUGAUUGUGUAUGGUUUACUAGUCUCCACUUGAUCGGUUGCUUUGGCUCCUUCCUUUUGGAAGAAAAGAAAUCAGAUGCAUGACCGUAAAUAUAAUGUUUUGGACCUUUUAUUUAUCUUGUAUGUAUUUUUAAAAUUUGGUUUACAUUACUUCGGUUAAUAAAUACUAUAACAGGAAUAUCUAUAAACAGAGUCAUGACUCAUAAUGCAUUUCACAAUGUCAAAGCUGAACGUUGAGAUAAAUUUAUCAAUAGCACUAAAUAUUAAUCCGCGGUAUACCGCGGGUCUAUAUUUUCAUUAAAUAAAAAAUAAUUGAAUAUUUCUUAGGAUGACUUAAUAAAUUUCUGCUAUUGUUUGAUUUAAAUGUAUAAUUCACCGCGAGACAAAAUUUUAUAACUCAAAUUUUAAAGUUUUAAGUUGUAUUUGUUUAUUUUGUUAAAUGUUUAAUAUUGUAUAAUUGUAUUUUGAUUGUUGUUUCUCGGAUUUCACCCGUAGUACACCAUCCCAUAUUAAUAUCGAAUCAAACCCGUCAAUUCUAGGAUUUCACCUGUGGUAGUAUUUAAUUGUAUAAUAAUAACUUGAUUGUCAUUCUAGGAUUUCACUCCUAGUUCUAUCGCAAAUUAUUAUCAACUCAAACCAGUCAAUUCUAAAAUUUCACCCGUUGUACACCAUCCCAUAUUAAUAUCGAAUCAAGCCCGUCAAUUCUAGGAUUUCACCCGUGGUAGUAUUUAAUUGUAUAAUUAUAUUUUAAUUGUCAUUCUAGAAUUUUACUCCUAAUUCUAUCGCAAAUUAUUAUCAACCUAAACCAGUCAAUUCUAAAAUAUCACCCGUAGUACACCAUCCCAUAUUAAUAUCGAUUCAAACUCGUCAAUUCUAGGAUUUCACCCGUGGUAGUAUUGCGAGAGAAAUCUUAUAAAAGAAUCGAAAUGUGUUUUAAAAAAAUUAAAGUUUUAAGUAUUUUUUUUUAAUAUUGUUAAUUUUGUUUAGUGCUUAAUAUUAUAUAAUUAUAUUAUGAUUGUUAAUUAUAGGUUUUUUUCGUAGCAUAUCAUCCAAUGUUAUAAUUCACUCAAAGCCGUCACACCAUAUAACCCCGUCCCGUUAAAUUAAACACAAAUUUGUCAUUUUAUUAUAAAUUUCAAAUAUUUAUAAAAUUAGAAACUUCAAAAAAGAUUAAUAUUGACCCAAACUUCAUCAUUGAAUUUUGAGUGUUAUAUCUAAGAUUUCUCUCGCAGUAUAUCGUCCCGUAUUAAUAUCUUUUAUAUUGUUUAAAUUUCUUGUAAAAUUUGAUUUAUAAUUUUUUGAAACUUUUUAAAGUUUCAAUUCUUUAAAAUAAAUAACCCUAGUAAACAAACCAUUUUAAUUUUGGACACCUCAUAAAUCAAGUUUCAUGCUCAUUCGUAAUCGAAAUUAUUUUGGUCCUUUUUAUAGUAUGGCUCUGAACCAUUGUCCAAUUUUUUUAAGCGAUGUGGGACAUUGUACAAUCGUAAUUAUUAUCCACCCAAACCCGUCCUACCAUAUAACCCAGUCCCGUGAAAUUAAACAUAAUUUUGUCAUUUUCUUAUAAAUUUCAAUAUUAUAAAAUUUGAAACUUACAAAAAAUAAAAUAUCGACCUUGAUUAUAUUUAAGAUUUUUCCUGUAAUAUAUCGUCUUGUAUUAAUAUAUUUUAUAUAUAUAUUUAUAAUGUUUAAAUUUCUUGUAAAAUUCAAUUUAUAAUUUUUAAAACUUUAUCAGUUUUAAAAUUAUAAAUAUUUAAAGUAUUUUUUAAAGAUAAACUUUAUAAAAAGUUUUUAAAAUUAUAAUAUUUAACUUUUGAUAAAGUUAUAAUAUUUAUAAUUUCUUGAAACAUUUUAAAGUUUCAAUUCUUUAAAAUAAAAAACCCAAGUAAAUCGGAUAACUAUUUUAAUUUUGGACGACUGAUAAAUCAAGCUUCCUGCUCAUUCGUAAUCAGAAUCAUUUUGGUCCUUUUAUAAUAUGGGUCUGAAACAUUGUCCAAUUUUUCUAAGCGAUGUGAGACAUUGUAUACAUAUUAUUUCUUCAUACUUUGAAUAAUAUAUGUCCGUUUAAAAAAAUUUGAAUUACAUCAUAUGCAGAAAAAAAUAUAAUAUUUUAUUAACUAUAUAUAUUUUAUAUAAAUUCAAAAUAAAUAAAGUAUAAGAUCAAAUAAAAGUGAAAGAAGAAUUAUAUAUUUAUGUUUAAAUUAGGUAAAAAUAUUUUAGGAAAUUAGUUAAGGUAAAUAACAAAUAUGGUUCGUUUAGAGAUAUUGUUUAUAUUAAAUUUGGUAAUUAAAUCAUUAAUUUUUGUUUUUAAUUAUUAGUUUUUAGGUAACUUUUCCAAAAAUUAAUGUUAUCGAAGAUCAGAACAUAAUUAAACAUGUUAUCCAAGAUCCGAACAGAGUUAAACCGGGUUAUACCCACCCAUUUGAAUUAAUUGUUGAAUUAUGGCUCAAAUCUUCAAUAUUAUCUUCUAAAAACGUCUACAAAAAUGUAUAUAUAGAAGAUUACUCUUUUUAACUAAAUGCAAAAAAGGAAAACCGAUAAGAAUAAGAAAAAAAUAGCAAAAUUGAUAAAUGGAUUAGUCAAGAAAACCAUGUUUAAAUAUAGGAAAUACCAAAAAUGAAAGGAUAGCCAUGUGAUACGCUUGUAUAAAAAGAAAUUGUCCCUAUUGAUUACUUCAAAAAAAAAAAAAAAAAAUAAAUAAAUAAAUAAAUAAAGAGGCCAAUUCGACAAUAAAGGCAAUGCAUAGUCUCUCGUGGUUUCUCCUCGUCAUUGGAUUAUCCGUAGGGUUGAGUAGCGGAAAGUGGAAUGAGAAAAACUCUGUCAUCUUUACGAAUUCUCUUGGUCGGAACAAAGUCUUGAAAGUAAAUUGCAUAUCAAAUGAUGACAAUCUAGGCUUCCACUUUUUGCGCCAUGGACAAACCUACGAUUUUAGUUUCCACGAUAGUCUUUUCAAAUCAGAAUUCUAUUGUGACCUAUGGCAAGGCCCUAAUUUCAAGUUGCAUGCAGCAUUUACGGCAUAUGAAGGUGGUGGUUUGAUAGUUCAUUAUGGUAAAAAGAACUUUUGGGAUGUUAGAGAUGAUGGGAUCUAUUUCACCCAUGGCCAAAAAAUGCCCAAGUUAGAGUAUACGUGGAAGUAAUAAUUAAUCACUCAAAGGGAAAAGAUGGAAUUUAACUCAUCUUUUUGUUUUAAAGUUUGACAGAAACUUCAUUUUCUUGUGUAUUAUAGUGGACGUGAAACAUUGUAAUAAAUCAUCAAAUUAAGGCACCUUAAUAUGUAAAUGUAUCUUUAGUGUAUUAAAGAGAAACUUUAUAAGUAUGUGAGUUUUUCAAUACGCAAACAUAUCCAAGGCUUACGUCCUAACCAAAACUAAUAUUAAUUUGCACAUAUAUACAUGAUUAAUGAAUAAUGUAAGUAGACAGAGUGAGAGAUCACCCACCAGCUCUCCCUCUCCCCAAGUCAGCUUUCAUUUCAAAUCCUGAAAGGUAUCGUCGCUUGGUAGGGCGACUUAGCUACUUAAUUAGCUGACACCUGAGUUAGCCUAUUCAGUUCACAAAUUAGCACAGUUCAUGCAACAUCCACUUUAAGAACACUGGGAUGCUGUGAUAUGGGUGGUUCCGAUAUCUAAAAUCCAAUCCGCGCCAAGGCCUUUUGCUUCCCAGCUCAUCGACUUUGCAGCGUCAUGGUUGGUGUGAUAGUGAUUGGGCCGCCUGUCCUCUUACUAGACGCUCUCUCACAGGUUAUUUUGUACAACUUGGUGACACAAAAAUCUCAUGGAAAAUGAAGAAACAACUGACUAUCACUCGCUCUUCCGCAGAAGUCGAAUAUCGAGCCAUGACAUUUCUUACUCAAGAACUUAUUUGGCUUAAAAAGGUGAUGCAUGAUCUUGGUGUCUCUCAAGAUCGACCUAUGCGCAUAUUCUCUAACAAUAAGUCCGCUAUUGCUCUAAGUGCCAAUCCGGUUCAACAUAAACGUACAAAACAUAUUGAGGUGGAUGGUCACUAUAUCCAUGAUAUCCAUGCUGGUAUUAUGACUACUACCCAUGUGUCCUCUCAACAACAAUUAGCAGACAUUCUCACUAAGGCGUUGGGACAAAGAGAGAACUCCAUUUCUUUCUCUGCAAGCUGGGCAUUCUUGAUGUAUAUGCUCCAACUUGAGGGAGGGUGUUAAAUAUAUUUGCUACUUAUAUUCUUAUUAUUAGAGUGCAUCUUAGUCAAUAGCUACUAGUCAAGCUUAGUCAACUCUACUUUGCCCCUUUUGGUUUUUCCAUGGUAACCACAUUAUGUACUUUAGGUUAUAUCAUCUUUUUGUAUAAUUAUGGCUUUUAACGCCUAAUCAAGAUAACACAAAUUAAAACCAAUCUCUGUCUCUUGCCUUAAAUCUGACACUCUUUUGGAUAAGUUUCUUUUAAAAGCGUUUAAGAAAAAUUUCAACAUUGCUAAUUAUGAGAUAUAUGUCAACAAACUCAAGGCAUUGUUUUAUAAGAAUACUAGAUAUUUCGCCAAACCACUCAUGCUAUAAUGGGAGUGAAAGUCUUAAAUUGGAAUAUUAAGAAUAAGAUCUUUUAUCAUGACUCGUAAUUCAUAUCACAAAUGUCAAAGCUGAACGUUUCAAUAAAUCUAUCGAAAGCAUUAAUCCUUUAAAUAGAUGUGAAACAGCGAAAUAGAUAAGGGCACAAAGAAAACAGUAAAAGCGAUCAACAAGUUCGUAUGAGUCAAAACUCAAAAAAAAAAACAUGUUUAAAAAUAGGAAAGACCAAAAACUAACGACUAACCAUGUAAUACACUUGUAUAAAAAGACACUAUCCGUCUGUCCCUUUUCAUUAUCUACAGAUUAAUUACUUCUGAAUUUAAAAGAAGGAAGGCCAAUUCAAACAGUCAACAAUGAAUCGGCUCUCGUGUUUUCUGCUCGUUAUUGGAUUGUGCAUAGGAUUGAGUAACGCAAAUUUAAUAUGGAAUGAGAAAAACACUGUAUUCUUCAAGAGUUCCCUUGGUCGAAACAAUGUUUUGAAGAUUCAUUGCACAUCAGAAGACAAUCUAGGUUUCCAUUUUUUGCGUCCUGGAGAAACCUAUGAUUUUAGUUUCCAUGAUAGUAUUGUGAGAUCAGACUUUUACUGUGAAUUAUGGCAAGGGCCUAAUUUCAAGUUUCAUGCAUCAUUUAUGGCAUAUCAAGGUGGUGGUCUCAUAGUUCAUUAUGGUAAAAAGAACUUUUGGGAUGCUAGAGAAGAUGGAAUCUAUUUCACUCAUGGCAAAGAAACGCCCAAGUUAGAGUAUAAGUGGAAAUAAUAAUUAACCACUCAAUGUAUGAUGGAAUUGAGAUCAUCUUUUUUUACUUUUAACAAAAGCUUAUUGUUCUUGUGUACUAUUGUGGAAGGGAAACCUUUGAAAUAAAUUUAUCGAAAGUAUGUGAACUUUUGAAGACGAAAACUUUCAAUACUUAAGUCCUCAUCUAAACUAAUAUUUGUAGUUAAAUGAUUAAUGAAUAAUUAAUGUGAGAAAAUCCCUAAAAGAAUGGUGGAAAAAAAGGAAGAUGUGUCAAAUGAUUUUUGACUCAAAUUAGUUAAUCGGUAAACUAAAUACCUGAGUUAUGUAUGCUUUGGCAAAACACACUUAAUUGGGCUCACUAAUUGAAUUUACAGAUUAAGAUUUCGUCAAAGCCCAACAAAUAACGAUAUCCUAAUAUUUUUGUAGUAUAUGCAGCCCAUCACUUUAAAAAUUCCCGAACCAGAAUGCUACAUCAAAAUUAUAGCAUUCACAACAUGUUUCUUUUUGUCCAAGUGAGUUUGGAUGUAGAAAUUUGGAUACAAAACAAGUUGCAUAUUAUGAUGCAAUCGAAACUAGAGUUUAAAUGCAUCAAUUCCAUCUAUAACUAAUUAACGUAAACGACUAAAAAUCAACUAAUAUUGUCUAUGUCGACCCAAGUUAAUUCGGGUCCGCUUUUGCGAUACUUCCAGGGAUUUGUUCUAUUUUACCUUGCUUGUAGGACAUGUUCUAUGUUCUAAGCUUUUACAAUUCAGGUUGUAAGUGAAGCGUAUUUUUGUUUCAUUGCUUGUAAAUGAAACAACACAUAGUUUGUUAACGGAGUUGAUGGUUUCUAACCGCUAUAUCUCGUAGAAAAACUCUUGCUCCCAAGCUUCACUAUAUAAGGAAGAGGUUGCACACAUGACAUCACUACUAACUUUCGAUGUUGUCUUUUAAUUUUACGUUCACUCCAGAAACACAAGGAUAAAAACAACACACACACACACAAACAAAACAAAACAAAACAAAACUUGCUUGGAAAAUCUUAGUUUUUCACUUUCUCUAAAACUCUUUUUUCUUUUUUCGUCUUGUAUCACUUAUUACAUUUAUAUCUGAGCCUUUGUUAUGUAUAUAUAGCUGUAUGCAUUUGGGGCAAAGCCCUUCCGAGAACAUGUCUCCCUUCUAUGUCAAACUUCGUCUUGUGACUCUUGACCAUGAAAGCCCAUUUUUUGGGUGUGUUAGAGCAUCUCCAACAAGCCUUCUAACCUUCAAUUUAUUUUGAACCCUCUAACCCUUAUAUUUUUAGGAUGUAAAUAGUGCACCUCGAAUUUUAUGGUGCAUUUUUUACACCCUCAGGCCUCAACAACCAAAACUGAUUAUUGUUAAUAUUGCACAUAACAAGAGAACGGAAAAAUACCUUGGUAGUUUCAUAUCUGUAACAUAGUCAGACGUAUCAUUAGUUUAUUUAAAACAGUUGUACCACGAUUGUCUACGAAUACAGAAAAGGAAAAAAAAAACGAAUAUGAAAUUUUUUCCAAGGAAAAAUAACUAGUACUACGAUUUAAUGUACAAAGAUAUAACUUAAAAACCUCUGUCAAAAAUAUCAUAUAAUAAAUAUUUCUUAUAUUAAAUAUAGGAAACACAAUUCAAUAUGUAUAAGAAAAACAAUAGUAUUUUCACAUUUCCACCAAAUCUUCUAUGAUUUCAAAGAUUUUUAAUCUUUUGAUAGUGGAAGGAUCUUUGUUUAUAAUCGUCAAAGAAGAUACAGUAUCACAAUUAGAUUUAGAUACACAUGCGUGUGCAUGUAUUUUCUAAAAACAAGAAAAAUUAUACUCUCAUAUAAUAUGCAUUCUCACUUACGAAUAACUAAUUUGCAUAGGGUGUUGAUUGCGAUACUGAAUUGAUCAAAAGAUUAUUUCUUUGCUAUGUUCUUUAUUGGGGCGUAUCUAAAAUUAUGACGAUAUGUUUUUGACUUGUCAAUUCAGAAGAUUGUACCACUGAAUUAUUCUAUACAUAUUAUAAAAAUUAUACAUUUCAAAUAUGUUUUUUUCCACAUUUUGUACGAUUUUCAGACUUGAACUUUCAGAAGAAAAAAAAAACAUUUGCCUUUAAAAAUACAAACUAUAUUCAAAAUCUAAUUGAAAACAAAGAAUGACAGAAGACAACACAAAUGCGCAAAAAAAAAUAAAAAAAUCAUGAUCGUACAUAUGAAAGAGUUUCUUUUAAAUUUAUCAAAAAAAAAAAAUCGUGAAGGAUUUUCUUUUAAAACUUUUUUUAACUUUCUGCAAUGUGGUAUUUUUAUACAUAUGCCACAUAACACAAAUGUUUUUUUUUCUUUUCCAUUUAAUCCGACUAAGACCUAAUAAUUAAAAGAUAUACCUAUCAUAAGUUACCAGUUUUAUUUAUUUCUGAUCAAUUUCAAAGGUUACUGACCACAUAUCAAAAAAUAUUAUAAGAUAUAAAGAAGCAAGAAUCAACCUUAGUCAUUGUAAGUGCAAAGGCUGCCACCAAACUUAACCAAGAAAAAUUAAAUAUGAACUCCUUUUCCCCCAUCACUAAUCAUUCUUUUUGUUUCUUUGAUUAUUAAAUUUCAUGUUUUAUGUUUGUUUAUUAUUUUAAGGCUUAUCUAGAUUGAACCCAUCUUAAUAUUACAUUAUGACUUAUUAUUAUUGAAUUUCAACUCACUUUCUAAGCCAAUAAAGGUGAUCGAUGGACAUAUGCUUUUGGCCUUAUGCCAGAGAGUUAUUGAUUUAUACCAGUUGCAGUCUCAAAGCACAUAAUAUGACCUUACACAUAGACAACAGUCACAACUUUUCAUAUCUUUGUGUCUUUAAAUUAGAACUAAGAAGAUUUAUUUAUAUAUGUACAACUAGUCUUUUUUGAAUAAACUAAAACAAAAGCUUUAAUUUGGCCUAAAGAAAACACAAUCAUUUGGAAGAUGUGGUAAUUAUAUAAUACAUUUAUUCGAAAUCUCCUUCUCAGCCUUCUUACUUCGAAUAACAUAUCUACUAUAUUUUUGGCAUAUCAAUAGUUUUUUUGGAGUUUUAAAAGUAUGUGUAUAAAAGAAGUUUAAGAAUAACAAUUCAAAGAUAUAUGUCAUCCAUAAACAUAUUUCUUCUACUACCAUAGAUCAUAUUAAAUUCAUUUACUACACAAGUUUAUGUUUCAAAUACUAUAUUUUAAAACAUGUUACAUAAACCAAUCAUGCGGGUUUUUGAGUUUGUUCUCGUCACACUUUACACAAAACAAUAGAAAAUGUCUUUUUGAGGAAAAAGAAUUAACAUAAUUUGAUGUCAUAGUAACAUUUAUUCCGAUUUGUAUCCCUCAUGAAAUUCAAAAUCUCCCUCAAUCUCAAAAUCUUCCUUCUAGCCGUGCUUUACCAAGGCAUUCCAAAUCAAACUAUUUAAACCGCGAAAAUCCUCAUGAAACCAAUGGCUUCAAUAUCACUUGAACUCCAUACUUAGGUUUUAUAGUAAGCACAACGAUUGGGGCAUGCCUAUAAUUCUUUGAUAUUGUGAAGUUAAACUUUGAAAUUAACGUGGCUAAUAUUAUUUUAGCUUCCAUCAACGCAAACUGUUGUCCGAUGCAGUUCCGUGGACCGGCUGCAAAUGGGAUGAAAUGGCGACCAGACGCGAAUGGUCUGCCUCCAAAACGUUCGGGAUUGAAUUGGUUCGCGUCUUUACCCCAUAAUUCUUCACUGUGAUGGAUAGCAAGAACCGGUAUCCAUAUUGAUAAACCUUUAGGAAUGGUUAGAUCACCUAGUUUUAGAUCUUCAAAUGCCAUCCUUGGUAGAAGAGUAGCUGGAGGGUAAAGUCUUAGUGACUCGUUAAUCACUUUGCUUAACUGUUCCAAAGACAAAGAAAAAGAAGUUAGAAGACUAUUCUAUUAAUUCAUUUUGGAAUCAUAUCUUUGUGAUCAUGCGAAGUGCUUCUUGACUCUUUCUCAAACAUCUUUUAGUUUGGGAAUUGACUUUUCCUUUUGAAAAAAAUAUCAAUGAAGCUGUCAAGAUCUAAUCAUUAGUUAAUACAUGUUUAGAUUUCUUAGAUAAUAUUUUAUGCAAAGCAUGCCUUAGUGCUAAUCACUAAACAAAUGGAAGAUGUCUUAUUUAACCAUUUAUUUAUGCCUGAAAGAUCUAUUUACCAAUAUCUAUAUCGUAUCAAAUUUCAAACCUGGCUUAACCAAUGCUAAUCAUAUCUAAAUAGUAUCACUAUAAAACUAAUCAGAAAGUAUGAUUCUAUGUAAAUCGGUUAUAAUAAACAUGUAACGAUUUAACCCAAUAUGAAUAUAUCUUUAAAGCUCAAUAAACAUACACAUUGUUAAAAAACAAUAUUUGUGUUCUAACUAGGAUUGAAGAUAAAGGAAUAAAGACAAAAUUAAAUGAUAUCUACUCAUUAGGGUUCUUCUGUGCCGACUAUGACUAUGUUAUAAGCUUAGUUAUGGAAGAAGCACUACGAUGCUAGUGGCAUUGUCUAUACUGUGUUAAAUGUUAAUACCCCACACGCACCCAUCCAUCCAUCAUAAAGCUAAUUCUACUAGUCAAAUAAAUUAAUAGGUUACUAUAAUAUAUAGUUAUAUGAUUAUUAUUUGGAGCAAACAACAAAUAUUAUCUUUUUAUAUCUAUGAGUUAAUGGAGUUCGAGUCACUGAUGCGUGGUCAGACAAAAACUUAAGGUUGAAAAGUUGAAACGGUCACUGAUGGAUUAGUACUAAACCGUAUUUUCAUGAUUUUUUAACAACACCAAACUCAUGAAUGGUGAGCCGACGUAACCGCAAGUAGACUAAUAUGUCUCGUCUGCUAGCUAUUUACGUUCCAAACUUAGGUAAAACUUAAUUCCUAUGUUAACAAUCUCACCAAAAGAUAAGACUUUGCAAGAGAAGGACUAAUUUUAUGUCUAGAUUUUAGAAGUUAUUGUAUAAUAUGUAUUGAAAAGUGAAUGUACGUACCGAGGUUAGCUUAGAUAGUUGAUCGACUGAGGGAAGGCCAUUGCGGCCAAAGACCUCCCUGACCUCCUCACGGACUUUUUCCUGCCAUGUGGGAUUAUCGGCGAGGAGCAUUGUUGUCCAUGUGAGGAGCAAAGCCGUGGUUUCAUGGCCAGCAAAGAAGAAUGUCUUGCAUUCAUCCAUUAUCAACUGAAGAUUGUUGUUGUUAUUGUUAUUGUUCUUGUCAAUAUCCAUUUCGUUCAAGAGAAGCCCGAGAAGGUCGUCACCGUGAGUGCUACUCCUACCCAUUUCAGCGCAGUCUCGCCUGCUUUGUAUGAUCUCAAUCAACAAACGCUCAACUUCUUUUUUCAGAGACUUGAUCUCUCUGUUGUAUUUGCUUGGAAGAAACCUACAUAUACAAAAGAUUUGUUAUUAAGUCAAUGUUAGACCACAGUUAAAGUUUAAUCCUAAAACAAUAUACGUUUUAAAGCUUCACCGAGGAUCACAACAAAUAAAUAGAAAAACUAAAUUUUGUUAUGUAUAACUUAAUGUUUAAGAAUUUGUAUGGUGGCAGCCGCGGUCUGUCUGCUGCCACCAUUACUGAAAAUAUAGAGAUUAAUUACGAUUUCUAGGGUGAGGAAGAAAACCAACCGGCUGCCGGGAAAGCAGAGGUGGCGGGUGGCUUGAGCGCAACGGCGCUGGAGGACAGUGAGGUGGUUGAAAAGCUCUUUGCCUUUCUCAAAGCUGCUUCCGAACUUUGUCCUCGAUAUAAUAUCAGCCGUGAGUUUAUGCAUCUCCUCUCCUAUCUCCACCUCAUUUGCUCCUUCCCCAACUUCCUUCCUCAACCUCUCAACUAGCUUGCUUGUGCACUCCACCAUAUGCCUUGCGUAUCCCUACAUCAUAAGGGUACUUCAGUCAUUCAACGUCAAGUAACUAAGCAUUGUUUUUUGCAUGAGGCUAGUUUAUUGACGUGCCUUGAGUCUUUCUCCGGUAAAUGCCGGUGCAGCAAGGUGGCGUUGGUGGUGCCAAUCUUGGCCAUUAGCCAUUAGGAGACCGCGACCGAUAAAAUUCUUAGUCCCUUGUUGUUGUAGCCACGAUCUUCCACUAACACCGUUGUGUUUCAUCAGCAACUCCUUUAUCAAUUCCGUUUCCGUUAAGCAAAGCCGAGGAUCCGUCCCGUUCCACACAAUAAACCUCUUCCCUGUUUCAUCAAAACGUAAAUUUAUCUAAGGAUUACUCAUUUUAUUACAUGUAACCCUCCUUUAAUCAAAGGCCAAACAUUCUUCAGUAUGUUUUACGGAGAAAAAACAAAAAAUACAUGGAGGGUAUUUCCGUCAUUUUAUCUGGCUCCAUUGAUAGAUGUCACUUACAAUUAACAGACCAACUUAAUAACGAAAUCUAUGUAUAGACUUCACGACCAAGAAAACACAAACUUGUUACAAUUCAAGACCAUACCGUAUUGUUUGGACCAAGCAACGUAAUGCGGGAGAAGGCGGCCGACGAUGUCAUGGUGAAUAGAGUCACAAUCCUUGGAAGCGGAUUGCGAAACCAUGGCCGAGAUUUCAAGGAUAUUUCCGGUUAACGGACGCGGUUUAGGACCCGUUACGCCUUGCUGUUCCAUGAUCUUCUUGAUUCGUCUAGGUGUUAGCCAGUAGCACGAUAUGGUGUCGUAUAAAACUCUCAAUAUCGUAGUCACGAAUAUCACGAGGAGUGAUUUUAAUAUAGUAAGCAACAUUUUUGGGUUUUUUCUUUUCUUCUUCCAGCAACAAAGAUUCGAAAAGAAAAACAAGAGAUAUUAAGAGGGUGAGAUAAAGAGUAAUGGUGUAUUUAUAGUGUCGAGAUACAAUAUAAAUUCAUGUAGGGUACUAAAUCUGGGAGAACUAAUUAUGGUAUAACUUUGUUGCAUAUUCUCACUUAAAGAAAUGGAAGAUAUUGAGACUAAUUAAAUUAGUAAAUCUCGUUAUUUUUUACCUUGCUUGGCUAAACGUUUCCAUUUAAUUCUUAUACUUUUAAGAGAGACACUCCAAAUUAUUAUUACAGAAACAAGUUGUGACAUUUCACAAAUGCCAACUUUGGGAAGUUUCCAGAACUACAAAAAAAAAAACAUUUAUGUUCACGAAGGGUUCCUAAAAGUUUAAGAAAUAAAGUAUCCCUAAAUUUUUAAGAACUCUUCUUAAAUUAUAAGAAAUGUUUCAAUCAUUUAGUAUUACUUCCUGAAUUUUUAAAACAUUUUAUAAGAUUAAAAUUUGUGGCCUUUUCUUAGAAAAUGUUGUAUACCAAAUAUGAUUAAAAAAAAAAAAAAAAAAACUCAUUUCCUGAGAAUCAAAAGAGAACAUCUCAGCUCAAUUAUGAUCGAAUCUUGACCAUAAUUAUGUACUAAAACUUAUAUAGCGUAUUACUGAGAGGGUCGAGAGAGAAAAGGACUUGAAAAUAAAAUUAAGUCUCCUGAAACAGUAAGAACUACCAAGAAUUGUUCUCGUAUUUGUCCCAGUCCCAGUCCCAGUCCCACACAAAGCUGGAUCACAUAAACCAUUCAAAAUCACUGCUUAGGUAUAAGUGUUUGAUUUCUCUUUUAAUUCGCCUAUGAUCCAAUCUUAACCAUAAUUAAUCUAUGAGAUGUAAAGUUUCAAGAAUUUGUUUCUAAAGACAACACAAAAAAAAAAGGUCGUGUUAAAUACAAUGUGCUUGAUAUAUAAAAAGUUCGAUCCUGGCCGUCUCAUUAAGGGGACAACAUAUUAAUCUGAUAGCUAUGACCUGUGUCGCUGUAACAUUCGGGACAUGAUUGCACAACACAAAAUUUCAUUAAAACCUUACGUUUCCUUUCAUAAAGGUAAAAUCUCUACCCCAAUUUUUGAAACCACCCCAAAUUUUGAAACCUACGUCAUCAACAAUUUAUACGCAUUGGAAUAUAGACCAACAUUUAGUAAAACCUGGACCAAAUACAACAAGUCUGAUGUUAAACCACCGUUUCUGUCUAGCUCGAUUCUACUGUGAUGAUCGGAGUUGGUUCGGUAAAGACCCUAAGCUACAUUAAAUCUAUAGGCAAAAAGACAGAGAAAACAAAAAUGGAACCGAGUUAAACAACCUUGCUCUUCAGAUUUGCUUCUUUUCUUUAUCAGAGGAUCCGAAAUGACUUGACAAAGUCCACUGCGUAUAGUUGGUGUAAAAGGCAAACAUUAUAAAGUAUGAGAAACAGAGAAUCAUGAUCAGUGCUUCGAAUAGGAAAGGGUACUUCUGAGGAGGUUUAAUGGUAAGAUAGAGGACAUGAAGAACUACGGAGAUGAAGAAAUGGGUUCGUAGUAAGAAAACAUAACCCGGGAAGUUUUUAAAGGAGAAAAAUGAAACGUCGGUUUUCUGUAUCGCAUGGUGAUUCCCGGGUGAAUGAUAGAUGACGGUGAAGAGAAAAGAUAGUGUUAAGUAAGGGAUCAAGAGUUUGUCACGGCAAAGAAGAGGGAACAUCGAGAAGAGAGCGUAAUAGGUUAAAUGACUGAAAUGGUCAGGUAGUUUGAGAGCUAAUAGUGUUGCGGAGAGAAAAGGCAUCAGGAUUGAUUUCUCAUGCACUGCAGAUUCAAACACAAUGAAAGAAAAAAAGGGACUGUUAGAUAUUAAUUGAUGGCAACCGUGAUCGAAGAUCAAAGUGAAAUAUUUAUACCUUGGAAGGAAAACAAGUAGAAAGCCAUUGAACUGUUGAGCAAGCCAUAUAGGAAACCUUCAUUGCUUGGUGACAAGAUUUGCUGAACCAUUGAAGGAAGAGAAGCCAAUAUAGUUGCAGCUAAGCUGAUAGACUUGAGGGAUUGUGUUGUGAACAGAUUUUUCCAUUUUAUGAGUAUGGAAGUAGUGCACCAGAAAUUUGCCACGUAAUCCUCGUAUAUUCCCCUCUCAAAUGGAGCAAGACGGGAGAGAACCUGCAUCAUCAGCCAUUUACUUCAUAUUAAUGAGCACGAAAACGAAUGAGACCUAUUGGGUGUAUGCAAUUUACAUCAGAGGAGGAAGCAAAGAGUACAAUCUCUUAGUUCUACCAGAGACAAACAAUUAGUUUUCUCGAGAAAUUAUCAAAUACGUAUUUACCAUUAAGAAGUCGUCCAAAGAAUGCACAUAUGGCCACCAAAAAAUAACAAAUGUCACUAUGACUGCAAUUCCAAGCUUAAUCACAGAAAGUAUAGGGCUCUUCCGUCUUAGGCAUUUACCCAGUAGAUGGCUGAAAAAGGCAGGAGCAAAGUAUGCACUCAUCUGCAACAUCGACACAAUGGAAAAAGUGUGACCAGCAUGUUAUAAACGGGAACAGAACAGAAAUGAGGUACAUACAUAAACAAAGGGGUAUAUCAAGCACCACAUAAGAUUAACAAUAUUGUAUGUAUAGAACAUUUUACAUAAAUGCAACGAUGUGAAAUAUGUAUGGCCAUAAACACUACACUACAGUCUCAACAAAUUAGACAUUUUGACAUAACGGUAGUAACUACUCAUAUUUUCCAGGGAACUAAAACCAUCUAGUUUUUCAGUCUAUGAGAUUGAUAAAAGCCAUUACGUGUCAGAUCAUCUACAAGUAUACCAACUUUCUACAAGGGAAACAUAAGAAUACAGAAAUGAAAUCCCAAAGUCACCUGUUUAUGGCUGAGGGCUAGACUGAACAAGACACAAGUGAGAACCUCGCUCUCACAUAGUACCGCAGCAAUAGCACCAACUGUAAGUCCCAAGCUGAUACAAUUGUACUAUAACAAAUAAAAAUUCUAAUGAGAAUCAUCUUACAACCAUAGAAAAAGGAUACAUAAUCACAACACCAAUAGAGGUAACGGUCAAUACAAACCUGAAAAUGACCGUGAUCAAUGAGGAUCAAGCAAGGGUUUAAGAGAAUCAUAGCAAUAUGCCAAGCCACUUCACUCUUACCACCCCUAGUUCGAUUCCUAUGGUACACCAACACGAAAAACAGAGCAGCUGGGAAAAAUAUGAAAGCAUCAGACGAUAAAACUGUCCAUCUCAUCAACAAUUUUCUGCAUAACAAAACUCGAAUUAGUAAACCCUAAUUACACAACAAGCAACCAAUUGAAGAAUCAGAUCAUUUACCCAAGAUAAGAUUCGUGACCACGAGAGCUUAGAAGAGCAACAGAUUCAGGAUUGAAGAAUCGGAGGAAGAUUCCAUGGAUGUAACUUUGAUAAGCAGUUAAAGGAGGAUAAUCUAAUCCCCAGUAAGUGAGAUCGUUGUAAGUGCCAUUUCUAUACCAAUCGAUAACUGGAAGAUUUGUGGUUAUCUCCAUCCAAUGUCUCUGAGCUUCGAAAUCGCCGAAUUUAGGAGGAAUUCCGGCGCCGGAGUAUGGAUACAUUGUUACAGCAGAUCGGAUCAGUAAUGCGAAGAGGGAGAUGCAGAGAAAUGAAGUUGUGGUUCCUUUAUGUGUUAGCCACCACCAAGUAUCAAUCGAAGAUCCGGUUUGUGGUGAUACCGGAAUGGUGAUGUCAUCUUCGCCGGAAUGUUUCGCCGGCUUCUUCUUCGGCAUCCUUUGUUUUGUUUGUCUUCUCCGUUUAGUUUUUUUCUCACCUAAGCUAAGCUGAUGCAAAAUCGAUUUACGGGGAUCGGUCUCAGUUUGGGUUUAGGAAAUAUUAAUAAAAGGCCCUUGUAUUUUUAUGUUUCUAUAAAUUUAUCCUUGAAAAAUACAAAAACACCAUUCGACUCACUUUUUAUUUUAUGUUAACAACUUGGCUAAAGACACAUCACUAACACCAUUCGACUCACUAAAACUAUGAAAUAUAACUUUCACAUUAUAGGUUAUAGACUCGUUUUGAAUAUUUUUAAAAAGACUAUAUGAAUAUUUUUAAAAAGACUAUAAUACAAUAUAUAUUAAAUUUUUGAGAUGAAAAUAGUAAAGAUGGUUGGUUUGAGAUGAAAAUAAUAAGGAUGGUUGCUAUGAGAAAAUGUUAUUCUUCAAAGGGAAAUAUUUUUUCUUAAAACAGGGAUUAGCGAUUCGCAUCCUCUUCUGUCUUUCUUAGUACGUUUGUGUUAUAGCUUCAUUUCGAAUGACUGGAUUGUCCGAAUUACUCAUGUGUAUAGGGAAGCUAAUCGUCUCGCAGAUGAAUUAGCGAAUCAUGCUUUUUUGUUACUUUUGGGGUUUCAUAGUAUUCUUCUUAGGCUUGAUUUUGCUACUUCGAUUAUUUUUGAGGAUGAUAGUGUUGUUACGCGCCCACGGAAUAUUCGUGUGUAAUUUUUUUUUUUUAUUUUUUUUUAAUAAUAUGGGAGACUAAUCUCCCUCAUUCUACCAAAAAAUUAAGGGAAAUAUUUUUUCUUAAAUUUGUUGAUAUGAUAAUUAUGGUCUACAUAAUAUCGUGUUUUAAAUCAAUAUAUAAUAAAUGUUGGUUAAAACAAGAGCAAUAACAUAAUUUUGGUGAAAUUUCUUGGGAAGGUAAGAGGAAAACUUCCUUGAUAGCAUGGAAGUAUGUAAAUUAGGAAAUUUCAACAAAGCCUUACUUGUGAAACAAUUCGGCCGGAUCGUACAUUUAUCGAAGCUAGUUACUUCCUUGUAAAAAGUUUUUUAUGUAGUGAUGGUGGUUGUAGACCUUUGUAUACUUGGAAUAGUGUUCUCUAUUGAUGAGAUCUCUUGAAAAGUGGCAUAAUAAGCAAUAUUGGACAAAUCUACUAGGGUUUGGCUUGAUAAAUGGCUUAUGGAUGAACAACCAAGGAGACCCACUAAGAAAUAAAUUUUAUUUAUUAUUAAACUUAAGGUUGCUAAUUUGUUGAAUGAGAGAGGUGUUAAUUUCUCCCAAAUGAUGUUAAUCAAGUCUUAUUGAUUUAUCUUAAUUCAAACAAGAAAGAUUUUUCGUUUUGGCGAUUCAAUAAAACUGGAGCUGAAAUCAAAAUUCUUUCUAGGGAUAUAAAGAGUUUGUUGGAUUCAUCUCUUGAAAAAUUCUUUAAAAGCAAAUCAGGGAACUAGACGAAGAUUUUAGCGGAAGUAGCUCAAAAAGCAAAAGCAUCCAUGAAAAUUGCUAUGGUAGAUGAAUCACGAAAAGCUGAAAAAGCUCUGAUCGCUAGUAAAUAGUAAUAAUAGAUUGAGUCUAGUUGAUCAGAAGAAACUUGCACAAGUUAUCAAGGUGGUGGUCGAAAUGGAGGAUGAACUCGAGGAGAAGGUUCAAAAAGUCGAGAAGAUAAACAGAAAGGUAGAUGAGAAGAUGAAGAAGAAGGCAAAGAAGAGACAUUUUUCGUUUUUGGUUUGUUGAAUGUUGAUUCGUCUUCAGCUAUCAUAUCAUGUCGGUGUUAGACUUAAAAUAAGUGUUUACCAAUAACUUAUACAAGAGAGGUUCUACACCGUUUACCAAGAGAAUCAAAGAAUGCAAAGUUUGUAACUUUUGUUUGUGGUUUAAAAGAACACCACAAUCAUUGUUGAAUGCAUAACAUAUUUCAACCAGAUAAGGAGUUAAAGAACUUUUAUAUGGAUCUAAUACUUAACCACUAAUACUAAAAAUUGAUCUUGAAGCAACAUAGGAGAUUUGAGUAGUUAGAACAUAUCUAGCAAAUUCUGAUCUAUUGUGAAAAGAAUAACUAGAGACGGAUGACUUAAUUUCUAUAUAGCAUUUGGAGGGUCAUAAUGACUUGUUUUUAUUUACGUGUUUUACGUUAUUUUGUUUUUGUCAAAAGGCUUUCAUAAAUUAGUAAUACUCUAUAAAUAAAUAAACACAAUAAAAUACUCUUUCUUAUCGAUUUAGGUAUGGCCAAUGUAAAAAACUAAAAAUUAACAAAAUUUUGAAACUUCUAUACAUUUUUAUGGUUCUAGUAAUAUUAUAAAUUUAUACAUAUAUAGCUAAGAUAAUAUUCUAAAUAUGACUAUAAUAUUGUUUGUAAUUUGAAUUAUUGUUAGCGUUAUUCUCUAAUGUUACUUAUUAUUCAAAAACUCUUCGGUGUUUUCGAUUUGUAUCCAAAUUUUAUGAUAAAUUCUAAACACGAUAAUUAAUUUACAAAAAUAAAGUACUUAUUUGAGUACCCUUAAAUUUAUGUUUACUUGACUUCCCAGUUCCCAGCCAGUAUAAAUCUUUUUCUUAUAUUUAAAUUAAUUAAUUAACUUUGGAUAUAGAAUUGAAUUAUUAGGAAAAUAUAUACAUAUCAAUCAAAAAUAUAAUAUUUAUAAGCUUAAUACAAACAUAGAAAUAUCUAUAUCUAUAUAUAUCUAGCUUAAUUAAUUGGAUAGUAAAAGCUUAUCUUUGCAUUUUUAUUAUUUUAAUUAAUUACUUGUAUAUAUAUAUUAUUUUAAAUACUUAUUAGCAUAUUGACAUUUAAGAUACAAGGUUUAAAUUUCUUUUGUUAUUUUGAACAGAAGUUUUGUUAAUCAGUAAAAUAAAAUUAUUGUAAAUAAAAGAAAAGAUUUUGUGCAAAACAAACUCCAAAGUCGUUUAUUUUUGUAACUUUAUCUUUCACGUUUAAAAAUACAAAACAAAAUUAUGAAGUAAAAAUAAUACGUAAUGUAGUCGAUUUUACAACUUUACAUCUAUUGUAAACGUUUUCACGAUCACAUAUAUUUGUUUUUAAAAGUUUUAAAGAUAUAGUUGAACUCCUCAUCUCAAGGGCUUUGAUUUGAUAAAUUAUCUAUCUAAAUUUUAAAAUUAUUUAUCAAAAUUUUAAAAUUUGACAAUAGCAAAAAAUUUGACAUAUGUAUAAUUUUUGAUUUAGUAUUAUUAUUCUGCAUUGUUAAGAUGUAAAAUGUAAAGUUGUAAAAAGUAAAUGAUUCCGAGGAUUUUGUGUAAAAAACCUUAAAAUGUUUUAGAGUUUCUUGCACUAAAAGGAUAACUUUUACUUUUUUUCCAAACCCCAAAGUCUGAUUUACCUGUGAGUUAACAACAAUUACUACUCUCUUUGAGUAAAAAUCGCAUGCCAAAAAGAUUAUAGAAAAUAUAAUACCGAAGAAAAUUCCAAAUAUACAAGCAGUAAAUUAAGUUGAUUUUGGGAAUAGUCUACAAUCCCAUGUACACAUCUCCACUACAUUCCAUACACCUUUUUUAAUCUAACGGCUCACAAACAAUAAAACUCUCCGAAUAAGUAAUCACCACGUGAUUUAUCUUGACACACCAAAGUUUGUAUAGACGUGCAUGUAUGUAAUUAAUUAACCUUUUAUGUACUAUGAAUUAACUGUGUUGAUAUAUAAAGGGUGACUCAAUACCCCAAAAGCGGUCUCUCUCUAUACUUUGCUUCUCUCUCUAAACUUCUCUCUUUCUUUUUUUCUCAAAGCUUUUUUCCUUCUCCCUAAACGAUGAAGAUUUUCGUGAAGACUCUCAGUGGUUCGAACUUCGAGAUCGAAGUAAAACCUGCAGAUAAGGUAUAGUGAUUUCUUGAAUUCGAAUCGUCUUCUCUGUUUCUUUAACUGUUUAUUAGGUCUGAUUUGGUUCCGUAAUUCGAUUUUGCCUUGGGGAAAAAUUCCGGUGAAUUAGCGAAUCUCGUAGUAUCUGAUUUAAAAUUCUAGGUUUCGUUUGCAUCGUACUCUUGUUUCGGGUUGGGAAUUGUUUGUGACGAUGCGUGUUUCUGUUUCUGUGAUUGGAUUCGAAUUCGAAUUAGGGUUUUUCGUGAGUAUGUAAGUAUAGUGAUUGUAUGUGUUGGGAAUUUAAUUAUAUACUGUGUAAAUUGUAUAUAGUUAUGGCUUCUUGUUUUCCCAUCAACAUUCGUUGCUUUAGUGAUCAUGCUGGAAUCUGAUUUUGCUUCUUUAAGAUUAUGUUAGAGCUAAUCAUACUUAGAUUCACAAUAUUAGUCAUUAUAUUUGCUAAACCUUGAGGCACCUAUGGAUUAUCAUACGUAAUGAUAUAGUAUUUGUGAAGUUUUCUUUGGUGUGACUUAUUUGUUUCAUUGCUAGUCUUAUAUCUUCUUGAUAGCCUUUAGCUUAAUGAUGUCUGUAUGAUUUGGUAUCUGAGUUUAUUUUUGGCUUUUUCUAGGCUAAGUUAUAUGUGUGAUUGAGAUGCUUAUUAACAUUGUUGUUGAUCGCAGGUUUCUGAUGUUAAAACGGCUAUAGAAACUGUUAAAGGUGCAGAAUACCCUGCUGCUAAGCAGAUGCUGAUCCACCAAGGAAAGGUUCUAAAGGAUGAGACCACAUUGGAAGAGAACAAUGUUGUUGAGAACAGUUUCAUUGUUAUCAUGUUGUCCAAGGUGAUGUACUAGGUCCACAGUUUCGCAUUAGUAUUAGUAACAGGAUUUUAGUAGUUAGUGGAUGCUAACAAGUUUUAACGUUUGUAUAUAGACCAAGGCUUCUCCAAGUGGGGCAUCAACCGCAUCUGCACCAGCACCUAGUGCUACACAGGUGAAUAAAAGUUCUUAUGUAAUAUGGUUAUGGUUUCUAUUUGUAAGUGACAACAAAAUAGUAUAUCUAGAUAACAGUUUUGUCUAAUAGAAUUGCUUGGAUUUUCUGUAACAGCCACAGACAGUAGCUACACCUCAGGUUUCUGCUCCUACUGCCUCAGUGUAAGUUGCCUUCCUCUGGCAUUGAUUUACCUCCUUUUGAAAGAGAAAUUGUCAGCUUCUUAUGUAGUUGCCGGUUUGCUGAUUCUCUGUUCUUUUUACUUGCGUUCUCAGUCCAGUUCCUACAAGUGGAACUGCAACCGCUGCAGCUCCAGCUACUGCUGCUUCGUAAGAACUUUUCAGAAGUAUACUAUAUUCAUUUUCGAAUAUCUGUUCAUUGAUUGUGUAAAUGUUGCCCACUUUCUUGGUUGAAACAGGGUUCAGACAGAUGUGUAUGGUCAAGCAGCAUCAAACCUUGUUGCUGGAACUACUUUAGAGUCCACUGUUCAGCAAAUUCUUGAUAUGGGUGGAGGUAGUUGGGACCGUGACACUGUUGUUCGUGCUCUGAGAGCUGCGUUCAACAAUCCUGAAAGAGCUGUUGAAUACCUGUACUCGGUAUGAUUCAUUCCACUUCUUGAUUUUACGUUUUUCUUUGAUAUAUUGUAUCUACCUUUGAUUUGCGGUUUGCCAGAAUUUAAGCAACAUUUGCUCUUGAACUUUUGGUUGAUACAUUUCAGGGUAUCCCUGCUCAAGCUGAAAUCCCACCAGUUGCUCAAGCCCCAGCUACUGGGGAACAGGCAGCCAAUCCUCUAGCACAGCCCCAACAAGCAGCAGCUCCAGCAGCUGCAACUGGUGGUCCAAACGCAAAUCCAUUAAACCUGUUCCCCCAGGUAGGGUUUUUAAACUGGUGAACCGAUUUCAUUUGCUCGUUUUCCCUUGUGAAUUUGUUUUAUUGACAUCCACUCUUAUCUGUCUCUAUCCAGGGCAUGCCCGCUGCAGAUGCUGGUGCUGGAGCUGGUAAUCUUGAUUUCCUGCGUAACAGUCAACAGGUAUUUUCAAUUUCUUUUCCAUUCGAGAACGGAAAUCUUCAUUUCUCUCCUCUUAUGUCAUUUGCAAUUCUUUUGCCUUUUCAUAGUUCCAAGCCUUGCGAGCUAUGGUACAAGCAAACCCACAAAUUCUACAGGUAAAAUUUUUAACCUCUUAUUCUUUAUUUGGUAGGUUAUAUGAUAUUGAUUUCCCACUUAUACUGUUUCGUUUUGCAGCCUAUGCUUCAGGAGCUCGGUAAACAAAACCCCCAGCUUGUGCGACUAAUUCAAGAGCACCAGGCUGACUUCCUACGCUUGAUAAACGAACCUGUCGAGGGAGAAGAGUGGGUUUAAUAUCAUGAUUCUCCUUUACGUUUUCAUUUUAUUCUUUUUUCUCAAUAAAGCAUGUAAUCUGACAUUUCAUUCGAUGCCACCAGGAAUGUUAUGGAACAGUUGGAAGCAGCAAUGCCACAAGCUGUUACCGUUACACCUGAAGAGCGUGAAGCCAUUGAACGGGUUUGUUCCUAUGAUCUUUACAUUUGUACCUUUACUAGAUGCUCUGGUUCCUCAAAAUAUAUGGCUUGUAUUGAAAUUUGAUUUUGCUGUUGUUUGUUUUGGUUUAGCUUGAAGGGAUGGGGUUUGAUCGUGCGAUGGUCUUGGAAGUGUUCUUUGCGUGUAACAAGAAUGAAGAACUUGCAGCUAAUUACCUUCUAGAUCACAUGCAUGAGUUUGAAGAUCAAUAAACAGAGCAAAUCCAUUCCUCCCUCUAAACUCAGACCAUCUUUCUGUUUCUUUUUCUUCUUCUUUUUAAUAUGAUAAUCUCUUCUCCAAUGCCAUUUGACAGUUUCAUGUUUAUGUUCAUGGGAGUUGAUGUGUUUAUGUUACUAUUAAAACUAUCAUAGUUUAUCUGGUUUGAAGAUGCUCCUCUUUUAUCAUAUUAUUAGCCUUUGAAUCCUUCCUCUCUUUAGGUCUCAGAUGCACCAAUAUUAGCUAAGAUUAAAAGUGGAUAUUUUGGUUCUAUAUGACUCAUCUCGAGUUAGGAAUGGUAUGUCGAAUCUGGUUUAACAGAUCUGGCCUAAAACGAAACCGCUAUUCAGAUCCAAUUAUUGGCGCUUACAUUGUUUUCUCAUAGCCUCAAGCUAUGCAAUAUCAAUUAUUGCACAUUUGAAUUAACACAAACCCAUCAAUUAAUAUAUCAACAAAAACCCAUCAUCAAUUAACACAUCAACACAAACAUAAAGACAUAUAAGUUGCUCAUGAAGAACUUAUAAUGGUGGAACCAGUGAGCCUUUGAGAUCUGUCAUAAUCGUCUCUGAAAUUGUCUCAAAUCGAGAGAGAAAUGAGAAAUCUUAAAAUUUUACCCUAAAUAAUUAAACCCUAGCUUUUAAUUAUUACUGCACAAAUUAUGUCUAAAUAAUUUUGCCCAUUUACUAGCGAGCUUAUAUGGUUUGUAAUCCAUUUUAAACACUUUAAUUUUGGGCUUCACCAAAACCCAACCAUUAUUAUUUGGACGUGGACAUCCCAUGGUCAGAAAACUCAUUCGAUAACCCUACAUUUGAUGAUCAAAGUGGCACGGAAGCUCGUUCGAUCUACAAGUUUUGUGGUGAGGAGACUUCUCAGUUUUUCUUCUAGUGUGGUUGUACUUCAGGUAAAUUCUUUUCAAUACUUAGUGGAAUUUUUCGCUAACUGUUUUGUGUAAAUAAGGACGAGGCCUCCAUAGCGUUCAGUGCUUUAACAAUGCCGUAUCCACUCUGCUAAUCUUGGAUUUCAAGAGGUAUGACAGUUUGUGUUGUGAUAGGAGCCUUCAUUAAAUUAAAUAAUUUCAACAAUUUAUUUAUUUUUAGAACCAAAAGAUUUUUCAAAAAUUUUGAUUAUCAAAAAAAAAUCCAACAGAUUUUCUGUUAAAAUGAAAAUAUAUAUUAGAUUGUUUUUAAAAAAAAUCAUCUGCCGGAAUUUGAAUCUGGACAUGCUUAUUUUCAAAAAAACAUUUUAGCUAAUGUGCUAGUGCAUAUGUUUUUGCUAAGGUAUGAAUUUAAAUUGGAUAUAUAGAUCAAUUUAUUUAUUUUAAAACCAAAAAAAAUUUAAAAAGAAACUUAGCGGGAUAUAAAAUAAAUAUAUAUUAAAUUUAAAAAAAAAAGAUUUUCCGCUACGGGAAUUUGAACCUGAAAAUGCUGAUUUUUAAAGAAAAUUUAGCUAAUGUGCUACAUGAGAUGUUUUUUUUGCUAAAGUAUGAGUUUAAAUUGGAUAUAUACAUCAUUCAAUUUAUUUUUCUAAUCUAGAAUUUGCUUUCCUAGGACAAAUAUAGGUACUGAAUUAUUAAAGAACAUAUUUUUUGGUAAGAUAUAAGUGAGUUUUUAUAUAAUUUUGAUGAUUUUAGGUAAGUUGAUGUGAUUUACUGUAAAGUCUUUUCAAAUUCUAUCUAAAACUAUGAGAUUUAGAUUUCUGUAUUUUUAACUAAAGAAGUCUUUUCAAAUCCUUUCAAAUCCUUCAAAAUUAAUAAGAAUCAAAUCCACUAACUAUUUUCAGUAACAGUAAAAAGGUUGAUUUUUAAAUUUUUAAUUUAAUAACACUCAAUUUCAUUUAAAAAUUUAAAAUCCAUAAUUAAAUAACAUAAAAUUUAUAAAUUUUACAUAAAUUAUUAGAUUGAAUACACCGCUCUAAAUAUACACAAUGUAAAAAGUCUGUUUAAGAUCAAUUAUAGAUUUAACUUAAAUCUAAAGGCCCAUAAUACCGUCCUGUACAUCAUAUAGUUAUCUCAAGUUGUAAUACUGUAAUACCCGUUGGGCCCAGUGGCCCAUUUAUCAGAUUUCAAAUAACAGAUCUCAACACUAGCAUGGCUACACACGUGUCAGAUUCAAUGCAUCAGUCAUAUCUUCAGCAUCCAACACUUGUCAACCUUCCAUUGGAUCUCUUAACUCUACGCCUCGAAAACAGUUUUUAUUUAUUUAUCAUUCCAUUUCUCAUUGUAUCUUCAUCAGUCUCUUCUUAUUCCAUUUUUUCAAACCACUUGCAAAAUUCGAAUCAGAUCUUCUCUUCAAUCGAAAAAAAAGAAAGGUAAAUCUCUCUCUCUCUAAUCAUCGUUCGUUUCGUAGUUUCUUCUUCUACGUGUAGAUCUGAUCUUUGAUUGUAUGUUUCUGGAGAUCUCGAUCUCAUCGAUUCUCUGUUCUUAUCACUGAUUCAGUGUGUUUGAUAUCUAAAUCCGAUUUGUGUGUAGGAUGUUAAAAUUUAGGUUUCGGUUUUGUUUCUGCUUUUGAACGAUUUUGCUCUAGAUUCGUUAUCCGUGAAGAACAUAGACGAGUAUGUAGAUCUUACUUCGGAUUCGCGUUGAAGAAUUUUCUCUAGAUUCGUCACCUAUGAAGAAGAUUCAUUGUGUUCUUAAUCUAGAUGAUUAGGUUAUUGUUUCGACUCAUUUGUUUAUGCCUAUUUUCUCUAUGUUCUUAAUCGGUGAAGAAAUGUAUCAAUGUGUGUAUGUUUUGGGUUCUGAUUUUGUAGGAUUUGCUCUAGAUUGUUGAAUCGAAGAUGUCGACAAGGGAAGAGAAUGUUUACAUGGCGAAAUUAGCCGAACAAGCUGAACGUUACGAAGAAAUGGUUGAAUUCAUGGAGAAAGUUGCGAAAACUGUUGAUGUUGAGGAACUUUCAGUUGAAGAGAGGAAUCUUCUCUCUGUUGCUUACAAGAACGUGAUUGGAGCGAGAAGAGCUUCGUGGAGAAUCAUUUCUUCGAUUGAGCAGAAAGAAGAGAGCAAAGGGAACGAAGAUCAUGUUGCUAUUAUCAAGGAUUACAGAGGAAAGAUUGAAUCCGAGCUUAGCAAAAUCUGUGAUGGGAUUUUGAAUGUUCUUGAAGCUCAUCUUAUUCCUUCUGCUUCACCAGCUGAAUCUAAAGUGUUUUAUCUUAAGAUGAAGGGUGAUUAUCAUAGGUAUCUUGCUGAGUUUAAGGCUGGUGCUGAAAGGAAAGAAGCUGCUGAAAGCACUUUGGUUGCUUACAAGUCUGCUUCCGUAAGUCAUUCUUUACAACGUUUUUGAAUGUUGUUUUCUUUUGUGGGUAUGAUUGAUUUUGUUGUUGUGAUAAUGCAGGACAUUGCCACUGCUGAGUUAGCUCCUACUCACCCGAUAAGGCUUGGUCUUGCACUCAACUUCUCUGUGUUUUACUAUGAAAUCCUCAACUCGCCUGAUCGUGCUUGCAGCCUCGCAAAGCAGGUUUGUGUAGUACACCUGAUUUUCACUUUUUGCUUCGUGUGUUAUUAUUAUCUCAGUGAAUGAAACAGCUAUUUUGGGUUUGUGCAGGCGUUUGAUGAUGCAAUCGCUGAGUUAGAUACAUUGGGUGAGGAAUCAUACAAGGACAGUACACUGAUUAUGCAGCUUCUUAGAGACAAUCUCACUCUCUGGACUUCAGAUAUGACUGUAAGUAUUAACAACACAAUAUACGUUGAUCACUAAGUUAUGUUGUUGACAUGAUGGUUUCUUUUUUGGUGAAUAGGACGAAGCAGGAGAUGAGAUUAAGGAGGCAUCAAAGCCCGAUGGUGCCGAGUAAACCCGAAGAAGAGGAAGAGUCAUUUUAUAAUGGUAGAAAACUUUCAUGUGAUAAUCUGAGUGAGGGAUAGCUCAGGAUUCUUAUAAGAGACACAGUUUUAUUGUUGUUUGUUUGUUUUGAAACUACUUGCGAUUUAUCAUUCCUCCUUUAGCUUCCUCAAUAUUUCCUAUUCUCCUUUCUAAUGAAAUCAAAACUUGGUUAUUUCUGAUAUGGUAGUUGUCUUUAUUUUCUAUUUUUUUGGUUAUUGAUUUGAUCAACUAAAAAAGUGUGAUAACUUUCUCAAAUUGAUUAAUUAAUGUACGAAAACACUUGCUGCAAAUGGAUCACUUCCAUGACAUUAUACUUUGAUAUAAUAUAUUACAAGAAAUAAAAGGUAACUAAAGUAGAGAAAACAAGAAACCAUAUUUAUAACAAAAUAUUUCAUUUCAAACAAUGGUAAAAGAUCUCAGAUAACAUAGGAGACAGACAAGUUACUACUAAUAAAGGAGAGAACCACACCAAAAUCCUAAUCUUGUUAAUUAACACUUCCAAUAAGUUACUGAAACUCAAAAUCACUGAAUAAGCUAGUGAACAAGUGAAGAGCUACUCUGUGUCAAGUGCAAAGCAGAGGACUCCACGGCACCUGAAAGUCCAAAGGCUGAUCUUGUCGCCGACUUUUAAGCUGCUACUUUUGACGACAUCAUUCCAACCCCAAUUCAAAGUGUAAUUCAAUGUUCCAUGUCCAGAGUCCUUCUCCAUCGCCCAUAUCUUGAAACGCAAACCCCACUUUUGAAAUCUUUGGUUCACAAGAACCGUUCCCACACCAAUAUUCUCGUCGUCUUCUUCAUCAUUGUCUUCGUCUUUCUGCAUAGCUCUACACUCCGCAGGAGUCAGGAAAUCGUUUCUGAUUAGCUUCUGGAAAGGCAUUAAGAGACGACUAAGGUUUGAGUUGACAUCACUCUUAAACAGAGUCCUCUCAAAUAUCAGCCUCGGGGUUUCAGCAUCAGCGUUCAUGUAUCUCAUCACUUGGAAAAUCCACUCAGGCAUCUCUGUACACAACCUUGGCAAAGGAGAAACCUUAACUUUCUUGACUUUACCACUCUUCCUCUGCUCCACGGCACGCCUCUUGCGGUUUGUCUUCCCUGUUAGGCAUGAAGACGGAGACGAAGAUUGGUAAUUAGGGUUUGGUACGUCUUUUGUCUCUGUCGAAGGUUCAAGACAAGGAAGGUUCAGGAGCGAUGAAGAAGAAGUAGAAGCUCCAUUAAGAUUAUCAAAGAGUUUCUUUUCACUCUCGUCAUCAUAAUCUUCAUCGUAGACAAUCUUGGAUUUACCUUUCUUUAAACGUUGUUCUUCAUCACACACCAUAGGUUCAUCAAAACAAGGGUUUUGUAGGUUGUCUGUCUCAAAAUCAGUAGGGAUUAGGUUAAGAUCGGGAAGCGAUGACGAACAAGUAGAAGCCCCAUUAGGGUUUUGUUGUGUGUAUCUUCUCUUCGCCAAAGACGAUUUGAUUUUCCUCGGGAAAAGAUAGAAGAAACUCAUCUUGCACUUGGAUUCUUCUCGUUUCUCUGCAAGAAGACGACUACGUUGUUCUUCUUCCUCCGCAACCAUAACCGUCACAUACGCCAGUAAACUUAAACCCGACGACAUAUUCUUCCCCGAAUCCGUGAGAUGAUUAUCGUGAUACAUAAUACUACUCAUCGUGAUUGAAUCGAAAGACUGGAAAGUUUCUGAGAGCGACGACGUGAGGAACAAGAAACUUGUAUAUAGAGAGACGAGAAACUGAUCGACGAUUAGAAAAGAAGUACCUUCUCUUGCCUUAUAUAUACUUUACAAUAGGGUUUCAGGUUUCUUUGUUUUCCUAUUUCUCCAUUGAGUUUAGUUGUUUAAUUACUGUCAUUAGUAACUAAUUAUAGCCGUUGUGAUCAAGUGUUUCCUUUUUCACAAGUGUGAGAGAUAGUGAAUUUUUAGGAAGUUUCCUUUCCUUUCAAAUUUCAAUAGCUUUGCUUCACUUUUUUGUAUUUGAUGUAUUAUUAUAUUUUUUGGGCACUUGCCGACUUUGAUAUAAAUUAAAUAAAAUGCAGAAAACAGUGGAGUCUCAAAAAAAUUCAGAUCUUUAGAAAAACAAAACCAAUAUUGUUGUCGAUUGAAUCGAAAAUAGUUUCGAGUAUCCAUUUAUCAUCAAAAAAAAAAAAAAAACAAUUCCUUGAAUAAUUUUUAUGUUUUUUGAAUUUUAUUGGAUGUACGUACAUAAUCAUUUCAACAAAAUUGCAUAAAAAUAGUUGAUGCAAAACCAAAUAUGGGGAGAAAAUUCAAAUAGUUUUCUCAAUUUGAGGUAACUACGAAAUUGCCCCACAUCCUUUAGUAAUUACGAAUUGGACCUAAAACUAUAGAUAAUUACGAUUUUUUCCCUCGAAUAAUAACGAAAUUGCCUCAGUUAUUUCGUUAUUUGUUAAUGCACCCCACAUCUCUCGGUAAUUACAAAAUUUCUGCAAAUCUUCCAAAAUGAAAUUUCUGGUAAUUUCUUAUUUGGUAAACUACGAAUGAACAACAAAGAACAAUGAAUUGGUAAAAUACACAUUUUGGAAUACUCAAUCUCUCAUAUUAUUGCUUAUCCACAAUCAAAUCACACAAUUGUAACAAUGAACAACAAAGAACAAUGAAUCAACAAGAACAAAUGAAAUUAGAAUCUUCGCUCACAUCCCUCAGAUUAUAAUCGCACCCUUCACAGUCUCAUAGCGAAUGAAUCAACAUGCCUUGCUCUGUAACCGCUCCUCAUAUUUAUAGAUGCCUCUGAUACUUGCUUAUUUCACAAGCUUCCCUCUGUUUCCUCACGUGCCUUGCACACACACUCUUAUCAUGCAUUCGCAGUCAUUAAACAGUGUCAUAGUUAUUCUUUAUGGUUACAAGUGUGGGGUUGGUGACUGAUGAAGACAACUGAUCUUAUUCAUCUACUUCUUGGAGCUGGAGUUGGAGAAAUUCGAGAAGAAUGAACAAAUUACGACAAGGUACAUUGAGAAAAUCUCCGGUGAAGCAUAAAAGCACAACUUAUACGUAAUAUUUCUAUAUUUGCUUUUGGAGACAGAACAUGUGUCAGUAAUCGUUGGUUUAGACUUCUAGGUCUGGUUUGGGGUUUGGUACAGAUGGUUUUAUGGCUGCAAAUGUCUUAUGUUGUUGAACGCCCACAAGAUGCUCGAUGAAAUGCCGAAGAGAGUGGCUUGUUUGUAAAAUUGCAGUUUUUUGGUGGUAUAUGGAUGAGAAGCAGAUGAUAGUGAGUAGAGUUUUGUUACUUGGGGGUAGAAAAUUCUCUUCGCCAUGAGAUAGACUAUUAGAGUUAAGCGGGUAAAAACCCGGACUCGUUUUGUGAGACAAAAGAACCUGAAAAAGUUCUCACUUUGACUAUUCUUGCUUCUAUCAAGCCAUUGCAAUUGUUCUUGGAAAAGUGAAACACACACUCUCGUUGUCUCAUCUUGCUGUGAAUUAUCAUUCUUAUCUGCUGAGUUCAAGACUGGAUUAAGCAUGAUUCUUGAAGAUAGGAGUGUGACUGAGAUAAUAUGCAUUCACUGGAAACCAUGGUCUACUUUUCAAAGGUAAUGUCUCUGUUCUUUCAAUUUGAGACAGAACAAAAGGAAAGAAGUAGAUAUUAAGUUAAGUGUGGUAGCUUGAGAAAUGGGAACAAAUGGUUAGAUUUGUAGGACUGGAAAUCUUUAUGCUAGAAAGAAAUAGGGGUAGUAUUGGACAUAACUCUCAAAAGGAAAGGAGAAGGGACAUUGUGUUUGAUUCAAAGCUAAGACAAGGCUGCAUUUGUGUCACUCAAAGGAGAAUAGGAAUUACCUCUGACAGAGUUUGAAAGAAAAACUCUACAAGUAUCAGAAUGUUUAAGAUCGUUCCUGGAGUACAUUCAGUCAUUCAGAUGAAAAGACGGAGAAACGGAGCUGUGGCGGGAAUGUAACUAGUAAAGUACUUUCUUGAGGAUUCGGCAGUGCUCAAGAAGUUUAUGCUGCGUUUGGGUUGUGAGAGAAUGAACAAAGAGUCUAUCAUUUUAAUGGAACUAUUGAGGUUAAGGAGAUAUACUAUGCUUAUUGUAUAGUCAUUGUUGAACUUGCUGAGACUGAUAAUGAUACAUAGGUGUUUCUACACUUAAAUGUGCAAUUUCCAUUUAGGAAAGUUUAGUAUUGGGAUUUGAUGUAUAUAUUCUUACCAGAACCAGUUCUCCAACUUAGGAAAUUUAUUUGUAAUAAUCUGAGUGACGCUCAGUAUUCUUCCAAGGACAAUUUGACAACUACUUGCUAUGGAUUCCUCCUUUAGGUUCCUCAAAAGUUCAUGUUCUCCAUGUAAUGAAAUCAAAACUUGCUUUUUCUCUGACAUUUUUGAUUGUUUUGGUUCUAAAUUUGAUCAAACUGACUGCAUCGAGCAUUUCGGAGGAAUAGUACACAAAACAUUAGCAGGAAUAGAUCAUUUCCAUCAUUACAACAGGUUUAGAGGAGAGAUCUGAGACAACACAAAGGUAUAUUGAACAAUGCAGUAAGUAAAGUAGACAAAACAAGAAACCAUAUUUAUGACCAAAUGUGUUCAUUUCAAACAAUGGUAAAGGUCUGAAACAACAGAGGAGACGGACAAGUUAAUACUACUACUACUAAUCCUAACAAUAGAGGAGAGAACCAGUUACUAUACUAAAAAGCCAAAAACCUCAAGAAUCACUUGAAAUUUGUUAAAUGAGACCUCAAGAGACAAAUGAAACAUAUCAGAGAGCUACCUACCAUGUGUCAAGAGCAAAGCAGAGGACUCCACGGCACCUGAAAGUCCAAAGACCGAUAUUGUCGCCGGCUUUUAAGCUGUUACCUUUGACGACAUCAUUCCAGUCCCAAUUCAAAAUGUAAUUCAAGGUUCCAUGUCCAGAGUCCUUCUCCAUCCCCCAUAUCUUGAAACGCAAACCCCACAUUUUAAAUCUUUGGUUCACAAGAAUCGUUCCCGCACCAAUAUCUUCGUCGUCUUUGUCUUCGUCUUCCUGCUUGGCUUGACACACAAGAAUCGUUCCCACACUAAUAUCUUCGUCGUCUUUGUCUUUGUCUUCCUGCAUGGCUCGACACUCCUCUGGCGUCAAGAAGUCGUUUCUGAUUAGCUUCUGGAAUGGGAUUAAGAGACGGCUGAGGUUAGAGUUGACAUCACUCUUGAACAGAGUCCUUUCAAAGAUCAGCUUCGGGGUUUCAGCAUCAGCGUUCAUGUGUCCCAUCGCUUGGAAAACCCACUCAGGCGUCUCUGUAGACAACCUUGGCAAAGGAGAAACCUUUACUUUCUUGACUUUACCACUCUUCCUCUGUUCCACGGCACGCCUCUUGCGACUUGUGUCGUUCUCCGUUAGGCAUGAAGACGGAGAAGAAGAUUGGUAAUUAGGGUUUGGUAGAACUUUCGUCUCUGUCUUCUCUGACUCAACCGUGUUGUAAUCCAAGAAUAACGAAGCCUCAUAACAACGAAGGUUUAAGAACGAUGAAGAAGAUGAAGCCCCAUUGAGAGUUUCAAACUUUUGUUGUUGUUGGCUGUGUCCUACAAAUUUCAUCAGGUUCUUCUCGAAAAGUCUCUUCUCGCUGUCUUCGUCCGCUUCCUCCUCUUCUUCCCAUAUAAUCCUGGAUUUGCCUUUCUUCACACGUUGUUCUUCAUCACACACCAAACGCUCAAUAAAACUAGGGUUUUGUUUGGUUUCAGUCUCGUAAUCAAUGGGGAUUUGGUUAAGAUCAGGAAGCGACGAAGAAGAAGUAGAAACACCAUUAGGUUUUUGUUGUCUCUUUACCAAAGACGACCUUUUUUUCCUCGGGACAUGAGAUAAGAAUCUCUUCUCGCUAUCGUCUUCUUCAGAGACAGUCUUCUUCUGACUCUUUGAAUCUUCUCUUUUCUCUGCAAGUAGACGACGACGUUGUUCUUCUUCCUCCGCAGCCAUAACCACAGUUUCCGCCAGUAAACACAGCCUCGACCACAUAUCCUUCCCUGAAUCCAUUGUGAUUGAACAAAAAAAACUCAAAAGUUCUUAGAAUGAUGACGUAAGGAUCAAGGAGAUUAGAGUUAUAGAGAGAGGCUAAGCGAGAACGAGAAUUAAAACUGCCUUCUGUUGCCUUAUAUACUUACAUUAGGUUCUAGGUCUUUUUGUUUUUUCCAUUUUUUUUGUGUUUAGUGGUUUGAUUACUGUGAUUAGCAACUAAUUAUUGUGAUUAGCAACUAAUUAUAGCCGUUGUGAUCAAGUUAACAUUGUAAUUAACAUUGUAAUUAUGAAGUAAUAUUGUAAUUAUGAAGUAACUGAGAAGUUUCGUUUCUUUUUUUUUGUAUUUAAUUUUAUUAUUUGAUAUAUAUAUAUAUAUAUAUAUUGUUAACUUGAUUUCAGUUAAAUACAAAAACUGAAGGUAUAUUAUUAAACAAAAUGUGAGAAGAAUUCAAUAUAAUAGUUUUUCUCAUUUUCCUAUACCAUAAACCAAAAGAAGUAAAGAACUCUCUCUCGUUUACCAAUACUCAAAUUCAUCUUUUCCACUACAUAAACACACACAAACACAAGCCUUAUUAUAUAGUUUGAUGUCUUGAUGAUGAUACACUAAAUGAGAGAAUACACAACAUCAUCGUACGUUGGGAAGUCCAAUGGACCGUCCCCAAUCAGUAGCAGAGAAGUCACAAUAACCGCGACGAAGAUUGUGAAAAGCAGAAACGAUUUACACGGGUCAGCGCUGUUUUGUUUCUCUGGUCCAACCGUCACAAUCCCUUCUUGCCUUUCACUUCCGCCGCUACCAAGUUGUAGCACCGGACAAGUGAAAAACCCGUAUACAAUCCCUGCUAUAAGUGCUCCCAGAUUUGUCCUGUCAUGACUUAUUGGUUAGAAGAAAAACACAAUAUCCUUGGUUAACAUGUUAUUGCUUACGUAUAGUCUAUGUUGUAGAUCUUUGGUCGAUUGAAUAAAGUAAGAGUUAAGCAGUUUGAAACCUAUCAAUCUUGUUUAUGAUCCAUUGAUCCUACUACUUAUCAAACCAAAGAUCAUAGGACAAUUCAAAGAACCAUAUGUGCAGAUGGGUGUCAUGAUUCUUUAUAAUGAACUGAACCUAAGAAGAGGCUGCUUACGUAGAAACAACUAGCUGAAGAAAUAAUAAAGAAUGCUGAACAAGAAACAACUAGCUGAAGAAAUAUUGAUGGAUAUUGGAAACUUACCAGUCAUCAAUUGGACCGAAAUGGCUUAAUAUGAGACCAAAUCCUGUCAUUAUAAUGGCCUUCUGAAACAAGUCCUCAUAUUCGUUGCUUUUGAUCAUCUCUUUGUUCUGAUUUUGGUCAACGAGCCAAGCUCCUAUUAACGCAAAUGCUGGUCCCUGCACCCACCCAUAUACACGAAGACGAUUGAGAACAGAAUGUAUGGUGCAGUUUGGUAAUAUCACAUGGGAAAGAUUAGUGAAACUUACAGUUCCUCCAACUGUAGGAUCUGCUGUAUGCAGAAAGCUCAUGAAAUUUCCAGAGACUCCUCCGAGAAUGUAAAUGAGACAAAACGUGAAUAAUCCAUAGUCACGGCAGACUUUUGGUCCAAAAGUAAGCAGAGCCCAGGAGCUAAGGGCUACAUGAGGAAUUCCAGAGUGCUGCAGAUGUAAAAUGGAAGUGUUUCAUUGACGAAAAGGGGAUAUUACAUGAAACCAAGUCAUCAAGAGUGCUAAAUGUGACAUGCAAAAAGAUGCAACGGAAUGAGGAACUAAAGCAAUAUAUACUUAUGAUAUUAACAAUGUUGUUGUCAGGUAUUUAAAAUCUCUAGCUGUUUUGGUCAAGUGUGUUUUUAAAACAGUAAAGAAUGGGAACACAGACCCAAUUUGUUGGUCUUGUACCAGAAACAUGGGUGUGACCAGCCUCCACCAUUCUCCAGCAAGGAUUAGAUCAUUUAUCUUUGCUCCAUAUAACAAAGGGAGUGAUAAGAGUCCCAUAUUGUUGUUCCUAACUGGCGCUGCCGCCUCAAACAAGCAGACACCAACAUUGAUGGAUGCUAAUAUGCUCCUGCAAUUUUAAUGGAGAGAAAUAUAUUUCUAAGCAUCAAUAAGAAGAACAUGUGUGGCAUUGCAUCUAAAACGAACAAGAAGUGAUUAAGAGUUUUUACACAGCAUAGAAGUUCAAUGUAUCUUCUGCUUGAUCUUCAUCAUCAAACUGCUGGAAAGGACUAUUAUUGUUUUCAAUACCAGUCUUUCUCAAUUUGCUUGCUACUGAACCGCCUUCUGAUUUUACCACGUCCAAGGUGGACGAGACUAAACCUUUAGAUUUUGCAUCUGACAAACAGCAAAAUAAGUGAACAUUAACAAGAGGAAAAAGCCAGAAAAAUCAAGCAACAAGACACCAAAAACAAGAAUACCUUUUUGGAGUUUGUCAAGAUAAGCACUCAAAGAAUCCAACUCUUCAUUCACAUUGAGUUCAGCUUUGCGAUCAAUAUCAUCUCCUGUUGAGAUAGAAGGCUUCUCAUCAUCGUUUUGAAGUUUCCCAAAGUAAGAAUCCAACAGUUUAAGUCUCUGUUUGGUAAUCUUGUUCUCUGAUGACGCUCUAACUAAACAUAACCUUCUUCUUGGUGAACGACAAUACGGGAUUGAUUUCAUAUAACUCUUCAUCCUACAAUCCCUGCCAAGCGUGGUUGCUUCAGCCAUUGUUCUAUGUUUCAGACCAGACGAAAAACGUCUUAAACCAUUUGAAUCAAACAAUACUUCUCCUUUACAAGGGACUUCAUGGUGAAGAGGAAACAGUGCCAUCUUCAGGUCCUGUCCAUUUCAGAGAAACAUGUCAUCAUCAAAUCUCAUCAUUCACCACCAAACCCCAAAGAAGAUUAUACAAAAACAUGUGAAUGAUUUUGAUAAAAACACAAACUUUAGAGACGCACUUAACAAGUUAGUCCUAAGAUAAUCAAAGAAGCUAUUUGGGAUUAAACCCAUUUCACAACCGAAAAGAACAAACAGAGAUACGAUUCACGAAAAGCUUUAAAUUAAGUAAUCUCAUUGAGGCAUUUAACCAAACAACAAAAGGGCAUAACGUUUUCAAGAAUCCAAUAACGAAACGAGUAUCAAAAUCACUUCUUUGAAGUGAGACAUUUGUCUUCUUCCUCACCGUUUGCGUGAGACUUUUCAAUUUACGAAGUACAGAGACGAGUAUCAACACAAUUGGGAAGAAGAAUUAGAAUUUGAGAAAGUGAUAAGAUUUUACCUUUGAACGAAGAAACCUGAUCCUAAUCUUGAAGAUUGAAGAUUUGUGGUUGCGAGGAUUAGGAAAAAUUGGAGUUCGAAUAACGAAGCAGUGACUUGUGAAAAUUACGUUUAGGAACAGAACAUAAAGCGACUAAGGAAACAAUAUUUUUUAUUUAAUGGUUCAAAUUUCGUCGUGUUGGAUAUUUUAUUGUUGACAAAACAAAAGAAGAGAUAUUUUAUUCUUGAACAUUACUGACUCACAAGUACAACUCAAGAAUUGACCAUUUUAUUUGCUUUUUCUUUUCUGUUUUUGAUCAAAUUGGUUUGCUUUUUCUAAUUUAAUGUUCUGAUGAAUAUGAAUAGCAUAAAUAUUUUUUUUUGACUAAGGGCUUGACUCGUUUAAACGCAGCGGAUACGGUUGUUGUUGCGAGAGUUUGCUUUAUCCCUGUGAUUUAAUUUAUAAACUUCAAAUCUACCAAUAUUUUAGUAUGCAAAAUGUUAUUGUGCAACAUACAAUAAUAUGAUGGUACGAACCUUUUGGGAAGUGGAUGGAAAAAAUACAGACUAACAAUAAAUUUAGGAUGGUACGAAGUUGUAUGCUCAAUUACAUAUUACUAGUGAAAUUUUUUAAUCUAUAUUAAUGCAUAUUAGUCCGCAAUAGUGAAUGAUGAAUUAAAUACGGACUGAUUCGAUUUCAGUCAGAUUUGCAUCAUACUACACAACUAUUUAUAUUUUAGAUUUGGUUAACCAACUUAUAAAAACUUUAAAUACUACACAACCAUUUGUUUUUUAGAUUUGGUUAACCAACUUAUAAAAACUUAAUUUAUAUAAUCUUGUUGGUUUUUGUUAAUUUUCACAUAGUUGUCCAAUUGUUCCCACACAUCUCAGUAUUGAUAUCCAUCUUCUUAUCUUCGUUAACCACCUACCAAAUGUCACGUGGACGCUCCAUUUCGGUUUCUAUCCGGAUUCGCGGUGGAUUCUCCUCCCACCCCAAUCAUCGGUUCAUUUCAGCAUUUGGUUAUAUCCAAAUUAUUUUAACCGGUUUAUACCGAAACUACUCGAACCAGACAAUCUUUGAUUGGUAGAAAGAGAGCCACGUAGGAUUAUCUCUUCUAAUGGCAAAUUAACCAAAAACGUAACUGAAGAUCAAAAGAGAAAGAGAGAAAAAAGACGAUGAGAGCUCUAACAUGGACGGCAAUGUCGCCGCCGGUGAUGUCACGGACGGCGACUUCUACGGUUAACUUACGACGUAUCAGCCUACGGAGAGAUCGCGUCUGUGUUAGAGCCACGGCUUCGUCUAGCGCCACGGUUUCCGGCGGAGGAGUAGUAGAGGCGGUAGAAUUGGCAGAGAUAGGAGAAAGAAGCAAGAAAUGGAAGUGGAAAGGAGAAUAUUCUGUUAACUACUUUGUCAAAGAUUCGCCGGAGGAAGUUACUCCGGCGAGUCAAACUGUUCUUUUGGUUCAUGGCUUUGGUGCUUCUAUUCCUCACUGGCGAAGGUAUUAAUCAUUCAUCAUUCAUGUUUUAAGAGUAAAUGUAUGAAUCUUGUUGAGAUAGUGUUUUUUUUUAGUUAAGUAUCAAUAAAUUGUUGUAUGUGGAAGAUUUUUAUGUAUAGGCAUUGCUUUUAACAAGAACGAAUGAAACUACUUUUGCAGGAACAUAAAUGCUUUGUCUAAAAACCAUACAGUGUAUGCAAUUGAUCUUCUCGGGUUUGGUGCUUCGGAUAAGCCACCUGGUUUUAGCUAUACCAUGGAGUCAUGGGCUGAGGUAAACAAUCUUUGAAAUACUCUGGCAUGUUUUUGUUGUUUAAAGAAGUGUUUUGGUUUGGUUUGGUUUGAUUUGAUUUAUUUUGGUGUAGUUGAUACUCAACUUCUUGGAGGAAGUGGUUCAGAAACCGACUAUUUUGAUUGGAAACUCUGUUGGAAGCCUUGCUUGUGUCAUCGCUGCCUCAGGUCUAAACCCUUUUCACUAUUUGAGUUUGUUUCUACGUCUAAUGAUAUAAACUUCGAUUACUUGAGCUAAAGAUGUCACAAGUAUAUGAAUCUUAGGUACUAAGUUUCUCAUAUAUUUGGAAAAAAAAACAGAAUCACGAGGAGAUCUGGUCAAAGGUCUUGUUCUAUUGAAUUGUGCUGGUGGUAUGAACAACAAAGCUGUCUUUGAUGACUGGAGAAUCAAGCUACUGAUGCCUUUACUCUUACUUAUCGACUUCUUACUCAAGCAAAGAGGAAUUGCUUCUGCACUCUUCAACCGUGUUAAAGACAGGUAUGUCCUUAUUCACUUUUUCCCUGACUUUGAAACGAUUUAUUCGAGAGCUCUAACGCAUUGACGAAUAUACGAAACGCAGGGAAAAUCUGAAGAACAUCUUGACAAAUGUUUACGGGAACAAGGACAAUGUAGAUGACACCCUUGUAGAGGUAUUGUCAUUAUUACUCACUCUCAAUGACAAAGAACAAUGAAAGUUUUAUUCACUUUUUAUGUGAAAAUGUUAUGUUAGAUCAUUGCUGGACCAGCAAAUACCGAAGGUGCACUAGAUGCUUUUGUUUCAAUCUUAACGGGUCCUCCUGGACCAAAUCCGAUUAAGCUGAUACCGGAAAUAACCAAACCGGUUCUUGUCUUAUGGGGAGAUCAAGAUGGACUAACCCCUCUUGAUGGUCCAGUAGGUAAGUACUUCACUUCCCUUCCGGAUCAGUUACCUAACUUCAACCUCUAUGUUCUACAAGGCGUUGGACAUUGCCCGCAAGAUGAUCGUCCGGAUCUUGUCCAUGAGCGUCUCCUUCCAUGGCUGGCUCAACUUUCUUCCACCUAGUUUCGAUUUGUUUAGCCGUGUACACUUGUUUAUAAAUGUAAAACAAAUCUAUCUAAUUGGAAAAAGACAGAUUCAAAAUGAUAUUUCUUGACACAUUUUGUGGUGUCUGAAUGUAAGUUGUAAAGAAGUCAUGGUGGUAGUAACUUGGUAAAGGAGUUUGUUUUUGGAAUAAACGCAAAUUACAUGGUUUGUAACUGAAUACCAAAUGUCAAAGCCAAAAAUAUACUAAACUAAAAGAUAGGCUUAUUUAGUCAAAGCUCAAUGCUAUUGACUUGGUAGUCAUUUUUGGUAAAAGAAUCGUUACAAAUGUAGAAAGUGACUAGUUAGGUUGAUGAAUGAUUGAUGGUCCUAUACAAUUGAUAAUUUGCUACUUUUGUUGGUAGGCAAGUAAAAGACACUUAAUGAGCUGCUAGAAGCUAUUUUUGGCCACAAAAUCUACAAAUUUGUUUGGUUGUUGAAUCUUUAAAAGGACAUUCAUGCUGCAAUAUCAUCAACAUAGUGAAGAUGAUAAUUUUCAAACUUGAAAUUCAAAAGUGUAUAUAUAUGAAUAUGAUGAUUGAAUAUUGAUUAUCAGUGUGAAUGAAAAACCAUUGUUAUAAAUUUUCAGUUUUCAUCAAAAAAAUGAUGCCAAAGAAGAAGAGUAAACAAAACAAGACAAAAAGAGUUAAAUGGAGUGGUCCAAUAAAAAUAAAAAUAAAGAAGACAAAACAAAUUUGUAUUAAAAUGGUUAGAUGUCGUUGGGUGCCGGGAAGUCUUCGUUGGAGUCUAUUAUUUAAAUGCUUCACCGAUCUCUCAUUACUCUCUAGUCAAUAUCCCAAAAUCCCUAAUUCAUAUCUUUGAAACUGAUAAAGAUAACAAAGAAAUGGCCUCUCAAUUGCUUUUACCUCCAAACCAAUUCACUAAAUCAGUCUCACCUCAAGUUUUCAUUACUGGUAAGUUCACUGUUGAUCUCUUGAUUCUUUUGUCAAAACUUUAUUCUUGAUUUGAUUGCUUCAAAGUUGAAUAUUUGAUGUCUUGUGUGUUUUAUUUUGAUUUGAUUAGGUGAUUGUCAAGGAUUUAGUGACUUAACUCUGAAAAGAAAAUCAAACCAAGCUACAAGAGUUUCAAAUGGAUCUAGCUUAAGAGUAAAAGCAGCUUUGAGAUCUACUCACAACAAAUCAGUGGUUGAGAUUCCAAAACAAUGGUAUAAUCUUGUUGCUGAUCUUUCAGUCAAGCCUCCUCCACCGUUGCAUCCAAAGACUUUCGAACCGAUAAAACCCGAAGAUUUGGCUCAUCUUUUCCCCAAUGAGUUGAUUAAACAAGAAGCUACACAAGAGAGGUUUAUUGAUAUCCCUGAGGAAGUUCUUGAAAUCUAUAAGCUUUGGCGUCCAACUCCUCUAAUCAGGUUCUUGAUUUUUUUAUUUAGUUUUCUUAUUUUGAUUGUUUUUUUGUGUGUUUUCUUUUAUAUUUAUAAUUUAGCCAUAGAUGAUUUAAAGAUAAUAAAAAGGAUUUGUUUCUGUUUUUCAUAAUCAAGAUUUUGAAUAUUAGCUGAAGUGUCAUCAGUCUUAGUAUUAGUUUAGCCAAAUUUCAUAUCAGAUUAUUUAUUUUGCUUUGAUUAUAGAGCAAAGAGAUUAGAGAAGCUUCUUCAAACACCGGCAAGGAUUUACUUCAAGUAUGAAGGUGGUAGCCCAGCUGGUUCACACAAACCAAACACAGCGGUUCCACAAGCUUAUUACAAUGCGAAAGAAGGCGUCAAGAACGUUGUGACGGAAACCGGUGCUGGUCAAUGGGGAAGUUCUUUAGCCUUUGCUUCUAGUCUAUUUGGUCUCGACUGCGAAGUAAGCAUAAAUAUUAGAAUUUUGCUUUGGUAUCUUGAAAAAUGUAAUGUUUUGAUUAUAAGUGACAUUGUUUCUUUUAUACUUUUCAAAACAUUAUAGGUAUGGCAAGUAGCCAACUCUUACCAUACAAAGCCAUAUCGCCGGUUAAUGAUGCAAACUUGGGGUGCAAAGGUUCAUCCGUCGCCAUCGGAUCUCACUGAGGCGGGUAGAAGAAUCCUCGAAUCCGAUCCAUCAAGUCCGGGAAGUUUAGGCAUUGCGAUAUCAGAAGCGGUUGAAGUUGCAGCGAGAAACGAGGAUACAAAAUACUGCCUAGGGAGUGUAUUGAACCAUGUGUUGUUACACCAAACAAUUAUUGGAGAAGAAUGCAUUCAACAAAUGGAGAAUUUUGGUGAAACACCUGACCUGAUCAUAGGGUGUACUGGUGGAGGAUCAAAUUUUGCUGGUUUGAGUUUUCCUUUUAUCCGGGAGAAACUCAAAGGCAAAAUCAACCCUGUUAUAAGAGCGGUUGAGCCAUCUGCUUGUCCUUCCUUGACCAAAGGGGUUUAUGCUUAUGAUUUUGGCGAUACGGCUGGAUUGACUCCUUUGAUGAAGAUGCAUACUUUGGGACAUGACUUCAUUCCUGAUCCUAUCCAUGCCGGUAAUAAAAUAAGCUUUAAACUAACUAUCUUAAACAAAACGCUUCUUGAUUCUCAAUAUUCUGUUUUCUUGAUUUCUUGGAUCUUUGGUUCUUGAUUCUUGAAACCUGAAUCUUUUAUUUUUGGCUUAAUUUUGUUGUAUUAUACGUCUAUGGUUGUUGGCAGGUGGAUUAAGGUACCAUGGGAUGGCACCAUUGAUCUCACAUGUUUAUGAACAAGGAUUCAUGGAAGCAAUUUCAAUUCCUCAAAUUGAGUGUUUCCAAGGUGGUUCUUCGAUCGCUGAAAUUCCUCAAAUCUCAUUUAACUUUUGCAUUUGAUUGUAAUACAAACUUUUCAUGUUUAAUUGUCUUUCAGGUGCUAUUCAGUUUGCAAGAACAGAAGGGAUCAUACCCGCACCAGAACCGACCCACGCCAUUGCUGCAACCAUAAGAGAGGCUCUCCGAUGUAAAGAGACGGGAGAAGCAAAAGUGAUACUAAUGGCGAUGUGUGGACAUGGCCAUUUCGACCUUACUUCUUACGACAAGUAUUUAAAAGGCGAGUUGGUGGAUUUAUCAUUCAGCGAAGAGAAGAUACGAGAGUCUUUGUCCAAGGUUCCUCAUGUUGUUUAAGCUCGAAUGGCCCCAUAACCACGGGAAACCAAUGUCCCAUGUUCCAAACUAGACGUGAGACAGAAGUUAGGUUUAAUCUUGGCUUUUGAAAUGAAGAGUGAGAGAGAGGACAACUUCAAAACAUGAACAAAAUUAUCUCUUGAAAUAAGAAUAAAAAAGGCAUUUACAGAAACACCACAUUUUGGGGUUAGGUCUCUAUUUUUCACUCUAUAUAUGGAGAAAUCUUUGCAAGAUAUGAAGCUCGACGAUAAGUCGAUGAUGAACCUUUAAUUCUUCCAAAACCAUCAACACUUGCUGAAGAAGCAUCAGAACUUAAGUUUUAGAAAACAAAAUUAUAUUACGUGAUAGUACUGUCGAAAGACAUACAACAUAGGAAGACGCAACACGUAGAAGUGAGUUGAAGAUGCGAUGUCAUUAAAACAUGACUUAUAACAUGAGAUUAUCGGAAGACACACACGCCACACAUUAAAAUGAGAAAACACAUGUAGUAGAGUAAAAAAAAGGGUACGAGAUCCUUAAGAAACAAAUUUAAAACCAUUGGGUAGAACAUGGACCCCAAGUUGAUGAAGCAUGUUACUGGAUUUUCCAUGGAACCCAACGAUCUGGUGAUUAUCCUUGUGAAGCACGAAGCUUGGUAAUGUACCGAAUCCAAAGUACGGAGAGUCUUUUUUGUUGGUCUUGAACCUAAGCAUGGUUAUACCUCCGAUUUUAUCAUCAUAAGUACCCUCCACUGAUGUGAUACGUUCAAGAGGAUCCAACUCGAACUGCAAAACAAGAAAAAGAAAUACAUUGAGAAUGAUAAUAAGUUGACCAAGUACUAUAUAUUACGGAAAUUGUAUCAGUGACCUCUUGGUCUUCAGAUAUCGUGGUCUUGUUGCCAUGAUCAUCUCCGAUGACAACACGAGUGCUUUUGUAGUACAUAAACUUGACAAAGCCUACAACAUUUUCGUUUAGUCCAAUGUAGAUCUUUCUUACACUGUUGAAAGUACCACCAUCAUCCCAAGAAGCUCCUCCACACCACCUUGUGCUUUUAGUUUCUCCACAUCAGGAGUAGGAGGAAUCGGGCGAUAAUAUGCUCCAAGAGAAUUAAGAGUAUUCCCAACACUAUUAUAUCCAUGGAACCCAACAAGAGGACUACCAUUCUUCUCCAGCACAAAUUUUCUACUACUAGCUGAUCCAAAUGUUGGAGAGCUUCUCUUUUUUGAUGUUUUGAAUGUCAAUGACGUAAUCCACGUGAUGUUAACACUUUUCGGAGCUGCUAAGGUCCCCUCCACAGACGUGAUAAAUUCAUUUGGAUAAUCAAGCACAAACUGCAAUCACAAAAUGUUUUGUAUAAGCGCCUCAAGAACCCAUAUUUAAAUAUUCAUUGUCGAUGAAUUUUUACGUAAUAAAGUUUAAAGAAUCAUGACCUCCUUCUCAUUUUUAACAUCACGUCGAUACGGUGUCUUUUCCACUUUUCCGCCAUUAUCGUACUCAAACCUGACAGUAUAUAUUUCGUUACCUAUACCAUCGACGAACACCUUUCUAACUCCGUCAUAAUUACAACCAUCAUCCCAAGACAUUCCUCUACAAUCACCUUGGCAUUCCAAUUUGUUAGGAGUGGCCCUACUGAAAUAUGCUCCAAGAGAGUUUAGACUUUUGUCGGCAUAUCCAUGAAACCCAAUGAUCUUAUUUCCAUUGGAUGCAAGUAAAAACUUCCUGCCCUUUUUAUACCCCAUCAUAACAGGAUUGUUGAGGUUAGUUUGGAAAUGAAGCCCUUGAAUGGUUUCAGAAGCAUCAUCGUAGUAACCUUCAACAUAUACUAGAUAUUCGUUCUUUGACUGGUUAAUCUCCAUCUGAAAAUUUGAUAAAGCGUUUACUACAAGAUUUAAUAAUAUAUAUACUCAAAUAAAUGAACCUAUAGUUAUAAUUAAUAGCUACGUACCUUCUGUAAAAAACCAUCACCACCAGAGUCACCAUGGAUUAAUCCAGUUUCUAGUUUUCCAUUCUUGAUAUAGUCAACUUUGAUGUACAGUAUGCCUUCAAAACCACCUAGCACUUGGAUCUUUGAUACAUUGUCAUGGUCGAAUCCAUCCUCCCACUUCUUGCCUCCCAUACCACCUUUCACUUCCAAUCUCGUAGGAGUAAUGGAAGUGAAGUAAGCUCCAAGAGAGUAUAUAUGUACAUUAUCAGAUCCAUGAAACCCAAUGAUCUUCUUUCCUUUGACGGCUAGCGUAAACAUGGUACACUCAUAACUAUACCCCAUCAGUUCAGAGGUCCUGAAAUUGGUUUUGAAUUGAAUUGCUUGCAAACCAUAAGACUUUUUGUUGUAGUAAGCGUCAACAGAUUCAAGAUGUUCAUCUUGUAGAUGGUUUAUCUCAAACUGCAAAAAUAGUGAGAAUAAAAAUACCACAGAGUCAGCAUUAUAUAUCAACAUCACCUCAAAUUAAAUAAGUUAGGGAAUAGAGUAAACCUCUAUUAAUCAAUACUCUAUAAAUUAAUAUACACAAUAAAUUAACAAAUCAUGUUGUACCACUGUGAAUAUUAACAAAACUCGAUAAAAUAAUAAUACUUUUCAAAAAUCUUAUAUAAAAAUAUGGUCCUAAUAACACAUAAAUUAAUAAUCAUAUAUAUAUAUAUAUAUAUAUAUAUAUAUAAAAUAAUAUAUAAUAUAUGGUUUAUGGUAUGUUAAACAUUGAAUUUUUGUUAGGGUUUGUGUAUCAAACAAUUGUUACGUUAUGUUUAUAAUAAUCGUAAUAAAAAGUAGUCAUAAUUUUUUUAUUAGUUUCGAAAUGCUUAAUAUGCAUCAGUUUCAUUUUAAUAGUUUUAUAGACUUUAAAAAUACGAUAGUUGAUAAAUUUAUACAUAUAUAAAUUAUCUAAAUGAAUUCAACUAUAGUCUUUGGGAUUCAUUCUCAAAGGAGUUUUUUGAAAUAUUAAAUUUUCAAAUACAAUACUACACAAAUAUAAGAUAUCAAAAUUAUUAAUUUUAUGUGUAUCCAAUUCUCUCAAUUAACAUUUUUCUUAAAUUUUAAAAAAAAACUUAAAGUAAAUAUCUCUAUAAAUUAAUAUUUAUUAAUAUUUUGGUUCCGAGUCCCGACAUUAUUAAUUUAUAGAGGUUUUACUUAUAUUGAUCUUCUAAGAGAUGAACGUAAAUUUCUAAUAUGGACUUAAAUGGGUGAUUGGUUGGGCUGUAACUCUAGAAUUUUUGCUGUAGAGAUUUUGCUGUAGCUGUGUUGGUUGUAGCUGUAACUGUUAUUGCUGUAAAAUUAUUGCUGUAAGUUUUGAACUUUAAAUAUUUAUAAAAAAUGGAUUAAUAAAUAUAAUAAUUGUAAUAAGAGUUUAUUUUUAUAGUAAAUAAAAUCCCUUGUAUUACUAAUUUAAAUAUAUAUAUUAUGCUGAUAUAAAAAUAAAAAAAAUCCUAUGAAUUCUUAAUAAAAUAAAUCUAAAUUUUACAUAUUCCAUAGAUUAAUUUUGUUAUAUAUUUAUGUUGAUAAUUUAAUUUUUUGUAUUUAUCUAAUGAAUUAAAAUUUCUACAGCCAAGAAAAUAGGGCUUUGAGAAAUUACUCUACUACAGCCUUAAAAAAAAAAUAAAAAAAAUUUGGACUGUAAGUUUAAAAAUAAAGGUAUAACACGAUUGGUUUGUAAUCAACGCUUUAAAAAAAAAUAAGGUUGUAAGUCAGACUUAAAGCCCAACCAAUCAUGCACUAAAUGAGUCUAAAUUAGUAUUGUUCAAUCCGGAGCUGGAAAGGAUCUAGCCCUUGAAUUUUCUAUUAUAUAUAAAAUUCGUAUAAAUGUUAACCAUACAUUUUUUUACCUUUAAGAAUAGUUUACCCUAUUUUAAAAGUAAAUUAAAAGCAAAUAAAAAUAGCAAAAACUAAAACUUUUCUUUUGGGUAUUUGCGAAUAUUAAAAUUUCUAUGUGAUUUUGGCCGCGUAGACAUACCGUUUGUGUGAAACCAUAGUUAAAGAAACCAUGGAUUGAUCCAUCUUUUGGAUUUCCACUCUUCACAUAGUUGAAAUAAAAGGAUCCUAUGCCUUGGGGACCCCCUUUUACGUAUAUCUUUGUUACGUCAUCAUGGUCAGAACCAUCAUCCCACAGACGACGUUCAUCUAACUUGAUUCCUUUCGCUCCCAACUUUAUGAUCAUCUUGAACUAAUAUCAAUCUUCAGCUGGGUAUGAAGGUGUAUUGUUUUUCCUAUUCAGUAAUCUGCAUCAGUACCACAUGCAUGUGUUCCUUAAGUUGGGAAGAACCAACACAAUAUCUAAACUAGAAGGAAGAAAAACCAAUUGAUUAUACUACCAUGGAUUAGUUAACAUAAAGGGAUAUUUAAAUUUCUACAACUUUAAAUAUAUAGCUCAUUACGUUUACAGUGAUAGAUUUGAUAAGAUCUCACUUAAGGUUAAAGUUAAAACAUUAGUGCGAAUAAAGAGUAAGCAUGCUUAUGGGAGAGAGAGAAAAGGGCUGACCUCUGAAGAUGAACAGACUUCCGUAAGUUUAGCGAUGGACUUGUGUUUUUCAUAUAUACAAGUUUUGGUCAUUUUUCAAAAAUGGAUAUUGAUAUUAUUAUAUAUGAGGCUGCUGGUUGCAAGAUUAAAUAUUAAAUUUGUGAAAAUAUAAACUAAUUGUUAAAUAAUUAUUCAAAGACGACCAAAAGUACGUCUUCCACAAACAAACGAUUAUUUAAGACGACCUUGCAUGAUUGCAUCUCAUCGACAGCGUAGACUUUGUUUUUUAUGAUGACAAACCUACUCGUAAAACUUAACAAACAAAAGUAAUAUUUCAACCCGAACAUUUUUCUAUCGACAUAAUAGAAUAGAUUUUUUAGACCUAGACUCCAAUUAAAACAGGGGUCGUUUCUAUAUUAAAAAACAUUUAACUUUUUAUUUUACAAAUUUUUUUUACUAAAAUCAAAAAAGUUAUAUAUUCUAUCUUGUAUAUAUAUAAAAAAAACAUUGCGAUUUUUUUUGUUUUUUACGCUUUAUUGCGAGAAUUUUUCUUAAUAAUUUUAAUUAGAAACAUUAACAAUAUAUUACACAAUAAAAGUUUAAAAAAAAUAAGACUAAAAAGUAUAUUAAAACUUCUAUAGCUUUUUUAAAUAUACGCAAUAACAAUUUUGAUUUUUGCCAACAAAAAUAUAAUUAUUUUUUAUCAUGCAAUUUUAGACCAAAUCAGAGUCAUAUACUCAUAUUUUAUAAAGUAUAUCUCAUGGACCAUUACCUCCUAGUCUUUGUUGAUCGGUUAUGUCAUGGGGCGAGACAAUAAUUUACGCCUGCCGGAUUAAUAAAAUAGAAAUGGAUUAUACAUUGCUUUUUUUUUCCAACUCUUUAUAGUUUAUUACUUUAUUUGUUUAUUAUUAUGUGAGAAAUUGCCAUCGCCAAGAUUGAAAAAUUAAAUGAGCAAUCUUGCAAUUGUUUUUUUUUAUUUUUGUUUUUUUCUAUCAAUCUAACCACUUGUUAUCAGUAUUCUGAAAUGCAGUUGGUUGAUGUGGUCUAAAAAGUAGAAGAUGCUUCCAAAUAUGGAAAAAAACAAUGUUUGGAAUUAUAUUAAAACAGUAACACUAAAUUUUCUAAGUAGAAACGUACGAAAAUUACUUUUUACUGUAUAAAUAGAGCUGUCAAAUGGUCCGUCCAAAGAUCAUUGGGCGUGUCCGUACAGACAGUUUUUUUUAUGGGCCAAGUUGGACGGUCCAUAAUGGACAAUGGUCUGAAAAUGUCCAUGCCCAAUAAAGACCAUGUCCAUAAUGAUCAGCCCAUUUUAUUAUUGUUAUUAUUGAUAAAUCAAAAAUCAUGAUUUUAAAGAAAAAUUCAAAAAUUGUAUUUUUCCGCAAAAAUUGUAAAAAUCGGAGACUUGCAUUUUUCCGACAAAACGGUAAAAUUGUGUUUUUCUUACCAAUACAAUAAAAUCACGAUUUUGGCGGAAAAAUUAUGGAAUUGCGUUUUCCCGCCAAAACCGUAAAAUUAGAGAAUUGCGUUUUUCCGUGAAAACCGUAAAAUUAGAGAAUUGCGUUUUUCCGUCAAAAUUAUAAAAUCGGAGAAUUGUAUUUUUCCCGUCAAAACCGUAAUCGAAAAUUUGCGUAUUCCAAAAAAUUGUGGAAUACUAUUUUUCCUUCAAAACCGUAAAUAAUUUAAUAAGAAAUAAUUUAUUAAAAUUUAAAAUUUUCAUAAAAAUAGAAACUUAUAAUGUAAAAUAUAUAAUUUGAAAAUUAUUUAGUUGUAAUUGUAAUUAAAAUUAUAAAAAUAUGAUUAAAAUGAAGACAUGUCUAUUGACUCAAUUCAUGCCCAUGGGCAGCCCAUUGUUCAUACGGUCAAGCCCAUAUUGUCCAUGGACAAAACUGGUAAUAUGCCCAAUUAGACCAUUUUUUUUUAGUCCGGAAUAUAGGCCGCCCAUAUGCAUUUGGACUGGGCAAGCCCAUGGACGUCCUGCCCAAUUGACAGCUCUAUGUAUAACACGCAUUGCCAAAAUUUCUACAUGUAUGUGUGUAUAUAGAUUUAGCUCAUAAAUGUAAAUUAUGGAACCAAACCGUAAGACGAAUUUGGGACAAUGUGUUUUUGCAUUUUGGGUAAGAAAAUCAACACUUGCUGAGAAGUAUCAGAGCUUAAAUGUUAGGAGAAGAAAAUUAUAUUGUGAUAGUUGAAGAUGUGAUGUCAUUAAAACAUGACUUAUUAAAAGAAAAAGUAAGAGAACGUUAUUAAAUAAAUUUAAAACCGUUGGGUAUAACGUGGACCCCAAGUUGAUGAAGCAUGUUACUGGAUUUUCCAUGGAAUCCAACGAUCUGGUGAUUAUCCUUGUGAAGCAAGAAGUUUGAUGUUGUACCAAAUCCAAAGUAUGGAGAUUUUUGUAAGUUGGUCUCGAACCUAAGCAUGGUUAUACCUCCAGAUGUAUCAUCAUAAGUACCCUCCACUGAUAUGAUAUGUUCAAACGGAUCCAACAAGAACUGCAAAACAAGAAAAAAAAAAUACAUCGAGAAUGAUAAUAAGUUGACCAAGUACGAUAGAAAUCUAGAACUUUAAAUUAUGGAAAUUGAAUCAGUGACCUCUAGGAGAUCAGAUGAAAGGGUCUUGUUGCCAUGAUCAUCUCCGAUGACAACACGAGCGUUUUUGUAGUACAAAAACUUGACAAAGCCUACAACGUUUUUGCCUAGUCCAAUGUAGAUCUUUCUAACACUGUUGAAAGUACCACCAUCAUCCCAAGAAGCUCCUCCAUCACCACCUUGUGCUUCUAGUCUUUUCACAUCAGGAGUAGGAGGAAUCGGGCGAUAAUAUGCUCCAAGAGCUUUAAUAUUAUAACCAGGACCAAUAUAUCCAUGGAACCCAACAAGAGCGCUACCAUUCUUCUCCAGCACAAAUUUUCUACCAGGAGACGAUGAUCCAAAUGUUGGAGAGGUUCUCCCUUUUGAUGUUUUGAAUGUCAGUGAGAGAAUCCACGUAAUGUCAAAAUUAGUCGGAGUUGCUAAGGUCCCCUCCACAGACGUGAUAAACUCAUUUGGAUAGUCAAGCACAAACUGCAAUCAGAAAACAACUUCGUAUAAGCGCCUAAAGAACCAAUAUAUAGUAUCAAUGAAAUUUUACGUUACUAGAUUUAAAGAAUCAUGACCUCCUUCUCAUUUGUAACAUCACGCCGGUACGGAGUCUUUUCCACUUUUCCGCCAUUAUCGUACUCAAACCUGACACUAUCUAUAUCACUUAUACUAUCGACAUACACCUUUUUUACGCCGUCAUAAUUACAACCAUCAUCCCAAGGCAGUCCUUUACGAUCACCUUGGCAUUCCAGUUUAUUAGGAGUGGUCGUACUGAAAUAUGCUCCAAGAGAGUUUAGGCUUUUGUCGGCAUAUCCAUGAAACCCAAUGAUCUUAUUUCCAUUGGAUGCAAGUAAAAACUUCCUGCCCUUUUUAUACCCCAUCAUAACAGGAUUGUUGAGGUUAGUUUGGAAAUGAAGCCCUUGAAUGGUUUCAGAAGCAUCAUCGUAGUAACCUUCAACAUAUACUAGAUAUUCGUUCUUUGACUGGUUAAUCUCCAUCUAAAAAUUUGAUUAAACGUUUACUACAAGAUUUAAUAAUAUACUCAAAUAAAUGAACCUAUAGUUAUAAUUAAUAGCUACAUACCUUCUGUAAAAAACCAUCACCACCAGAGUGACCAUGGACUAAUCCAGUUUCUAGUUUUCCAUUCUUGAUAUAGUCAACUUUGAUGUACAGUAUGCCUUCAAAACCACCUAGUACCUCGAUCUUUGAUACAUUUUCAUGGUCAAAUCCAUCGUCCCACUUCUUGCUUCCCUUACUACCUUUCACUUCCAAUCUCGUAGGAGCAAUGGAAAUGAAGUAAGCUCCAAGAGAUAAUAUAUGUACAUAAUUAGAUCCAUGAAAUCCAAUGAUCUUCUUUCCUUGGACGGCUAGCGUAAACAUAGUACACUCAUAACUAUACCCCAUCAGUUCAGAAGUCCUGAAGUUAGUUUUGAAUUGAAUUGCUUGCAUACCGUAGGACUUUUUGUCGUAGUAAGCGUCAACAGAUUCAAGAUAUUCACCUCGUAGAUGGUUAAUCUCAAACUGCAUAAUUAGUGAAAAUACAAAUACCACAAAGUCAGCAUUAUAUAUCAACUUCACCUCAAUAUAAAAUGAGUUAAGGAAUAUGUUGAUUUUCUAGACGAUGAACGAGAAUUGCUAAUUAUAGACUUUAAAAGAACUUAGAGUAAACUUUUACUACUUACAUUUUACCGUUAAAGGAUAAUUUUCCCUUUUAAAAAUGAAUUAAAAAGCAAAUAGAAAAUUAAAAAAAAAAAAACUAAAUUAAUCGGCAGCCUUAUCAGAUCUACAUCAAAAUAACAUUGACUUUUCUUUUGACGGAUAUUGCCAAUAUAAUAUCAAAAUGUUUAUGUGAUUUGGCCUUGUAGACGCAUAGGUAGCCGCCGAUUUUUAGAAUACCGUAUAUGUUCCAGAACAUACCGUUUGUGUGAAACCAGAGUCAAAGUAACCAUGGAUUGAUCCAUCUUUGGGUUUUCCAUUCUUCACAUAGUUGAAAUAAAUGGAUCUUAUUCCUUCACGACCACCUCGUACGUAUAUCUUUGUUACAUCAUCAUGUUCAGAUCCAUCAUCCCACUCCCGCUGAUUACGUUCAUCUGACUUGAUUCCUUUCGCUCCCAACUUUUGGAUCAUCUUGAACUGAUGUUAUCAAUAUUCAGCUGGAUAUGAAGUGGUUCUUGUGUUUCCUAGUACAAUAAUCUGCAUCAAUAUCCACAUGUGUUCCUUAAUUAAAUUGGGAAUAUUAAAAAAACAAAACAUAUUGUCAAGCGAAGAACCAACACAAUAUUUAAGAUCACCAAUUGCAGAAACGGAACUACUGUAAGAGGAUAUCUAAAACUAUGCUCAUUACGUUCACAUAAAUAAUAGAUUUCGAUAAGAUCUUAUUUAAGGUUAAAACAUUGGUGCGAAUAAGAAGUAAGCAUGCUUAUGAGGGAAAGAGAAAAGAGCUGACCUCUGAAGAUGAACAGACUGCUAUGCUGAUCAGUAAGUUUAGCGAUGGACUUGGCUUUUUUCAUAUAUACAAGUUUUGGCCAUUUUUCUAAAAUGUAUAUUUAUAUUGUUAUAUAUGAGGCUGCUGGUUGCAAGAUUAAAUAUUAAAUUUGUGAAAAUAUAAACUAGUUGUGAAAUAAUUAUUCAAAGACUACCUAAAGUACGUCUUCCACAAACAAACGAUUAUUUUAAAACGACCUUGCAUGAUUGCAUCUCAUCGACAGCGUAGAUUUUGUUUUUUAUGAUAUGACAAACCUACUCGUAAAACUUGUAGGUGGACUUCAGUUUCGAGCAUUUAUUGUUUGGCAUUAUUUUUAGAAACAUAAAACCAACUUCAACGUGACAUGUGAUCAAAUGUGCUCUUGGUCAUCGAAUCUCAAUCCAACAUGUGUGUUUUGUCAAGUUCCAUUUGAGACAAGGGAUCAUUUGUUUUUCAGCUGCACAUUCUCGGCUCAAAUCUGGGAACAUCUUGCCAAGCGAAUUCUCAUGCAAGAUUUUACUUUGGAUUACUCUGCUUUGCUAAGUAUUGUCUCCACUUCUCAGUUCUCGAAGACGCAUCAAUUCAUUUUACGCUACGUAUAUUUAAAGCGACAGUCCAUUCAAUUUGGACGGAAAGAAAUCGAAGAAGACAUGGUGAGCUUCCCAUCUCUGCAUCGGUAAUAAUUCAAGUGAUUGACCGGACAGUUCGGAAUCGGCUUCUAUAUAUAUCUUCAAAUGGGUUCAACCUCCAUGAGAGAUGGACUGCAACUCUGGUUUGCAACCAAACCGUAAAGCUUCAGCAUUGGUCAUUCAUUCAAAAAAAGAAAAAAAAAAUCUGCACGUCCAAUCCUACUGGUUAACCAGUGUUACAGAUAUUUAUCGGGUUUGAGUUUACUGUUAAUAUCCGACAAUUUAAAAAGCGCAAAAAUCCACAAAAAUUUGGCACUAACUUGUGAUCUGGUAAACUGGUCGGGUAUUCGUUUAAAAAUAUAUAUAUUUGAUUUUGGACAAAAAGAUAGAGUUUUAGUGUAUUCACUGUUCAUUAUUGAAUUAUUUCAAAACUUUUUUAAGUUCUUCGUAUUCACUAUCCUACUAUCUUAGUAUUUUUUUACCGUGUUUUAGUUAGAUUUAUAAAUUUUAAUCACUUUCUUAUUAUUGUUAGACUUUAUAUUUUGUUAAACAUGAUCUGAUUAUUUUUAUUAUUAAUAAAACUCAAACAUAUCUUUUCUCGCGAUUUCAUGAAGAAAAAUAUUUUAAAUUUGUUUAUACAAUAUUUCUCAAACAAUAAAUCAAACUCAAAAUGAUGAAUAUUAUAAAUUGUUGUUGUUAUUUUAGAAAAAUAAAUUUUAAUGAAAAAACCCUCAAGUUUAGACUUAUCCAUUUUAAAACUCUCAACUUAUUUUUAAAUAGAAAAACCCAGUGGUCAGUGUUUUCACACUCGGUCCGACCGGUUGAACCGUGACCCAAACAUUUUUCUGAUUUAGGUUUAGUGCUAAAACCCGACAAGUUCAAAAUCAAAAAAACCCACAAAAACUCACUAUUAACCUAUGAUCCGGUGAACCGGUCGGGUGUGGGUUUUAAAAUAUUCUCUUUAUUUUGGAAUAUAAUAUGAGAUUUUAGACUUUAUUCAAUCAUUUUUAGAAAUCUUUUCAGUUCGUAAACUCAUUUUAUGGUUUACAUUUUGACGAAGACUUUACAAUGCCGCCUUAAAAAUGAAACGAAUGGUGAGUGAGACACCCGAUAUUAGUUGUGUAAAUUCACGAUGUUUUACUAGUUUAUUUCCGUCAUUGGUGAUCUACUACUAUAUUUGUUAUGGUAUUAGACGUUUAGUUGGAUUUAAAAAAUUUAAUCACUUUAUUAUUAUUGUUUGAUUAUAUAUAUAUAUAUUAUUUAUUUUUUUUAUUAUUAUUUUUUGGUAUAAAUGAUUUUAUAUUUUAUUAAACAUAAUCUGAUUUUAUAUUUUAUAAACAUGAUUAUUUUUAUUUUUUAAUUUAUAAGAACUCUAAAAUCUUAUUAAUAUUAAAUUUAUUAAAUAAAUUUUAAUUAAUUGACUUAUGGUCCAACCUGGUUAACCCGAUGACCCAAUAAUCGAGAAGGUAGUCGGGUUCACUGUCCGGGUCGGGUUUAAUCUUGGACCAUCAAUCAUCUUUAAAAAAACAAUUGUCAGAAGAUUGAAUAUUUGGUAAACAAAGUAUAUAGAGUUCAGAAGAUAUAAACAAUUAAAUUGACACAAAUAUUUGUAAAAUAUUUAAUUUUUAGAAAGAAAUAAUUGUGAUAAGGAAAAUACAAAUAAAUAUGGAGAAAAGACACUUUGUAAGAAGACAUAACUGCAAAGAUAUUUUAAUUAAAAAAAUUAAAAUAUUUAACGAAUAGUAACGAUGAAAAAUGCAAUUAUAAACGAGGAAAACGAUAGGGAAAACUCUCUGAUUCACAUUAGGGCAAACAUGCCUCAUAUAUAUAUAUCCAUACAUGAGACCGUCACAUGAAACCCAACUUAAGCCCAUCUAUAGAUACGUAAGCCCAUAUUCUAUAUCCAAACUAAGCAUGUGCAUUUGCUUGAAGUCUAAUCUUGAACACUUUAAUCAUCUUUGAAACUCAGUGUGUCCUCCCACACUACUUCAAAACCUUAAUAGCCAUGAUAUGAGCCAAUCACCUCGUGUCAAGUAUAUAUGCAAGUUUAAUUCAUCCAUAAAACAUAGAAUAUAUGCUUUGAGAUAAAAUCCUAUUUAGCAAGGAUCUAGGCACUUAGAUUCUUUCCAAAACAUAUCAACAUCUCUGCUACACCAAUUUUUUUGUGAGUUAAUCUCAGUGACCUACGAAUGAGUGAAAACUCUACUUCACAAGAUAUUCAAUAGCGAUAAGAUCGUACAAGAUACAAACUCGAACAUUCACAUUACUUAACAUCAAUAGGAAAAGAAAAAAAAUAUGACCAAAAAAAGAAAACCAAUUGGAACCUAAGCUAAACCGAGUAUCUAUGGUCAUAAGACACUAUCACUAAUUACAGGAUUCCACUAAAUUACUCGUAUGCGAACUACGCAUGUGCAUUUAAUUUGCUUGCAGCCUAAUCUUGAACAUUUUAAUCUUCUUUUUAACUCAAGAGUGUUGUUCUCCCACACUACUUUAAAACCUUAAUAACCGUGUACACGUCGGUAAUUAGUCAAGUAAAACACUCCAAUAUCCAAUAAUUAAAAAGAGCAAAUUUAGGGAACAAACAUGCGCACAAACUUUCAAACAUCAACCAUGAUUAGAGUGCACAUGUACACCAUAGACAUUUUUCCUUGUUAAUUUACUAAAUUACCAUAAACACUUUUUUCUCUCUUUUAUUAUUCCUUUUCCACCCAUACCCACUUUUUAACUUUCCAUUUUUAAAUCAUUCCUCGUGAAAAUAGUAAAACUCCUUUAUGCAAUAAAGUUUUCUUGAAUUUUACAACGUACAAAAAAAAAAAAACCGCGUGGCAUUUUAUGUGGUUAUGAUGUGAGAAUAAUUUGUGAAAACGAAACUCAAGUCAAUGAAUAAAAAGACGAAACAAUGCUAUGAUAAGAAAAGAAACAACACUCGAAAAAGUUCUUCUUUUUCUUCCGCACAUGUCUGACUCUCUCAUAAGCGUAAAUCGCUCUGUCAAAUAUCUCUGACCAGAGAGACAGAGUUGCCUCCACGUUUCUUCAGACAAGACUCACGCUCUUCCCUUUCACCACAUUCCCUUCUCCAUUUCUCAAUCUCACUUACCUUCUCGAUUCUUGCUCCAAUUUCGAAUCUUCCGAGUGAAAAAAGCUUCAAAGUUUGGAACUUUCUAGUGUUUAUUAAUCUGGGUCUGCUCUGAGUUUCGUGUGUAGCUGCAUAUGAGCUUAAAGCUCGAGUUUUUCCAUCUGGGUUUGGAAUUCUAGGGCUAGUGAUUGGAGAUUUUGGGAAUUUAGGUUGAUUUUAGUAGGUUUGACUUCAGGUUGCGUAAUUUAGGUUGAUUUUGAUCCGAUUUGUGGAAUUAGGGUUUGUUUGUUCACAAAGCUUCAAUUUUUGGAGUUUAAAUGGAUCGAUAACGACUGUGUUAGAAGAAAGUUUGCUGCUUCAGAUUCGUAUUCGAUAUAGAAAUGAGUUUGGUUCCUCCUUUACCGAUUUUAUCACCACCGUCGUCAAAUUCUUCAACAACUGCACCUCCUCCGUUACAGACUCAGCCCACCACUCCAUCUGCUCCACCUCCGGUUACACCACCUCCUUCUCCGCCGCAAUCUCCGCCGCCGGUUGUAUCAUCAUCACCACCACCACCGGUUGUUUCGUCACCUCCACCGUCUUCUUCUCCACCACCGUCACCUCCUGUCAUCACUUCACCUCCUCCCACCGUUGCUUCUUCCCCUCCACCUCCUGUGGUGAUUGCUUCCCCUCCUCCCUCAACUCCGGCGACAACACCACCAGCUCCUCCGCAAACUGUCUCACCUCCACCGCCUCCUGAUGCUUCUCCAUCACCUCCCGCACCAACAACAACAAAUCCUCCUCCUAAACCUUCUCCUUCACCGCCGGGAGAAACACCUUCACCACCGGGAGAAACACCUUCACCGCCUAAACCUUCUCCGUCAACUCCAACUCCAACAACAACCACAUCUCCUCCUCCUCCUCCAGCUACCUCUGCUUCUCCUCCGUCUUCAAAUCCUACUGAUCCUUCUACGUUAGCUCCUCCUCCAACUCCAUUACCUGUUGUUCCCAGAGAGAAACCAAUUGCUAAACCAACUGGACCAGCUUCAAACAAUGGAAACAACACUUUGCCGUCUAGUUCACCAGGUAAAAGCGAAGUUGGUACUGGAGGUAUUGUAGCUAUCGGAGUGAUUGUGGGAUUGGUUUUUCUUAGCCUUUUUGUGAUGGGUGUGUGGUUCACUCGGAAACGAAAGCGAAAGGACCCUGGAACCUUUGUUGGAUACACAAUGCCUCCUUCCGCUUAUUCAUCUCCUCAAGGCUCAGGUAAUAUAACAUAGAAGAAUACAUCUCAGGUUCUGUAAAGGCAUUUUGUAGUUGGAUAAUCUAAGAUCCUUUUGCAUUUAGGGUGCGGUUAGAAACCCUAGUUGGUUUGUUCAUUAACGGUUCGAGAACUGUUGAAAGAACUGUGUACUGAGUAGUAUGGUUAGUUUUAGUAACUUAAUGAGCAUGGAACACUCACUAAGUUUUGGAUAAUGUGUAUUGUUAAUGUCUUGAUCAAUCUGCAUUUGGUUCUGCCAGUGUGGUUUCUGUGUCUUCUCUUUACAGUAUAUAUUGAGUGUUGUGAGUAGUAUGAUUAGUUUCAGAAGCUUAAGAAGCAUGACACUCUCGCUGAGUUUUGACUGCUUGAUUUUGCUUAAUGUCUUGAUCAAUCUGAUCAUCCCCUUUUAAUGUAGUUAGCUUCUGACUAUGUGUUUCUCUGUGUUGUCGGUACAAUGCUGUGGUUAUACUUUCAGUCUAGGAUAUGAGACCAAAUAUGUAACUAGAGAAGCAGCUAUUUUUGAUACGUGCGACAAAUAAAAAAGGAAAAGAAUAAUCUUUUAGUUCUGAUCAAAUGUAUAGAUUGUCUCCGUGGUAAUCAUCAAUGCAUGAACCAACACAUUCUUACUUGUUUGUUUACCCAGUAUUGAGUUGUUUAUUAACAGAAAACUCGUGUUGACAGAUGUAGUGCUCUUCAACUCGCGUUCUUCAGCUCCUCCUAAAAUGAGAAGCCAUUCUGGUAGCGAUUACAUGUAUGCGUCAUCUGAUUCAGGCAUGGUUAGCAACCAAAGAUCAUGGUUUUCAUAUGAUGAGUUAUCUCAAGUUACCAGUGGGUUCUCCGAGAAGAAUCUUCUCGGUGAAGGAGGGUUUGGCUGUGUAUACAAAGGCGUUCUUUCUGACGGAAGGGAAGUGGCAGUUAAACAGUUAAAGAUUGGUGGAAGCCAAGGGGAGAGAGAGUUCAAAGCAGAAGUUGAAAUCAUUUCUCGGGUUCAUCACCGCCAUUUGGUUACACUAGUUGGUUAUUGCAUCUCAGAGCAACAUAGGUUGCUUGUAUAUGAUUAUGUACCUAACAACACUCUCCAUUAUCAUCUCCAUGGUACCAAAUGCCUCAUCUUCUUAAACCAUAAACUUAUCCUUUUAUAACUACAUAAACUUCAAUGCAUGUGUAUGCGCAGCUCCAGGAAGACCAGUUAUGACUUGGGAAACUCGGGUAAGGGUCGCUGCUGGUGCAGCUCGUGGAAUCGCCUACUUACAUGAAGACUGUAAGUUACUGAUGCUUUUUUGUUUUUCCAUGAUAUUUAGUUUUCAUAAUUUUGUUACCUUCUAAUGCUCUGCUUUUUUUUUUUGCGUUGGCAGGUCAUCCCCGCAUUAUUCACCGUGACAUAAAAUCUUCCAACAUACUUCUUGAUAACAGCUUUGAAGCCUUGGUAACAUCAUAUGAGCUUUAUUCUAGUCAUUAAACGGUCUUUCUUUCACAACGCUGACCUCUUAAGCAAGUUUUUUGUCACAGGUUGCGGAUUUUGGACUUGCAAAAAUUGCACAAGAACUGGAUUUAAACACACACGUCUCAACGCGCGUAAUGGGAACCUUUGGGUGUGUGUGUAUGCACUAUUUAUUAGAACGUUCUUUGUGUGAAAAUCAACUACUCACAGAAGAACUAACCGAUAUUAACUGUCAAAUUCUCUUAGGUACAUGGCUCCUGAAUAUGCAACAAGUGGAAAGCUGUCUGAAAAAGCAGAUGUUUAUUCGUAUGGGGUAAUACUGUUGGAGCUUAUAACUGGCCGUAAACCCGUAGAUACGUCUCAACCACUUGGUGAUGAGAGCCUUGUUGAAUGGGUAAGUGCAGCUCUAGUUUUACCAUAUUUCUUGAACUUCCAUGAUUCAACAAGUGUCUUCUAACCCCCUUUGGUUACAUAACUUUUAUUAGGCAAGACCCUUGCUGGGUCAAGCAAUCGAGAACGAAGAAUUCGACGAGCUAGUAGAUCCGAGGCUAGGGAAAAACUUCAUCCCAGGAGAGAUGUUCAGAAUGGUAGAAGCUGCGGCUGCAUGUGUCCGCCACUCAGCUGCAAAAAGACCAAAGAUGAGUCAAGUGGUGAGAGCUUUGGACACACUUGAAGAAGCAACGGACAUAACCAACGGAAUGAGACCAGGACAGAGCCAAGUGUUUGACUCGAGACAACAAUCUGCUCAGAUAAGGAUGUUUCAAAGAAUGGCUUUUGGGAGUCAAGAUUAUAGUUCUGACUUCUUUGAUCGCUCACAGUCACAUAGUAGCUGGGGCAGUCGUGACCAGUCCAGAUUUGUACCUUAGUAGUUUUUAUUGCCUUUGCUUCUUUCUUCUUUCCCUUUAAACAUGUCCUCGAUCUUGUAUAUUCUUUUGCAUGAUAUAAUGUAUUUUUGAAAUAUACAUACAUACACACAUAAAAUUUGGUAGUCUUUUGAAGAAAAAGAAUAACAGAUGUAUUUGAUAGAUAGUGGUCCUUGCUUUAUCUAAUGAUUGCUGAACCGGGUUAACAAAUUGAGUCUUGGUUUCUCUUGUUUACUUGCUUAAUCGUUUCUUUGUACUGAGUUCUUAAUCGGAUUUGUGAGCUGUGAGUUGCGAAUCAAAGCUUAGUGAGGUCUAUCGAAGAUAGGAUUUACAACAUCUCUUCUUCGUAAUCGCCCUUAAAUCCUGUUUGCUUUCUGGCAAUGAGCUAGCUUAACCCUGAUUGCGACAGGCUUAAUACAGUCAUGUUGGAUCUCCUAUUCGUUCUGCUACCAGGAAGAGAAAGAAAGACUGAUUGCGACAGCUCAACCGGAUGAGACAUCUCUUAUUUACAAAUGAAGUAGAAGAACCCAGAUUCCAAAUGAACAAAUUCAAACUUGAAAAAGUAAAUAGUUACACAAUAAACAACAUUUUCUUGUUUCUUGCUUUCCAAGAGGACAAGUUUUGUCUAGUAGACAAAAUUAAGUAAACAAACCUCAUUGAGAUAUUUAGAUCAAACAGAUCAUCAACUCUGGAUUUGCCGUGAGUUUCAAAAAGCCACUCCAAAAUAACAAUGAUGUAUCUUGAUUGAAGCAUAUACUGAUCAAGUUGAUUUUCAGCUCAAUCUUCAAAAACAAUUGAAGAAUGAAAGUGAAAUCGAGCUAUCUAAAUUCAUUUAUGAAAUGAAGUAAAAAAGAGAGUUUCACAUACAAAACAAAACAUCUAAUGCUAAAGUCUCUCGAUAUAAUCCAAGUCCUAAGCGAAUACGAGUGGGCAUGUGCUUGAAGCUCGGGGAGAAAGUCUCAACACCUUGAUCAUCUCAAGUUUUGGAACAACAGUAUCAACCAAGAAUGUUGCCUUCUUUAAGUGACAAGCGUUUUUCAAAAUGUAAACAGCAAUAUCUCUAUCUCGUGGCCUAAGUAUAGUGACCAUUUGAAAAUUUGUAGGCUCGACAACAAGCAUCAAGGAACAUAAGUCAGUUGAUUCCACUUCCAGCAAACAAUACCAUAUACGCUUAUCAUCCCCAUGAUUCUAAGACCAAUCAGAAUAAUAAGACUAAAAGUAAUAAGAAAUAGGAGUACCAAAAUAUAUAUAUAUAUAUAUAUAUAUAUCCGAGAAAGAAAAACAAAAUAAGAAUAAUCGAAGAUGAACAAGCAAAACAAGCUACUCUCGCUCUAGUUUUAGCUAUAGAUGCAUUGCACAUAGCAGUGUCAAUGAACAAAAAAUACUCACGCCCUAGCCAUUCAUUGAGUACAUAGUUUUUGUCUAUGUUAAAAACAUACGGGAAUCAAAGGAAAAUAAAUAUUUGGUAUACAAACGAAAACAUCUAAUAAUGAUUCAAGUCUCUCAAUGUGAUCCAAGUCUGCAGCGAAUACUUAGUUGGCAUGUGCUUGAAGCUCUGGAAGAGUGUCAACUCCUUUCUGAUCCAAGUCCGCAGCGAAUACUUAGUUGGCAUGUGCUUGAAGCUCUGGGAGAAAGUGUCAGCUCCUUAAGGUUUGGAACAAGAUGUUCGGGUUCAUCAGCCAGGAUUGUUGCCGUCUUUAAGUGACAAGCGUUCUUCAAGAUGUAAACAACAAAAUCUAGAUCUUGCUGUUUUCCAAAGUAAUGUGACAAGUUGAAUAUUUGUAGACUCUCCAGCAAGCAUUCGGGUACAGAAAUCGGUUGAUUCCAACAAUCCACACCAGUAGAAAGAGUCACAUGACCCUAAGACCAAGCAGAAGAAUAAGAUUAAAACCAAACAGAGUAACAAGAAAUAGUUUAUGAAUGAAACAUACUUGCACUUUAAAGAUAUUCAAUACUCGCAAGUUAGGAGAAUCCUUGAGCAACUGGCCAAGGAUUUUCGACUUUUCUGGCAUGCAAACACAUAGGUUCAGAUGUUCGAGCUGGUUGAAAACAAAGCCAUCAUCAUACGAAUCCUGUCCACAAAAUAUUAAAAUCAAUAACAAAGGAUUCCAUAAUUGAGAUUGACAAGUUUCAGUUGAUAAAUGGAAACUAGUUACCUCUGAACAUAUGGUUAAGACGCUUGACAGAUGUGAUUGAUCCAAUAAGACUCUUGAGAUCAUCUAAUUGAACAUCGACAUACGCUUCCCUCAGCUUAGGCAUUUUCUUAAGUAAACAGUAGUGUUCCUCUUCAUGCACGUCUUCAAGUUUCAAAUACUUUAAAGGAGUAUCUAUCACAUACCCAUCAAAAACCUCACAAUUUUCUAUAAAGAGAGUUAAACUCUGCAGAGAUGGGACGAUAAUAGUGAACUCUUUAACAUCUUGAUGCACAGAACAUAUCACCGAUAGAUCAUCAAGAACAGGACAAAUAGAUAGAAUGUCCUGAAGAGAUUUUCCUUCUACAAAUGUCACACUGUCAAGUUGCAAAGUUUUCAGAGAGGGAAAAGAAACAGUAGAGGGAACAUCAAUGAGAACCACGUUGUCGAGUUUCAAGGUGACGUACAUGGAAAUAUGUUUUCAUCCCAACAUUCAUAAGAAAUUUCCAGCACACGUACAUGGCGAGAAACUGCAAUUUCAAUCCACCGUUCGAUAUAUUCAGGUUCAAUAUGUGUG
rnacentral:lncRNA from 1 species